rnacentral:lncRNA from 1 species
UUCAGGCUUUCCAAAUUAAAACAUCUUAGCAUGUCAGAUAACAAACUUUCAGGUUCAAUUCCCAAUGACAUAAGGUUGCUUUGUGAUCUUGAAUACCUAUAUUUAGCCAACAAUUCCUUUGAAGGACCGCUUCCACCAAAUAUAUUCAAGUUUUCAAAAUUAAAACAUCUUGUUCUUUGGGGUAAUAAGUUUUCUGGUUCUGUUUCCAAUGAUAUAGGUUUGCUUUCUGAGCUUGAAACUCUCGAUCUUAGCUCUAAUUUUUUUGAGGGGCCGCUUCCGCCAAAUGUAUUCAAGCUCUCCAAACUAAAAGUUCUCACCCUGUCAAUUAACAAAUUUUUAGGUUCAAUUCCCAAUGACAUAAGGUUACUUUGUGAUCUUGAAUACCUAUAUUUAGGCAACAAUUCCUUUGAAGGACCGCUUCCACCAGGUAUAUUCAAGCUUUCAAAAUUAAAACAUCUUUUUCUUUGGGGUAAUAAGUUUUCAGGUUCUGUUUUCAAUGAUAUAUGUUUGCUUUCUGAGCUUGAAACCCUCGAUCUUAACUCUAAUUUUUUUGAGGGGCCGCUUCCGCCAAAUGUAUUCAAGCUCUCCAAACUAAAGAUUCUUUCCCUUUAUGUGAACAACUUUUCAGGUUUUAUUUCUAAGGAUAUAGGUUGGCUUUUUGAACUUGAAACCCUCUAUCUUGGCUCUAAUUUUUUUGAGGGGCCGCUUCCCCCACAUGUAUUUAGGCUCUCCAAAUUAAGAGAUUUGGACCUCUCAGACAAUAGAAAUUUAUUUGAAGGAAGUAUUCCUAUUGGACUGGGACUCUUGACUAACCUCAGGUACUUAGAUCUACAUUUCAGUAAUCUCAGUGGCUAUAUUCCAUCUGACAUUGGAAACCUGAAGCUACUAGUACUUCUUGAUCUCAGUUCUAAUAAAUUGACUGGACCGCUUUCAAAGAUCAUUUCUAAUCUCACAAAUCUUAUAUUUCUUGAUGUAAGUGAUAAUAGUCUUAGUGGAAAUAUUCAGAGUGACUUGUGGAAAUAUAACGAUCAUCCAACUUUGGAAUACAUCGAUUUAAGUGGGAACCAUUUUACGGGUAUAGUUUUUCUCUAUAGAUCUUUUCUUUUUCUCAUAUGUAACUAAGCUAGUAAUCUGAUUAUUGCAGUUUCACCAAAGUUUCAACAAUCUUGACAGGUGAGCUUCCAACAACAAUUUGCAAUGUCACUUCCCUUUUGGUUCUUGAUUUGUCAAAUAAUGAAUUAAGUGGUGCACUUCCAAACUGUUUCGGGAAUCUUGCUGAUAGAUUGCUUUUCAUUAAUCUUGCUAAUAAUCAGUUUCGAGGAACAAUACCAACUACUUUCUCCAGGAGUUGUCAGCUGACAUAUCUAAACAUGGAUAAUAAUGAGUUUGAAGGAUUGUUGCGCCCAUCUUUGGCGAACUGUAAGCACUUGAAAAUUCUUGAUAUUGGCAAUAAUAAAAUAGGUGGUACAUUUCCGUCAUGGCUUUAUGCACUUGGAGAGCUAGAAGUCCUUGUCUUGCGAUCAAAUAAACUCUAUGGUACAAUAAGUGGGAGGAGCAUAGAAAAUCCCUUCCCCAAGUUGCGGAUUGUGGAUCUGUCCAACAAUCAAUUCACUGGCCAUUUGCCAAUUCAAUACUUUAAGAAUAUGAAAUCAACUGAUAAUUUGUAUAGUUAUCAGAAUGACACAGGAGUUUUUUCUUUCCAUUAUGAAGCAUCUGUAUCAUUAACUGUGAAGGGAACAGAGUAUGAAGUGAAAAAUAUCCUUCAUAUUUACACAACCAUUGAUCUGUCCUGCAACAAGUUUCAAGGAGAAAUUCCUGACGUUAUUGGAGAGCUUAGAUGGCUUGCAUUGCUGAACUUAUCUCAUAAUAGUCUAACAGGACAUAUCCCAUCAUUGCUGAGAAAUAUGAAAGGACUCCAAUCUUUAGAUUUGUCUUCAAAUCAACUGACAGGGGCUAUUCCACCUCAGUUAACUGCAUUGACAUUUCUAGAGGUCUUGAACCUCUCGGGAAACCAUCUUAGUGGAGAGAUUCCUCAGAAAGGACAGUUCAGCACAUUCAACAAUGAUUCUUAUCUAGGAAACUCCGCGUUAUGUGGAUCACCUUUGACAAAGAAAUGUGUAAACACAGCAUCACCUCCACAGGAAGUCGGAAAUGGUGAUGAAGAUGAUGCUGGCGAUGAAUGGACAUGGGAAGCAAUCGUGAUGGGAUAUGGAUGUGGACUGAUAUGUGGAUUGUCGUCUGCGUACAUUGUUCUCAGACUAGGAAGGCCUUGGUGGUUUGUGAGAUAUAUCGAAGUACUGCAACUGAAGUUGAUGAAAAGAUAUGCAUGAAGAAAGGUACUGGUAGAUCAAGAUGAACUUGAAAGUUAUUUUCGUGGAUGACAUUUGUGAACCAGUACUGUACUAGCUGCUUAAGUAUUUGGUAUUAUGUAAUAAUCCGUUUGGUCGGGACUCAUAAUGAUAUUUCUUGCUUCAGGGGUAUUAAUAUAAACCUUGGUAUUGUGUACUAGCUGUCUGUUUGGUCGUGACUCAUAAUCUUUCAUGUAUUAACAUAAGGUUUUAAUACAUCCCGUACCAGGUUAGCCAUCUUCAGAUAUUACACAUCUUACUGCUGUCGCAUAAUGAAUUGCAAUCUCCAAAUUGGUCCAACUUCUCUUCCAUGCCCUUUUUGCGCAUCCUCGGCCUUGGCAGCAAUAAUCUGGUGUCAAAAUUCCCAGAAUUUAUAUCUGACUCUCAUAGCCUCACUUUCCUUGACCUUUCUUUUAACAAGUUUACAGGUGAUCUUGUGCUUGAAUCAAUUUUUACCGAUCUACAUAAUCUUGAAAACCUCCAUCUUGCUGGAAAUUCCUUUGAGGGGCCGAUUCCACCUAGAGUAUUUAAGCUUUCCAAUUUAAAAGUUCUUGAACUCACGGGUAAUAACUUUUCUCGUUCUAUUUCCAACGAUAUAGGUUUGCUUUCUGAACUUGAGACCCUCUAUCUUGACUUCAAUUUUUUUGAUGGACCAAUUCCCCCAAAUAUAUUCAACCUUUCCCAAUUAAAAAUUCUUGAACUAACAGAAAAUAACUUUUCUGGUCCUGUUUCCAAUGAUAUAAGUUUGCUUUCUGAGCUUGAAAACCUCAAUCUUGCCUUAAAUUCUUCUGAUGGGCCUUUUCCAUCAAAGAUAUUCAACCUAACCAAAUUGAGACAUCUAAAUCUCUAUGGCAAUAAGAAUUUAUUUAAAGGAAGUAUCCCACUGGAUAUCAGAAACCUGAAGCUCCUGGAAUCUAUUAAUCUCGGUUCUAAUCAAUUGGUUGGACCACUUUCAAUGCUCAUUUCUAAUCUCACUAAUCUUAAGAUGGUUGGGCUAAGCGAUAAUAGGUUUUUUGGCAAAAUUCCUAGUGACUUCUUGAAAAACUUGCCAUCCUUACACGUCAUUGAUCUUUCAAAUAAUAAUUUGUCCGGAAAUAUUCCCAGGGAGUAUAACGUGCAUCCAAUUUUAGAAUACAUCAAUUUAAGUGGAAACCAUCUUACAGGUUUACUUCUCCCUCAAUAUAUUUUAUUUUCCUUUUGUAUGUUACAUUGAUUACACUUUUACCGAAGCUCAAACAAUUUUAACAGGUGAGAUCCCAGCAACAAUUUGCAAUGCUACAAACCUUUAUAUUCUGGUUCUGUCAGAUAAUGGAUUAAGUGGUGCCCUUCCGCAUUGUUUGGGAAAUCUUGCAGAUAAAAUGCAUUGCAUUGAUCUCGCUAAUAAUCAGUUCCGAGGACCAAUACCAACAACCUUCUCAGAGAGUUGCCAGUUAAGAUAUCUAAACAUGUAUGACAAUCAGUUAGAAGGACUUUUGCCCCGAUCUUUGUCAAACUGUAAGCACUUGAAAAUUCUUGACAUCGGGAACAACAAAAUGGGCGGUACAUUUCCUUCAUGGCUAUUCACUCUCAGAGAGCUAGAAGUCCUAGUCUUGCAAUCAAAUAAACUGUAUGGUCCAGUAAGUGGAAGGAGCACACAUCACAUCCAUUCCCCAAGUUGCGGAUUCUAGAUCUCUCCAACAACCAAUUCACGGGCUAUUUGCCAAUUCAAUACUCUUUAAGAAUAUGAAACCAGCUGCUGAUAACAUUUGUCUUAGGAUGACACAUGUUCUAAACUAUGACAAUAGUAUGCAAUCUCGUUUAAUACUUUCAUAUUAUGAACUAGUUCUGUUGAAUAAAUAAAUAUUAUUAAUUAAUCAAUCAUGUGCGCUCGAGUUUCCCUGGCCAGAUGCCCAGAUUAUUAGAGCAUCUCCAGCAGAGUCUUAACCGGUUCUCUAAAUAUAUAAUAAAAUAUGUAUCUUUUAAGGGAUUACUACAUUUUAGUGAAUGAGAACUCCAACAACAUUCCCUAUUUACAUUCUCUAUUAUUAUUAUAAUAUUAUAUUCAACUUGUAAUAAGAGAGAGAAAGUUUGGAAAGAGUAAAAGUGAGAAAAAAUAAGUGAAUAUUUUAUUCUUCAGAAUAAUAUAAGGAAAGAAAAUGCCAAAACAAUUAACUAUAAUCUACGCAAUAAUUUUUUAUAUUGAUUAGACGUUAUCUUUAUCAAUAUUUAGUCAGAUAUUCGGAUAUAUAUCAUUCCCUUUGUUUUUAUACCAUCUUUUUUUUGACUUUCGGGCCAAAUCACUACGUGGGUUGACUGGAUAGUAGAAAUUAAUAUUUUUGUCUGUUUUUUAAAAUAAAAAUCUGUAUUUUUAUUUUGAUUUCGAAGAAUAUAAUCCAUAAGGUAAAUAAUUUUUAANNNNNNNNNNNNNNNNNNNNNNNNNNNNNNNNNNNNNNNNNNNNNNNNNNNNNNNNNNNNNNNNNNNNNNNNNNNNNNNNNNNNNNNNNNNNNNNNNNNNNNNNNNNNNNNNNNNNNNNNNNNNNNNNNNNNNNNNNNNNNNNNNNNNNNNNNNNNNNNNNNNNNNNNNNNNNNNNNNNNNNNNNNNNNNNNNNNNNNNNNNNNNNNNNNNNNNNNNNNNNNNNNNNNNNNNNNNNNNNNNNNNNNNNNNNNNNNNNNNNNNNNNNNNNNNNNNNNNNNNNNNNNNNNNNNNNNNNNNNNNNNNNNNNNNNNNNNNNNNNNNNNNNNNNNNNNNNNNNNNNNNNNNNNNNNNNNNNNNNNNNNNNNNNNNNNNNNNNNNNNNNNNNNNNNNNNNNNNNNNNNNNNNNNNNNNNNNNNNNNNNNNNNNNNNNNNNNNNNNNNNNNNNNNNNNNNNNNNNNNNNNNNNNNNNNNNNNNNNNNNNNNNNNNNNNNNNNNNNNNNNNNNNNNNNNNNNNNNNNNNNNNNNNNNNNNNNNNNNNNNNNNNNNNNNNNNNNNNNNNNNNNNNNNNNNNNNNNNNNNNNNNNNNNNNNNNNNNNNNNNNNNNNNNNNNNNNNNNNNNNNNNNNNNNNNNNNNNNNNNNNNNNNNNNNNNNNNNNNNNNNNNNNNNNNNNNNNNNNNNNNNNNNNNNNNNNNNNNNNNNNNNNNNNNNNNNNNNNNNNNNNNNNNNNNNNNNNNNNNNNNNNNNNNNNNNNNNNNNNNNNNNNNNNNNNNNNNNNNNNNNNNNNNNNNNNNNNNNNNNNNNNNNNNNNNNNNNNNNNNNNNNNNNNNNNNNNNNNNNNNNNNNNNNNNNNNNNNNNNNNNNNNNNNNNNNNNNNNNNNNNNNNNNNNNNNNNNNNNNNNNNNNNNNNNNNNNNNNNNNNNNNNNNNNNNNNNNNNNNNNNNNNNNNNNNNNNNNNNNNNNNNNNNNNNNNNNNNNNNNNNNNNNNNNNNNNNNNNNNNNNNNNNNNNNNNNNNNNNNNNNNNNNNNNNNNNNNNNNNNNNNNNNNNNNNNNNNNNNNNNNNNNNNNNNNNNNNNNNNNNNNNNNNNNNNNNNNNNNNNNNNNNNNNNNNNNNNNNNNNNNNNNNNNNNNNNNNNNNNNNNNNNNNNNNNNNNNNNNNNNNNNNNNNNNNNNNNNNNNNNNNNNNNNNNNNNNNNNNNNNNNNNNNNNNNNNNNNNNNNNNNNNNNNNNNNNNNNNNNNNNNNNNNNNNNNNNNNNNNNNNNNNNNNNNNNNNNNNNNNNNNNNNNNNNNNNNNNNNNNNNNNNNNNNNNNNNNNNNNNNNNNNNNNNNNNNNNNNNNNNNNNNNNNNNNNNNNNNNNNNNNNNNNNNNNNNNNNNNNNNNNNNNNNNNNNNNNNNNNNNNNNNNNNNNNNNNNNNNNNNNNNNNNNNNNNNNNNNNNNNNNNNNNNNNNNNNNNNNNNNNNNNNNNNNNNNNNNNNNNNNNNNNNNNNNNNNNNNNNNNNNNNNNNNNNNNNNNNNNNNNNNNNNNNNNNNNNNNNNNNNNNNNNNNNNNNNNNNNNNNNNNNNNNNNNNNNNNNNNNNNNNNNNNNNNNNNNNNNNNNNNNNNNNNNNNNNNNNNNNNNNNNNNNNNNNNNNNNNNNNNNNNNNNNNNNNNNNNNNNNNNNNNNNNNNNNNNNNNNNNNNNNNNNNNNNNNNNNNNNNNNNNNNNNNNNNNNNNNNNNNNNNNNNNNNNNNNNNNNNNNNNNNNNNNNNNNNNNNNNNNNNNNNNNNNNNNNNNNNNNNNNNNNNNNNNNNNNNNNNNNNNNNNNNNNNNNNNNNNNNNNNNNNNNNNNNNNNNNNNNNNNNNNNNNNNNNNNNNNNNNNNNNNNNNNNNNNNNNNNNNNNNNNNNNNNNNNNNNNNNNNNNNNNNNNNNNNNNNNNNNNNNNNNNNNNNNNNNNNNNNNNNNNNNNNNNNNNNNNNNNNNNNNNNNNNNNNNNNNNNNNNNNNNNNNNNNNNNNNNNNNNNNNNNNNNNNNNNNNNNNNNNNNNNNNNNNNNNNNNNNNNNNNNNNNNNNNNNNNNNNNNNNNNNNNNNNNNNNNNNNNNNNNNNNNNNNNNNNNNNNNNNNNNNNNNNNNNNNNNNNNNNNNNNNNNNNNNNNNNNNNNNNNNNNNNNNNNNNNNNNNNNNNNNNNNNNNNNAUAUACACUUCCAUUUCCACUUUCCAGUAUUAAGUUUAGAAUUAAGAUCUUAACAACAUAGCAAUCAUUUAAACCUCGAAGAAAAUUGUGCACAUUAACAAGACCAAAGAGAAAACAGAUAGCAUAAAAUUGUGUAACACGUAUAAUUUAAAUCCACUUCUCAGUAUACUCCACAUUCAAGGUGAUCUAACUGCUACAAUAUUCUAAUUUUCACAGCUACGACACUGAACAAUAUAAGAACCAGUUUACUGUAAGUUUACUGAACAUAUAUAUACGACAUUGAACAAUAUAAAAUAGCUAUCCUUUGUAAGACCAAAAACAAAGGACACUAGCUAGCUAAUUCAAUAUACAAAACCACUCCAAUCAGUUUAUGAUAAGCAACUACAAACAUACAAAUACAUAUAAACAUACAAAUACAUAUAAACAUACUAUCUCAUUUUCCAAAAACCACAACUACAAACUAUCUCAUUUUCCAAAAACACACACUGAAAUACAUAUAUACAUACACAUACAACCACAAGGAUACCCAAACUCAAGUAAUAAAUAAGAAAUUACCUCCUCCAACUCGAAGAGAGCUUGAAUAGACUUGAACAGAGCUUGAACAGACUCCGAGCUCGAACUCCCUACAAACUCGAACUGAAGUACGAGCACCCACUAAACCCACAAACUCCACACUCGAACUGAACUCUGAGAUCUGUUGAAAAAACGAAUUAAAGAAGCAAAUGAGUAUUGUAAUCGAACAAACAUCAGUUUAUUAGGUACAAAUCAACCUUUAUCGCACAAAUUUAAGGAUGAAAUCGGCCGAAUUGGAACCUAGGGUUCGCUCGCUGAGAAAGGGGGAAGAACGGGGAGAGAGAAUGUAUUUUGUACAAAUGAUUUAAUUUAGGUAGUUUUAUUAGUUUUAUGUCUUUUUCCUUUUAAUUUUAUGUUUAAAGACAGGUGUUGAUGUCUUGUUCAGACAACACAUCAACUAAGCAGCGGGGUUUUAAAGGCGGGGUUUUUUUGUUUGUGAAAAAUUUGGCUAAGUGGGGAAUAGAAGCGGGGAAGCGCGGCCAAUUUUUUAAAAACAUGUUUUAGACAUCGGUUCUACACUAAGAUGAUGUCUAGUUUUUUAAUAGACAUCGGUUUUUAAAAUUUCGAUGUAAAAAAGGGUUUUAACAUCGGUGGUUUUUUUAACCGAUGUCUAAUCUGUGAUGUCUGAUCCUGUUUUUCUAGUAGUGAUCACUGCAACAAAAUAUUAGUUACGACGGAACAAUGUCGCUGGACUUUAUUUGUUUACAUUUUUUUAAUAGUAGUUAAUUUUUAAACUUGCGACGGAAAACAUACGACAGUCUACUUCGCGAGAGAAAAUCAUUUUAUUUUAUUUUUUAGCGCCAGAAUUUUAAUACUAAACUACUAUAGGGCCGUUUGGGCUAGCUUAAAAAAAGUGAUUUUUUACUUACAGUAAAGAAGUGGAUUAAAAGUGAGAAGCAAAUAAGUCAAUAAAAUGUUUGGAAAAGAAGUAGAAGCUGUGAGAGAGAAGUUAGCAUUCUCAGCUUCUUAAAAGUGCUUCUGCUUAUUUACAUAAACGGGUAAAAAAAAAAAAGCAAAAGCCAGAAGCAGCUUCUACUUCUCGAAACAAACAGGGCCAAUAUAUAUGAAGGAAACUGAUCUCUAUUGUUUUCAGCUUGCUCAUCCAUGGUAAGUAAUCCGUCGAAAAAGUUAGUUUGUUGUCGUGGUGUCUUAUCAUGAGAGAAAAUGGUAAUAUCGCAAAAUAUUUGCAACUGAAAGAUAAAUUAUAGUUCUAGAAACCAUUUAGGUAACGAUGCGCGGAGUUAUUUUCACUCACUUAGAAUUAAUGAUAAAUAUUUGCAACUGAAAGAUACAUUAUAGUUCUAGAAAAGGAUCCACGGAAUUAUUUUCACUCACUUAGAAUUAAUCCUAAGUUAUUGUGAGUUUUUGAAUAUGGAUUAUCUCAAAUUUUAUUAAAACACAUAUCGAUUCAUAUAGACAAAUUUGCCUACCUAAUAUUAUAAUAUUUAUGGCGAAGUUGUAUGAACAAUUGUGUAGAUAAUUAUACUUUACAAAGCAUACUUCUGCUAGCUGAAUUUUGAUUAAAAAAUCGAAAGGGAUAGGUCUGGGUCUCUCCAAGUCUUUGAGGACUCAUUCCAAGUCUUCUGAUGAGGACAAAAUAUAUCGCUGGUAGUCUUUCAGUCCUUCCUAGAGUAUUUUAUGCUCUGCACUGCAUUUGUGUUGAUAAUUUGCGCAAUGUUGAUGAGGAUUGCUCCAAGUCUUGGCGGACUCUUUCCAAAUCUUCCGAGGACCUAUCGGUUCAAUUUAGCCCAUUAAAAAUUUUAUUAUCUCAAAGCUAUCUGCAAAAUAAUAUAUAAGGUAAAAAUGAAUAUAUACCAUUGUUUUGUGAUUAAGUUGUAUAGGCAAUAUGCAUUGCAAAAUCAGCAACAGGAUAUAUGAAUACUAAUUAAUUACCUGAUAUCAGUAUGAACAAAUACUUUCUAUGUAGUUGUAAUAUUAGUCUUCUUUAAAAGUUAUCAUGAGGGAAGGUAUAUAUUGUGAUGCGGGAGAAAUAUUGUCACUGAAAAUAAUUAUAAUUCUAAAAUUUCCAUUAUACACUUUUUUUAGUGUUUGUACGUGGUAAGUACUUCAGACGACAUUUCUCGCGUAUGCCUCCGAUUAAGAAUUUGAUGUUCAGCCUAGUCCUAAACUAAAAUUAUUAUAAAUGUGUACUUCAAAAUUAUAUAUAUUGCUGGUAGUCUUUCAGUUCUUCCUGGUGUAUGCAAUUGUUUCAUUCAAUACCAAUUAUUUUAUACUAUGCACUCUGAUAUCAUGUUGAGAACAAUCCAUCAAAAACUUUAAACCUUAAUUAAGGUGUUAGAGGAAAAUACCAAUUAGAUCUUAUGCUAUAUUUCAAUACUUCCAACACUCUGCGAUGCAAAGCAGGGACUCUUGAGUAUUUUCAUAUGUGUAUUAGUUUUGAAGAUAAAAGUUGUAUAGAGAAUUGUGUUGAUAAUUUGCGCAAUUGCGCAAUGAUAACUGGGAUAGGUCAUCUUCUCUCCCAAGUCUUGGAUGGAAUCUUUCCAAGUCUUCUGAGAACCCAUCAGCUCAGAUUAGUCCAUACAAUGUCAAGGGUCCUAUGAUAUGGUCUACUAACAGCCCAGUGUCGGUAAUAAAUCCAAUUGCAUAUAACCUAUUCAAAAUCAAUCCCCUAUAAACAAUCAUCUCUAAAAACUAUUCACAUAAAAUAAAAUUUUAAAAAUAUAAAAUAUCUAGUUGUUUUCAAUAUAUAAUUUUCCACAGUAGAUAACANNNNNNNNNNNNNNNNNNNNNNNNNNNNNNNNNNNNNNNNNNNNNNNNNNNNNNNNNNNNNNNNNNNNNNNNNNNNNNNNNNNNNNNNNNNNNNNNNNNNNNNNNNNNNNNNNNNNNNNNNNNNNNNNNNNNNNNNNNNNNNNNNNNNNNNNNNNNNNNNNNNNNNNNNNNNNNNNNNNNNNNNNNNNNNNNNNNNNNNNNNNNNNNNNNNNNNNNNNNNNNNNNNNNNNNNNNNNNNNNNNNNNNNNNNNNNNNNNNNNNNNNNNNNNNNNNNNNNNNNNNNNNNNNNNNNNNNNNNNNNNNNNNNNNNNNNNNNNNNNNNNNNNNNNNNNNNNNNNNNNNNNNNNNNNNNNNNNNNNNNNNNNNNNNNNNNNNNNNNNNNNNNNNNNNNNNNNNNNNNNNNNNNNNNNNNNNNNNNNNNNNNNNNNNNNNNNNNNNNNNNNNNNNNNNNNNNNNNNNNNNNNNNNNNNNNNNNNNNNNNNNNNNNNNNNNNNNNNNNNNNNNNNNNNNNNNNNNNNNNNNNNNNNNNNNNNNNNNNNNNNNNNNNNNNNNNNNNNNNNNNNNNNNNNNNNNNNNNNNNNNNNNNNNNNNNNNNNNNNNNNNNNNNNNNNNNNNNNNNNNNNNNNNNNNNNNNNNNNNNNNNNNNNNNNNNNNNNNNNNNNNNNNNNNNNNNNNNNNNNNNNNNNNNNNNNNNNNNNNNNNNNNNNNNNNNNNNNNNNNNNNNNNNNNNNNNNNNNNNNNNNNNNNNNNNNNNNNNNNNNNNNNNNNNNNNNNNNNNNNNNNNNNNNNNNNNNNNNNNNNNNNNNNNNNNNNNNNNNNNNNNNNNNNNNNNNNNNNNNNNNNNNNNNNNNNNNNNNNNNNNNNNNNNNNNNNNNNNNNNNNNNNNNNNNNNNNNNNNNNNNNNNNNNNNNNNNNNNNNNNNNNNNNNNNNNNNNNNNNNNNNNNNNNNNNNNNNNNNNNNNNNNUGUAUUAGUUUUGUAAGAUAAAAGUUGUAUGGACAAUUGUGUUGUAUAAUUUGCGCAAUGAUAACUGGGAUAGGUCAUCUUCUCUCCCAAGUCUUGGAUGGAAUCUUUCCAAGUCUUCUGAGAACCCAUCAGCUCAGAUUAGUCCAUACAAUGUCAAGGGUCCUAUGAUAUGGUCUACUAACAGCCCAGUGUCGGUAAUAAAUCCAAUUGCAUAUAACCUAUUCAAAAUCAAUCCCCUAUAAACAAUCAUCUCUAAAAACUAUUCACAUAAAAUAAAAUUUUAAAAAUAUAAAAUAUCUAGUUGUUUUCAAUAUAUAAUUUUCCACAGUAGAUAACAAAAUAUCUUUAUCAAAUUGUUAUUUAUGGGUUCAAUAUUUAAGCUAUAAUUCCAAUAACACGGCAAGCAUGCAGCGUAUAAAUAGAAGUGUGCAGUAUGUUAUCAGAUUCAUAACCCAGUUGAUCAGGAGAAACAUGGCAUACUCUGCAAAGCCUUCUCACCUUCUUCUCUUUGUUUUCUUUCUCUCAUCACUUGAAUCCAUUCUUGCAACAACACGAGAAGGAGAAGCUCUUGUGAAAUGGAAGAAUAGCCUAGCCCCUUCUUCUUUUCUCGAUUCUUGGUCCCUCACCAAUCUCGAAAAUCUUUGUAACUGGACUGGCAUUACUUGUAACUCUGCAGGUUCAGUCUCUGAGAUUAAUCUCUGUGAGAAACAACUUAAUGGAAUGCUGUCCGAGUUUGGUUUCACUUCAUUUCCAAAUCUCAACUAUCUCACACUCGCAGACAACUUCUUCUCCGGUCCAAUACCACCAGCCAUUGAGAAUUUAACACAGCUUCAAUAUCUUGAUUUGAGAAAUAAUUAUCUAGAUGGUCCCAUUCCGUUCCAGGUUAGCCAUCUUCAGAGCUUGCUCAUAUUAAACCUGUCACAGAAUGCAUUGCAAGCUACAAAUUGGUCCAAUUUCUCUCCCAUGCCUUUUUUGCGCAUCCUCAACCUCAGUAGCAAUCAUCUUGUAUCGAAAUUCCCAGAAUUUAUAUCCAAUUCUCAUAGCUUGGCUAUCCUUGACCUUUCACAUAACAACUUUACAGGUGAUCUUGUGCGUGAAUUUACCAAUCUACAAAAUCUUGAAACCCUCUGGCUUUAUUGUAAUUCUUUUGAGGGGCCAUUUCCGCCGGAUAUAUUCAGGCUCUCCAAAUUAAAACGUCUCUCCCUGUCAAGUAACAAAUUUUCAGGUUCAGUUCCCAAUGACAUAAGGUUGCUUUGUGAUCUUGAAUCCUUAAACUUAAGCAACAAUUCUUUUGAAGGACCGCUUCCACCAAAUUUAUUCAAGCUUUCGAAAUUAAAGAGUCUUUUUCUUUGGAGUAAUAAGUUUUCAGGUUCUAUUUCCAAUGAUAUAGGUUUGCUUUCUGAGCUUGAAUUUCUCAAUCUUUACGAUAAUUUUUUUGAGGGGCCGCUUCCAUGCAUCAAAUAUAUUCAAGCUCUCCAAAUUAAGGGUUCUUUACCUUAACGGUAAUAAACUUCUAGGUUCUCUUUCCAAUGAUAUAGGUUUGCUUUCUGAGCUUGAAACCCUCAAUCUUCGCUCUAAUUUUUUUGAGGCUCCGUUUCCGUCAAAUAUAUUCAAGCUUUCCAAAUUAACAAUUCUUGACCUCGCAUACAAUAGAAAUUUAUUUGAAGGAAGUUUUCCUAUUGGACUGGGACUCUUGACUAACCUCAGCUACUUAGAUCUAACUUCCACUAAUCUCAGUGGCUCAUCUGCCAUUGGAAACCUCAAGCUACUACUAUAUCUUGGUCUCAGUUAUAAUCAAUUGACUGGACCGCUUUCAAACAUUGUUUCUAAUCUAACAAAUCUUAUAUUUCUUGGUGUGGAUCAUAAUAGUCUUAGUGGAAAUAUUCCGAGUGACUGGUGGAAAGCCUCUGUAUCCUUACUUUACAUUGAUCUUGGAUAUAAUUAUUUGUCUGGGAACAUUCCUAAGGAAUAUAAAGAUCAUCCAACUUUGGAAUACAUCGAUUUAAGUGGGAACCAUUUUACAGGUAUUUUUUUCUCUAUAUAUCUUUUCCUUUUGUCACAUGUAACUAAGCUAGUAAUCUGAUUAUUGCAGUUUUACCUAAGUUUUAACAAUCUUGACAGGUGAGCUUCCAACAACAAUUUGCAAUGCUACCUCCCUUUCGGUUCUUGCUUUGUCAAAUAAUGGAUUAAGUGGUGCACUUCCAAACUGUAUUGCGAAUCUUGCUGAUGGAUUGCUUUACAUUAAUCUUGCUAAUAAUCAGUUUCGAGGAGCAAUACCAACUACUUCAUCCAAAAGUUGUCAGCUGACCUAUCUCAACAUGGAUAAUAAUGAGUUUGAAGGAUUGCUGCCCCCAUCUUUGGCGAACUGUAAGCACUUGAAGAUUCUUGAUAUUGGCAAUAAUAAAAUAGGUGGUACAUUUCCUUCAUGGCUUUAUGCACUUGGAGAGCUAGAAGUCCUUGUCUUGCGAUCAAAUAAACUCUAUGGUCCAAUAAGUGGGAGGAGCAUAGAAAAUCCCUUCCCCAAGUUGCGGAUUUUGGAUCUGUCCAACAAUCAAUUCUCAGGCCAUUUGCCAAUUCAAUACUUCAAGAAUAUGAAAUCAACUGAUAAAUUGUAUCGCUAUCAGAAUGCCACAACAUUAACGGGUUUCCAAUAUGAUGCAUCAGUCCCAUUAACUGUGAAGGGAACAGAGUAUGAAGUGAAAAAUAUCCUUCAUAUUUACACAGCCAUUGAUCUGUCCUGCAACAAGUUUCAAGGAGAAAUUCCUGACGUUAUUGGAGAGCUUAGAUGGCUUGCAUUGCUGAACUUAUCUCAUAAUAGUCUAACAGGACCUAUCCCAUCAUUGCUGAGAAAUAUGAAAGAACUCCAAUCUUUAGAUUUGUCGUCAAAUCAACUGACAGGGGCUAUUCCACCUCAGUUAACUGCACUGACAUUUCUAGAGGUCUUCAACCUCUCGGGAAACCAUCUUAGUGGAGAGAUUCCUCAGAAAGGACAGUUCAGCACAUUUAACAAUGAUUCUUAUCUAGGAAACUCCGCGUUAUGUGGAUCACCAUUGACGAAGAAAUGUGCAAACACAGCAUCACCUCCACAAGAAGUCGGAAAUGUUGAUGAAGAUGAUGCGGGUGAUGAAUUGACAUGGGAAGCAAUCUUGAUGGGAUAUGGAUGUGGACUGAUAUGUGGAUUGUCAUCUGCUUACAUUGUUCUCAAACUAGGAAAGCCUUGGUGGUUUGUGAGAUAUAUCGAAGUGCUGCAACUGAAGUUGAUGAAAAGAUAUGCAUGAAGAAUGGUACUGGCCGAUCAAGACGAACUUGAAAGUUGUUGGACAUUUCUGAACCAGUAGUGUACUAUUCUCUUUGUGGCUGCAUAAGUUUUUGGUAUUGUGUAAUAUUCUGUUUGGUCUUGAAUUUCAGGGGUAUUAAUAUAAACCUUGGUAUUGUGUAAUAUUCUGUUUGAUCAAUGUUUAUAUCAAUAAUUUUAUGCUCCUCACUGCAUCAUGCAGCUCUCAUAUUAUCUUCAUAUGUGUAUUAUUUGGAUAUCAAAGUUGCAGGGACAUAUGGAUAUGUGUUAACAGGGACUGCUCGGUCUUGGACGGACUCUUUCCAAGUCCUCUGGGGUCCUAUCGGUUCAAAUUAGUCUAUUAUCUGCAUACUAAUUUGUCCAACUCGGGCUUGAAUAGUAAAGAUAAAGAGUGCGAGUUGAGUUUCUCAAAGUAUGAGUACAAUAUCGUUUUUGAAUGAUAGUUAGGGGUGCGAUAUGCAAUUACCUCAAAAAUAUAUGAUCAUUAGUAUAUUAUAUUAGUAUCCACACACUUAUAUCUCAAAAUCUAUCCUCCAAAAUUAUCAUCUCUAUAGGCUAGCCACAUAAAAUAAAAAUUUAAAGAUAUUAGAUUUUUAGUUAUUUUCAUUAUAUAAUUUUUCCACGCAAAAUAACAAAAUAUCUUUAUCAACUUAUUAUUUAUGAGUUAAAUAUUCAAGUUAUAUAAUUCGGACAUGCUGGGUAUAAAUUGAAGUGUAACGCCUAAUUUCCGGGGUCUGGGAGUAGUUGGCGGGGUAUGAGAGAGCAGGCUAUUUAGAAGUCUUGGUCAUGAAAACUUCCAAGCUAAACUUCGACAACGGAAUCUUCUGAGGCUACUAUUCUAAAGCACGCAUAAUCAUUGUAUCCAUUUUCCGACAAAAAGUCUAUUUAAGCAAAUGAAAUACAAACAACUGAGUGGAAUGCUGACCGAAAGUCUUUUUGACUAAGCUUAUGAUUUAUUAGUACAUGAUUAAUAUGAUAAGCUAAGCUGAGAGCAUAAGAUAUCGUGUGUAUAAUUUUGUGUUUAUUAAUGACUUAUAAAUUAUUAAAAAUAUAAUAAGAAAAAUAAAAAUGAUUUAUAACUAAUUUAUGUUUUAUGAGUAAUUUUUAUUAGAAAAAAGUUUUAAAAAAUUAUUUCACUGGAAAAAAAACCUCCAACUAACUUUUGGCUCUAAGUCAGUUUUUGAUUUAUUUAUGACUUUAUGUCGGAUUCUGAUUUUUACACAAAAAUCUGGUUUUAAACCUCUGAGUUUGGUUUCACUUCAUAUACAAACCUCAACAAUUUCACCAUCAAACACAAUGACUUCUCCAAUCUCCGGUCCAGUACCACCAGCCAUUGAGAAUUUGGCACAACUUCAAUUCCAUACCAGGUUAGUCGUCUUCGGAGAUUACACGUCUUAGACCUGUCAAAUACAAAUUUCAAUCUCCAAACUGGUCCGAUUUAUCUUCUAUGCUUUUUGUUGAGUCCGGCUCAUCUAAAGCCUUAAGAUGUUAGAGGAAGCACCCAAUGAAUCUUAUAUAUGCUAUAUUUUAACAAUUCUGAGCACACUCAACCUUGGUAUUAAUAAUAUUGUGUCGAAAAUUCCAGAAUUUAUAUCUAAUUCUCAUAGCCUAACUUUCCUUGACCUUUCCAUAUAACAAAUUUACAGUUAAUCCUGUGCUUGAAUCAGUAUUUGCAACCAAAAUUAUGCAAUUAUAGUGCAGGUAGUCUUCCAGUUUACGCUCUACACUCCAGGAUAAGCUCGCAUAUAAUUGACAGCUAUAAUCCUUCCAACACUUUGUGAUGCAAAGCAGAGGGAUAGGUUGGCUUAAAAAUAUAUAAGGUCACUUAUGCAUCGCUCUUCACACACUUAGACCCUGUUUGUGUGGGCUUUAAGUCCCGGCUCAAGCUAUUUCGACUUAAUCACUUCCGAGACCAAUACCAACAAGUUAAGAUAUCUAAAUAUGUAUGACAAUCAGUUAGAAGGACUAUUGCCGGGCAACAACCUUCUCAAAGAGUUGCCAGUUAAGAUAUCUAAACAUGUAUGACAAUCAGUUAGAACUUUAGAAGGACUAUUGCCCCCAUCUUUGUCAAACUGUAAGCACUUAAAAAUUCUUGACAUCGGGAACAAUAAAAUGGGUGGUACAUUCCCUUCAUGGCUAUUUAAUCUCGGAGAGCUAGAAGUCCUAGUCUUGCGAUCAAAUAGACUGUACGGUCCUGUAAGUGGAAGGAGCACAUCACAUCCAUUCCCCAAGUUGCGGAUUCUAGAUCUCUCCAACAAACAAUUCGCGGGCUAUUUGCCAAUUCUAAACUUUAAGAAUAUGAAACCAGCUGCUGAUGAUAACGCGUAUAGUUAUAAAAAUAAGUCACAAGGACUAAUUAAUUACAUCUAUGAAGCAUCUAUCUCCUUAAAUGUGAAAGGAACAGAGUAUGAAGUGAAGAACAUUCUUCAUAUUUACACAGCCAUUGAUCUAUCGUGCAACAAAUUUCACGGAGAAGUUCCAAAGAGAGCUUAAAUGGCUUGCAUUGCUCAAUCUAUCUCAUAAUAGUCUUGCCGGACAUAUGUUCUGAAUUAUUAUUAUGCUUUCAUCAAUAUUUUCAAACAUUUCUCAAUAUGUAUUUUCAAAGAAUUCUCAAGCCCUGGAACAUUUGGACCGGUUCUUUGGAAGCCAAGAUACCCAGGUUAUCAUGGCCAUGCACAAAAAUGAAUAAAUUAUUCCAAGUCUUCCAUGACUCAUUCCAAGUCUUCGGAGGAGACCCUGAGCACAAAGAUGCUCAGGGUCUCCCCAAGCCUUCCAGGACUCAUUCCAAGUCUUCGGAGCACGGUCUCGCCUCGCCCUUUCAAAGAUGUGAUAGUAGCUCGAGAGUGAUAUAAAUUAUUUUCCCGACACUAAAAAUAAAUAAUCAGAUCAAAUUAAUCAAUAAUGUAUUAAGGAUGAAAUCCAAAUUAAUCCUAAAUUUUGAUAAUAUAUAAAAAUUAUAAUUAUAAAUUAUAUACCAAAUCAGAAUUGAAUUAAUUCCUUGGCACUAAAAUUGAUAAAGAAAGUAUAAUAAUUUAAAUUUAAUUGAUGAAAAGUCAAAGUCUUCUAAUAAAUCCAUAAAGAAUAUGAUAAUCAAAAUAAUGAAAAUUAUAAUUGAAAAAUCAAAAUCAUUAGUGUAUUGGAAUAGUGUUCACACACUUGUAUAUCAAAAUUUGUGGUCCAAAAACUAUAGCACAAUAUCCUAAAUACACCACAUUAAAUAUUAGUUCAAAAAUAUUUAGUAAAUAAUUGUUUUCAUUCAUCAUUUUGUUAUUUAAAAAACUAAUAAUUUGGGUUGAUGUUAACCUAUAUUUUAAUAUAUAAUUAUAUUAUUUUCGUCUUAUUUAUUUAACUAGAAACAAUAUUUUUAUCAUACAUCAAUUAUAUUAAAAGAUAUAAUUUUAUUAAAAAAAUUGAAUUAUUAUUUAUGAAUUCCAGCAUGAAGCGUAUAAAUAGAAGUGUGCAGUUGAUCAGAUUUAUAACCCAGUUGAUCAGGAGAAACAUGGCAUACUCUGCAAAGACUUCUCACCUUCUUCUCUUUGUUUUCUUUCUCUCAUCACUUGAAUCCAUUCUUUCAACAAGACGAGAGGGAGAAGCUCUUGUGAAGUGGAAGAAUAGCCUAGCCCCUUCUUCUUUUCUCGACUCUUGGUCACUCACCAAUCUCGAAAAUCUUUGUAACUGGACUGGCAUUACUUGUAACUCUGCAGGUUCAGUCUCUGAGAUUAACCUUUGUGAGAAACAACUUGAUGGAAUGCUGUCCGAGUUUGGUUUCACUUCAUUUCCAAAUCUAAACAGUCUCACCCUCGCAGACAACUUCUUCUCGGGUCCAAUACCACCAGCCAUUCAGAACUUAACAAGGCUUCAAUACCUUGAUUUAAGCUUGAAUUAUCUCAAUGGUACCAUGCCUUUCUUGCGCAUCCUCAACCUCAGUAGCAAUCCUCUUGCGUCGAAAUUCCCAGAUUUUAUAUCCAGUUCUCAAAGCCUGACUCACCUUGACCUUUCAUAUAACAUGUUUACCGGUGAUCUAGCAUGUGAACCAUUAUUUGCCAACCUGCAUAAUCUUGAAGUCCUCAGUCUCGUUGAAAAUUCUUUUGAGGGGCCAUUUCCACCGGAUAUAUUCAGGCUUUCCAAAUUAAAACAUCUUAGCCUGUCAGUUAACAAACUUUCAGGUUCAAUUCCCAAUGACAUAAGGUUGCUUUGUGAUCUUGAAUACCUAUAUUUAGCCAACAAUUCCUUUGAAGGACCACUUCCACCAAAUAUAUUCAAGCUUUCAAAAUUAAAACAUCUUGUUCUUUGGGGUAAUAAGUUUUCAGGUUCUGUUUCCAAUGAUAUAGGUUUGCUUUCGGCGCUUGAAGCCCUCGAUCUUUAUUCUAAUUUUUUUGAGGGGCCGCUUCCACCAAAUAUAUUCAAGCUCUCAAAACUAAGGAUUCUUUCCCUUGGGAACAAUAACUUUUCAGGUUCUGUCUCUAAUAAUAUAGGUUUGCUUCCUGAGCUUGAAACCCUAUGUCUUGACUCUAAUUUGUUUGAGGGGCCGCUUCCCCCACAUAUAUUCACGCUCUCUAAAUUAAGAUAUCUAGACCUCUCAAACAAUAGAAAUUUAUUUGAAAGAAGUAUUCCUAUUGGAUUGGGACUCUUGACUAACCUCAGGUACUUAGAUCUAUAUUCCAGUAAUCUCAGCGGCUAUAUUCCAUCUGACAUUGGAAACCUGAAGCUACUAGUAGGUCUUAAUCUCGGUUCUAAUAAAUUGACUGGACCAGUUUCAAAGAUCGUUUCUAAUCUCACAAAUCUUAUAUUUCUUAGUGUAAGAAAUAAUAGUCUUAGUGGAAAUAUUCAGAGUGACUUGUGGAACUUCCCUAAGGAAUAUAACAAUCAUCCAACUUUGGAAUACAUCGAUUUAAGUGGGAACCAUUUUACAGGUAUCUUUUCUCUAUAUAUCUUUUCCUUUUCUCAUAUGUAACUAAGCUAGUAAUCUGAUUAUUGCAGUUUUACCAAAGUUUCAACAAUCUUGACAGGUGAGCUUCCAACAACAAUUUGCAAUGUCACUUCCCUUUCGGUUCUUGAUUUGUCAAAUAAUGGAUUAAGUGGUGCACUUCCAAACUGUUUCGGGAAUCUUGCUGAUGGAUUGCUUUACCUUAAUCUUGCUAAUAAUCAGUUUCGAGGAACAAUACCAACUACUUUCUCCAGGAGUUGUCGGCUGAAAUAUCUAAACAUGGAUAAUAAUGAGUUUGAAGGAUUGAUGCCCCCAUCUUUGGCGAACUGUAAGAACUUGAGAAUUCUUGAUAUUGGCAACAAUAAAAUAGGUGGUACAUUUCCGUCAUGGCUUUAUGCACUUGGAGAGCUAGAAGUCCUUGUCUUGCGAUCAAAUAAACUCUAUGGUACAAUAAGUGGAAGGAGCAUAGAAGAUCCCUUCCCCAAGUUGCGGAUUGUGGAUCUGUCCAACAAUCAAUUCACAGGCCAUUUGCCAAUUCAAUACUUUAAGAAUAUGAAAUCAACUGAUAAUUUGUAUCGUUAUCAGAAUGACACAGGAGAUUUUAUUUUCCAUUAUGAAGCAUCUGUCUCAUUAACUGUGAAGGGAACAGAGUAUGAAGUGAAAAAUAUCCUUCAUAUUUACACAGCCAUUGAUCUGUCGUGCAACAAAUUUCAGGGAGAAAUUCCAAAGGUUACUGGAGAGCUUAGAUGGCUUGCAUUGCUCAACUUAUCUCAUAAUAGUCUUACUGGACCUCUCCCAUCACUGCUUGGAAAUAUGGAAGCACUCCAAUCUUUAGAUUUGUCUUCAAAUCAACUGACAGGGGCUAUUCCACCUCAGUUAACCGCAUUGACAUUUCUAGAAGUCUUAAACCUCUCGAGAAACCAUCUUAGUGGAGAGAUUCCUGAGAAAGGACAGUUCAGCACAUUCAACAAUGACUCUUAUCUAGAAAACUCUGCGUUAUGUGGAUCACCCUUGACGAAGAAAUGUGUAAACACUGCAUCACCCCCACAGGAAGUCGGAAAUGGUGAUGAAGAUGAUGCUGGUGAUGAGUUGACAUGGGAAGCAAUCGUGAUGGGAUAUGGAUGUGGACUGAUAUGUGGAUUGUCAUCUGCAUACAUUGUUCUCAAACUAGGAAGGCCUUGGUGGUUUGUGAGAUAUGUCGAAGUACUGCAACUGAAGUUGAUGAAAAGAUAUGCAUGAAGAAAGGUACUGGUCGAUCAAGACAAACUUGAAAGUUGUUGUCCUGGUAGACAUUUCUGAACCAGUAGUGUACUAGCUGCAUAAGUAUUUGGUAUUAUGUAAUAAUCCAUUUGGUCGGGACUCAUAAUGAUUUCUCUUGCUUCAGGGGUAUUAAUAUUAACCUUGCUAUCUUGAUCUGUGUUAAUGCAAAUGAAAAAGAAUGGAAAAACAAAAAAAUUGCAUCAAACCUGUUGUACCAAGAUCCAUUAAUCUGCUUUCAUCUCUUACGCAACAAUUUAACAGCACUUUCACACUGUUUGAAUGAUUAUCAUAAAUUCGAGUUUUCCUCGCCAGCACCAAAUCCAAAUAUACAAUCCCACACAUUCCAGUCUCAGCUUCAGCUCCCAGGCUAGCAUUGAUUUAGCCAAGCACGACAGUGGCCGCUUGUGUGCCUAACAAUGACAGUUGGGGAUUUGAUGGAACGUGCCUUGGUCCUGCCUUCAAAUGUCUAACAAUAACAGUUGGAUAUGUCGACAAAAAAAUUGUUCCUCACACUGAGGAAUAACUCUGACAGUUCUUUUCAUUGUGCCUUGGUCCAGUAAGUGGAAGGAGCACAUCACAUCCAUUCCCCAAGUUGCGGAUUCUAGAUCUCUCCAACAACCAAUUCACGGGCUAUUUGCCAAUUCAAUACUUUAAGAAUAUAUGAAACCAGCUGCUGAUAAAGCGUAUAGUUAUCAAAAUAAGUCACAAGGACUAAUUAAUUACAUAUAUGAAGCCUCUAUCUCCUUAAAUGUGAAAGGAACAGAGUAUGAAGUGAAAAACAUCUCUUUAUAUUAUAGCUCCUGAUGCGUGAUUUGUACAGUUACCACACUGCUUAAUUCUUCACCUCAAAGUUCCACCUUAUUACAAAAAUGCCACCGCUCUAUUAAGCGGCACCCACGUAAGCUCAUUGCCACCACGUGCUAUCUUCCUGCUGUCUUUUGUUUAUUUUAUUCACUAAACCGUACUUACCCGAAGCUUAUGUAACAAGCUUACAUUCUUUACAUUUUACUCAUUUCAAAAUUUAAAACCCAGCCUCCACGGCUCCCUUACAAAAGUAACCGGUUUGAACGUAAAGUUUUCAAAACUAACCAGCCUACGUUCAACUUUUCAAAACUAACCAGCCUAAAUCAAAAAAAGUCGGGCGACCCUUACCUGUUUUUUUCCCGAGCACCGGUCGCCCUCCUCAGGGGCGUCCCCCAUUGGAGUUCAUCAAGCACAGGUCGCCCUCCUCAGGGGCGUCCCCCCUUGAAGUUCUGUGACGUGGUCCGCCCAAUCACGGGCGACCACGUGUGACACUACCCCCUUAAAACCCCCUCCCAGCCACACAAACACACAAUUACACACACAUUUGCACACACUCAGUUUGAAAACAACACUGCAGCAGCCACAGCAAGGAGCCGAAAGGGGAGAUUUUGGUAAAGGAAGGAAGAAAAGUGGGAGAGGAUCGCCCGAGCUAGCAUCAAGGUCGCCCACCCUAGCAAAAAAUUUGAAGGUACUACCUUAUUCCUCCCCUAAAUAUUAGUAUAUAAAGCCUUGAUUUGUAAUUUAUUACUUGAUUAGUUUGUCUUGCAUGUUACAAAUAUCGAUUAUGUUCAUGAUUAUGGCUAAUUUAUAGACUAGUGUUAUAAUUACCGGCUUGAGAUUAGUGUUAUAAUUACCGGAUUGAGAUUUGGUACAUUAUGAUUUUUAAAUUUGUUAAAAAAUUUAAAGAUUUAUAAUAGAAAUUAAGGAUAAUUUAUAGAUUUGAUAUGUUGGAAUUUAAGAUUUUAUGCUUUUUAGAUUUUGUAGGUAGUAAUUAAAUUUAGUUGGAGAGAAAAAAUAUAAUAUAAUAUUCGAAUUAAAAAGAUAUUGAGAAUAUAAUAUUCGAAUUAAAAAAUAUUCGAAUUAAAAUAUAUUAAAAUAUAAUAUUCGAAUUAAAAAUAUAAUAUAAUAUUCGAAUUAAAAUAUAAUAUAAUAUAUAUUCGAAUUAAAAAAUAUUCGAAUUAAAAUAUAUUAAAAUAUAAUAUUCAAAUUAAAAAUAUAAUAUAAUAUUCGAAUUAAAAUAUAAUAUAAUAUAUAUUCGAAUUAAAAAAUAUUCGAAUUAAAAUAUAUUAAAAUAUAAUAUUCGAAUUAAAAAAUAAUAUAAAAUAUAUUGAGAAUUAAAAAAAUUAGAAAGCAAAUAAAAUAUUCGGAUAAAAAAGAUAUUAAUAGCUAAUAUUAAAAAAAAUCGAUUUAUAAUAAUAAAAAUUCGAAAAAAAGCAAAAUAAUCGAAUUAAAAUAAAAUUUUCGAACAUAUAUUAAUAAAAAUCUUAAUUAUAUUAAUAUAUAAUUCGAAUAUAUGAAAUUUCGAGAAUUAGAAUAUUUAUGAAAUUAAGAGAAUUAAAAUAAAUAGGAAAUUCGAACAAAAAUUAAUUUAAGGUACGCUCUCGAUUCUCUCUAAAUUAAUGUGUAUAUAUAUAUAAUGACUUGAUUUGGAUUAUUGUUGUUUUAUUAGCUUGAGUUGCAUGUUAUAAGAUCGGUUAGUUUAUUGAUUGUGGCUUGAGAUUUGUUAUAAUUGAAAUUAAGGCUAAUUUAUAGAUUUGAUAUGUUGGAAUUAAGGCUAAUUGAAAUUAAGGCUAAUUUAUAGAUUUGAUAUGUUGGAAUUAAGGCUAAUUGAAAUUAAGGCUAAUUUAUAGAUUUGAUAUGUUGGAAUUUAAGAUUUUGUGCAUGUUAGAUUUUGUAGGUAGUAAUUUAAUUUAGUUAGAAACAAAAGCUUUGAAUUCGAAUUACAAAUAUUAUGUUGGAAUGAGAUUUUGUAUAUAUACAAAAGCUUUGAAUUCGAAUUAUAAAUAUAUUUGAAAAUUGUUGGCGCAGAUGGAUCCUGCAGCUUAUCAUCCCGGGCCGGUUAACGGCACUUUGUUGACAUUGCAGGACACGCAUAGGUCCACUUUUGUGUGGAACAGUAGUACGGUAAUGACUUGAUGGACUGUUGUUUAUUAAAGUUAAUGUUUGCUUCACUAUAAACUGCUGACAAGUUCCUGUAUUUUAAAUUGCAGGACAUUCCUGAUCUUAGAGUCAGGACGAACUUCGGUGAGUACUGGAAUGUAGUUGACCAAACCAGGCCGCCUCAGACGAUAAUAGAUGCUAUUAAUGAUGCGGGCUUUGAGUGGGUGUUCAGGUUGGGUCAGGUCAAGCAUGACAGGGGCUUGAUCACUGCUUUUAUCGAGAGGUGGCGUCCAGAGACGCACACUUUUCAUCUACCUUUCGGGGAGGCCACCAUUACACUGGAGGAUGUCCAUCACAUUCUCGGGUUACGAACCACUGGCCGGCCAUUUAUUCUACAUGGCUUCACCACCACAGCUCGCGAGAGAUUGGCCAUGAUACGCGAUGUUCUUGGAGUGACUCCUAAGCCGGCUGAUGUGAGGAAGAACGGCUUGAGGAUCGGUUGGUUGAUUGAAAAAUUUGGCGACUGUGCCCGGUUGGACGAGGCAGCGGAGGAUUUUGAUGCACAGACUAUCUUUCACAUCAGGGCACACCUACUGUGUGUUAUUGGAUCGUUGUUUCCUGAUAGCAGCGGGAACUAUGUGAAUCUCAACCUCCUUUGGAUGCUACGUGACUUGCAGAGCGUGGAUGGUUAUAGCUGGGGGAGUGCUGUUCUUGCAUACCUUUAUAGGAAGAUGUGCGAUUCCACCCAUAAAGUCACAACCGGCUUCAUUGGCUACGCCACCACUACGCCAUAUAUGAUCUAUCGCAAUGGUAUGAACGCGAGUGUUGCAAAAUUAUGUUGCAAUAGAGACACUGAUCCAUAUCUACCGCAACGAUAACCAUUCAUGUCAAUUAUAUGUUGCAAUAGCAAACAUUAUGUGUUGCAGCUUGUAAUAUACUUGUAAAAGUGUUAGCUUAAAGUAUUAUAAUAUUAUUUUAACAUUAAAUAAUAAUUUAAAUUAUUUUAACAAUAUUUUAAAGUGAUAUGCAAAUUAAAUAAAUAAGAUACGCGAUGAUAUGCAAAUUUUAUUCAUAAUAAUUAAAAAAAUUAAAAUAGGAAUUUUAAAAGUAAUUAAUUUUUUUAAAAGCAAUGAAAAGUAAAAAUAAUUAAAUUCCCCUUGUUUUGAUAUCAGAACUGAUAUAUAAGUUUCAAAAAUAAAAAUAUAGAUAUACGAAUUAUAAGUAGUAAUAAAUACAUAUAAUGAAUUUUGUUCCUAAAAUAAUUACAUGAAUUUUAUUUGUUAAAAUAAUAAAGUAUAGGUGCAGACGUGCAGUACAUUAUUUGACUUUAUUGAACUGGGCAAAUAUCGAGCUCAAAGCGGGUAAAAAUUAGGCUUACAGCCGCCCAAAUUUUCAGCCAAGUUUGAAAUUUUCACACAUACACUAUACACGCUCGAGUCUCCUUGAAUACCCUCAACACUCACUACACUCUCUCCCUCGCUCAACUCUCUCUCCCUUCUCUACUCUCUCUCUCUUGUUAAUCUCUCUGAAGCUAAUCUCUCUCUGGCCACCAUUUUCACUCAAUCUCGCCAUCACUUUUAAUUAACUUGGAUUUGCAUUUAUAGUUGGAGCACAGUUGAUUUGUGGGUCGAGGUUCCAAUUCUUCAAUUAGGGUUUUGGCUUUUCAAUCAGGGUUUUGGUUCUUCAUUAAACUUCAAUUAGGGUUCAAUUACUUACAUAUAAUCUCUUAAACUUCAUCUGAUAUCUCUUUCUCUUUGAUUUCAGGUGUUCUUAGUUUGGGUUUGCACUCCAAGACUUUAUUAUAAGGUAUUUUUGAAUUUAGGGCUUCAUGUUAUGAGUUUAUUUGCAUUUAGUGUUCUUUGUUUUUAUGUUUAUUUGGUUUAUUAUCUUUAUCUAGUUUAUUUCCUUUGAUUUUUUGUUUUUUUUUUCAUUUGUUUUGUGAAAUUGCAAUACUCUGUUUUUGUGUUAAUUUUUUUGUUGCUUAAAAGUGUUCAACAACAAUAUUCUUCUUAAUUAUAAAAGAUCUAUCACGAGGAAGAGGUCCCUGUUUUGUAUAAUAUCUUGUAUGUCUUUUCUUUUCUGUAUAUUAUUAAGCUACCUUGGGGCAUCCUUUUUCUAGACCAGAUUUCGUGCGCAAUCUUUAGUAAAGAGCAAAUAUUCCGAUUCUUUUGCAUUUGUCUCAAUGUCAGUGCUUUGCAUAUAUGGAUAUAUUUUACAUGAAAAUGGUGCUUUUGUUGUUGGCCUGCUUAAUGUUCAAGACAUGUAGUCAACUCAGUUUAGUGUGACAAUAAGACUUUCUCAUUUCAUUAUGAUUCUCACAUAUUUUAUGCUCGUCACAGUACAACACAGUUUUGUAUUUGGUGUGAGUGAGCAGUAAAGAAUUCUAUGGAAGAUGCUAGUGACUACCGGUGGUAUAUAACCAGGUAAAAAUAAUGCUCAGUUGAUAAUCCUUAUAAGGGAGGCUCUUACUAUUUCUUCCUCUUUAACAUUGAGUUGUUUUAAUGUACAUACUAGCUGGUUGCUCAAGUGUUCUAUCAUUAUAAUGUAUACAUUGGAUACAAUAUUUGUUCAAUGAGGUAUCUAACUAGCUUGCUGAUGGCCGGGGACUAUAGAUUUAUUCAUUGCUAAUUGGUUAUAUUCGUUGUACCUGUUAUGCCUCAAUCAUAAUGGCAUAGUGACAAUAAAAGGAAAACGAAUUAUAAAUAUUUCACAUAGCAUGCUCUAGUUAUCUACAACUAUUGUUUUGGACUUCUGGUUUGGCAUUUAUAAUAAGUUGGCAUAUGUCUUUGAAUUCAUAUAGUUUGUAGCAUGACCUAAUUGGCACAAGUCAUCCUCUGCCAUGUCUUAUAUCUUUAGUUAGUAAGAAUUAAUAUUUCCCAUGUUUCAGCCACUAUACAAAUAUUGAUCAUGGACGAAGUUCUUACCCUGUUUAGUAUUAAUUUCAUUAUCUGCUGCAACUUUAUUGUGUUAUCUGUGCACUGCCCAACUAAGUACACAUAAUUUGAGUUUAAAAUAAAGCAUGCUUCUUUACUGGAGCUCAGCUUAGUAGUUGCAUUGUAUUGUUGCAGGAGAAGCUUAAGCCGUUAAUGGAUCAACUUAACAAAGUCAAAGACUUGACUGUUCCAGAAUUUGGAAAUUUCCGAACUUGAGAAGUGCGAGCAAAUGCAAGAAUAUGUUUAUAUAUAAUAGUGUAGUGUAGUGGGAUGUUUGGUUGGAUUCGUUUAAUACUUUGAUUUGGUUGGAUUUGUUAGGUAGUUUUGUUUGGUUGGAUUUGUUAUAAACUUUGAUUUGUAUGAAAGAAUAGUUUAAUGUUUCAGUGGAUAUAGUGAAAUAUUGCAAAGUUGUUAAUUUAGUCUUGCAUUAGCACAUAUAUGUUGUAGUAGCUAAUAUAUAUAUGUUUCAAUUUAUAACAAAAAAUGUUGCAAACAUGCAACUGAAAAACAGGUGUCCAAACAUAGGACCCACAUGUGUGACCCACGUGUGGGUCCCACUUUUUUUGAAAUCAGGAGGUCUAACGUAACAUAAUAUAUUUGUUGCUAUAGGGUAGUCAGAUGUUGCAAUAUCACGUCUAUUGUAACAUAAAAAGCCGUGUUGCAGUAGGUUACCCAAAUGUUGCAAUAGAAGCCUAGGGCAACAUGAAAAAAUGCAACUUAAAUUUUAUGUUGCAAUAGCCCUUUUUCGGGCUAUGGCAACAUAUUUUGGGGUUAUGGCAUCAUUUUUUUGAUGUUGUCNNNNNNNNNNNNNNNNNNNNNNNNNNNNNNNNNNNNNNNNNNNNNNNNNNNNNNNNNNNNNNNNNNNNNNNNNNNNNNNNNNNNNNNNNNNNNNNNNNNNNNNNNNNNNNNNNNNNNNNNNNNNNNNNNNNNNNNNNNNNNNNNNNNNNNNNNNNNNNNNNNNNNNNNNNNNNNNNNNNNNNNNNNNNNNNNNNNNNNNNNNNNNNNNNNNNNNNNNNNNNNNNNNNNNNNNNNNNNNNNNNNNNNNNNNNNNNNNNNNNNNNNNNNNNNNNNNNNNNNNNNNNNNNNNNNNNNNNNNNNNNNNNNNNNNNNNNNNNNNNNNNNNNNNNNNNNNNNNNNNNNNNNNNNNNNNNNNNNNNNNNNNNNNNNNNNNNNNNNNNNNNNNNNNNNNNNNNNNNNNNNNNNNNNNNNNNNNNNNNNNNNNNNNNNNNNNNNNNNNNNNNNNNNNNNNNNNNNNNNNNNNNNNNNNNNNNNNNNNNNNNNNNNNNNNNNNNNNNNNNNNNNNNNNNNNNNNNNNNNNNNNNNNNNNNNNNNNNNNNNNNNNNNNNNNNNNNNNNNNNNNNNNNNNNNNNNNNNNNNNNNNNNNNNNNNNNNNNNNNNNNNNNNNNNNNNNNNNNNNNNNNNNNNNNNNNNNNNNNNNNNNNNNNNNNNNNNNNNNNNNNNNNNNNNNNNNNNNNNNNNNNNNNNNNNNNNNNNNNNNNNNNNNNNNNNNNNNNNNNNNNNNNNGCUUAUCCUCGUAUGUAGUUUGUUUAUGGUUAUGUACCUGACCAUGUACUCGUACAUUUUUAUUUCUUGAUCUGAUUAUGUACUCUUAGUCUAGUAGAUCGGUUGUUACGUUAUUAUGCAGUUCUUGUGCAUUCUUAUGUCAUAAUGUUUUAUAAUGAUUCAAGCAUUGAAAUUCAUAUGGACAAUAAAGGAAACCUAACAUAACAUAAUAAACGACAGAACACUAAAACACAUACACAUGUUGAUCUUUCUCGAAACCAGUAAAACUGACUUUAUUUUGACUAAACUUUACAUAUAUCAAAUAACUGAAAAAAAUAAUAUAAAAUUUGAAUUACUUGAACAACAAAAGUUGAGACAUUACAUAUAAGAUACAAUACAUAUAGUAAUGGGGGUGAUCUUUUGGAGAAAAUACCUAACUCAAAGGGAUUUCUUCAAAUAAUUUGAGAUGGGUCAGAGCUUCAAGAAUCUGUGUACUCUGCUUUUACAAGUACAAAGUGGGAAAAAGUGAGACAUAAAUAAAAUGUAGUGAAGUAUUUGAGAUGGGAGAAAGUAAAACUAACUUAAUUUCAUAUUAAUAUUGUGAAGAUAUUAGCAUAGAAUGAUAAAUAUACAUUUCUACUACCCAUUUAUAAAAGAAAUAUUAUAAAAUAUAAAACUCUACGCUUUAAAUUUAAAUUGUUUUAAGUUGUUUUCUAUUAAAUUAUUUUCCCCACAGGGGAAAAUAAUAUUAAAUUGUUUUAAUAUUAUUGUUUUAUUAUUAUUUGAUUAUUAAAUUAACGAGUACAUAAUUUGUAAAGUUUAGUGCUAAGAUAUAUAUAUUAUUUAAUUUUAUUAAUUAUAUUAAUUUCACAAAACAAUUAAAAUUUGAUUUUAAAUAAAAUAUUAAAUAUAUAAUACAAUAAUAUUAAAUGGCGUAUAAUCAGUGUUACAGAAAUCGGGAAUCGGACCUAAUCGGUUGAGCUACCGAUUCAGGGAUUAAUCGGAAAUCGGAGAUUAAUCGGACUGAAAAUCGGAUUUAUUUUAAUAUUAAAAUAUUAUUUAUUAUUUAGUUAUUAUUAUAUUAGGUAUCUAGUAACUAAUAUAUUUACUAUAUUCAUAAACUCUAUAAUUAUUCAUAUUUAAAGUAAUAUAGUAUUUUAAUUCUAAUAAUUUAUCACAUAUACUUCUAUUAGAAAAUAUGUUAUAAGGAUUAAUCGGAUUUUAAAAAUCGAAUCGGUGGCCGACCUUGCAGGAGAUUAAUCGAGGAUUAAUCAGUUAAAUCGGGGAUUUUUAGAACAUUCGGCGUAUUAUAAUACAAUUAUAUCAAAAUUUAAAAAAAAAUCAGUACCUCAGUUUGGGUAUCGGUCAGCCACCUAGGACAAGUGAAUGAGUGAAACCGCUACAAAAAAUGUAGUAGUAUGGGUCGCCCCUGUCAAGGGCGAUCCUAACUGUAUUUUGUAACAGUAUGGGUCGCCCCUGACGAGGGCGACCUGAACGGGGAAAAACUUCAGCUUGGGUCGCCCGACUUUUUUUGAUUUAGGCUGGUUAGUUUUGAAAAGUUGAACGUAGGCUGGUUAGUUUUGAAAACUUUACGUUCGAACUGGUUACUUUUGUAAGGGAGCCCAGCCUCCACCAUUGCAGCUCUGAGCAGCCAUGAACCAGGUUAUACUCCAGUCUCCUUUUCUCCCCCGCGUGUGUAAGUCUGUACUGCAGCCCACAUUUUCAACACGCUUCUGUCCUAAGCUUCGCAAGAAAUAUCUUUUUUUUGAAAUUCAAAAAAUUUGCGCACCAUAUCAUCGUCCAGCCAAACCACCAUCGGCGAAUCAGCAAAUAUACAUAUCAGAUCUAAUAUACACCAAUCUGAGCUUUGAUGACUGAGGUUUGAUUUGUGUUUUAUUUAAUAAAAUGAUAAAAUGAUGUCUUCUUUCAUGAUCAUGCGAUUAAUCGAUUGUAACUUUAAGGGAGAUGGAACAAGCAAUUCACGACGUCUAUUUACCUCCGAAGACAUGAUUAGUGGUAUGGUUACAUAAAUUUAACUUCUCUAUUUUUCUACCAUGUGUGGCCUAAUUGUUUCAUCUCUUGCUUUGUAGGUUAUCAGUCCAAAAAGCGGAGGAAAAGGGGCUACACAAUUAAGAGAUGAAACAGUAUUGAGCAUGUGAGCUUUAAAACUUGAUGAUUAAAUUUUUCAUAUUAUAUUUGUUCUGUAUUUAGAAAUUUGUGGAGGAUGUGUUUGAUAAUAUGUCUGAGAGAAGAAGUUAAUAAAUUUAUCGUGUUGAGGAUGUGUUUGAUGAUAUGUCCGAGUGAAAAAAUUAAUAAAUUUAUUUUCAAAAUGUUGCGAACAAAUUGUAAUUUAUAUCUAGCAGCUUCAAAUAAUUUUUUUUAGAGCAAAAAGAAUCGCAAUUGCAUGUGAAGAGAUGCACCUCCCUGAUAUUAGACUUUUAGUGUAAUUGCAUGUGUAACUAAACCGCUUGACUAUAAUGUUGGUGUAGAGUACGGAGCUUUAAUUUAUGAUGUUCUCCUCAAUCUGUCCAAAUUAUAGCUGAUCGUGGGAAUCAACUUUAGGGUAAGCUCUGCUCUGAAACUCAUUUUCUUAUAUUGGAACUUGGUUAUUUCUUAAAUGAAACGACUUUGACGUUUUCACCGAGUAGUCAUAGAUGCGUGAGUUGUACAAUAGUAAAAGAAAAAUAAAUUACAUAAAGACUGUCUGAGGUAAAAUAGUAUACAAGCUGCAAUUUUAUAUUUGGUACAUUGACGUAAAAAGUUAUUGUUAUGUUCAGGGGGAGGUGCUGAGAAAUGACAUGAUUAUAUCAUACGAGCGGCGACAAACUACUGAAGUUGCAAAAGAAAUGAUCUUAAAGAAAGCAGAGAAAGUGGGGGAGUUUUUUCAAGAAAAGAAUUUAAAGAGGAGAUGAGAUGCCAGAGUAUUACGCGCUAUUGCCGAAACAGGAUUAAAAACUAUAUUGGGUAUCUCUUCUUGAUCUCUUGAUUAAUUCCACUAGGAAGCUUCAAUAUUAUAUAGGAAGUUUUCUUUUUAAGCUUAAUUUUGAAUUUGAAUCCUCAAACUAUAACUACUGUAUAUCUCUUUAUAUUAUAGCUCCUGACGCCGGGAACUUCCCCUUCUACAACCAGCCCAACUGUACAUAACAGUUGCUUGCUUAUGAAUUUCAAAUUUAUAUUAUAAUGUUUAUAUGUAAUAUUGAAUCAAAGUUGCUUGCUUGCUUAUGUAAUAUUGAAUAUCUACUGUUGGAUGAUUGUUAACUGCUGUGUUACCAAGUGUUUGAUUAAAUUCCUACAAGUUUUGUUUGAAUUUUGUUCUUUAUUUAUCAUUAGUAUGUUUCAUUUUUAUGUUUGACUCUAUGCUAAUCGCUGAUAAGAUUUCUAUGAUUAUAGGAGAUGAGUGUUCUUAUGGCAUGAAUGAUAUUGGAAAAGUGAAAUGUGUUGAUGCUUUGUGUAAAUAAAUCAUGAUCUGCCGUUAUAGUUUUCUGUUUGUUUUCAAUUUGUGUGUACCUAGGUGGUUGUUACUGAGCAUUGAUCAACUGUGUUAAUUAAUUUAUUAAAAUGGAGUUGAGUCUGAGAACUAAAGGGCAAUUAUAUACUUCUUUAGGCUUUCCUUAACAUGUUUUUAUUCAUUAAAAAAAAUCGAUGAGUUUUUAUAAAUAUAUAUACUCUGUUAUUUUCUCUGUACCUAAUUAAAAGGAUUUUAAUUCGAAUUAUAGGUGUUUGUCAUGUGAAUAUUAUCUAAAAGAUAAUGGGGCCGUUUGGGUUAGCUUAAAAGAAGUGACUUUUUGCUUAUAGUAAAGAAGUGGAGUAGAAGUGAGAAGUAAAUAAGUUAAUAAAGUGUUUGGAAAAGAAGCAGAAGCUGUGAGAGAGAAGCUAGCAUUCUCAGCUUCUUAAAAGUGCUUCAACUUCUUUACACAAACAGGUCAAGAGAAGCAGAAGCCAGAAGCAGCUUCUGCUUCUCUUGGCCAAACAGGCCCAAUAUCUUUAAGGUCUCUUGCAUUGGUCAUUUAAUGUGUUAAUUAAAAGUUUACAUUUAAAUUUUUUGAUCUAAUAAUUUUGGAUAGAUGGUUUGUGAGGUUAAUGAAUGAACUAAUAUGGAAUGAUAAAAUGUAGGAGGUCUGGAAAGAUGGGUUUCAAUGCAGGUUUAUUGCUACUUUCCUUCAGGUCUGCAUUGCUUUGGUCUGUCUUCAGGACUGAGACUGUGAUUGGUUUCGGAACAGACACAAGUAUAUAUAUGGACCAAUGCAAAGCACCUGAUUAUCAUACUUUAGGCUUUUGCUCUGCUUUCUAUGGUAAAAAAAAGUGACAUUACUUCGAAUCUGAUACAGUUUAUCCAAGAGCUUGCUUCAAUAUUAAGAAUGCAAUACGUGUUGCAGAUAAAAUUUUGACCAGCAACAUUGGGGCACCCAACCCAAAUCUAGCAACAUUGGCCGUGGAGCUUUAAAUAUCUCCGUAAGAUUCUUUUCCCUCGCAGGCAGGCAUCUUUUUCUGCGAAAAAUAUACAAGAAAAAAGGACUAAUUUGUUUAAUUGAAAAUAAAUUUCGGAUGAGUUGGAUUAAGAAUCAAAUGGAGAGUCCUGUUUUGGUUUCAUUUUGAUGGAGAGGUUGCUUAGGUCCUGUUUUGAUCGAAAGGUUGAAAAAAUAUUUGGUAUUUUUUGGUCUCAUUUUGGUUUGUUUCGUUCCUUCACAGGUGUGCAACAAGUGAUGAUAGUAUUUAAACAUGAUUAGCAAACUGCCCAGCAAUCCAUGCAUGGCAAGGGGAAUGCACAGCUUAAUGAUUUCAGUCUCCGUACCAUCCAAGUGCAACAAAAAUCAAUUAUCUUGUGAUGUCUAGGAUUCUACAAAAGUAAGAAGCCUUCAUUCAUCUUCAUUCAUCCCCUGUUACUAGAAAAGCAUUGGUAGCCUAUAAGCAGGUACACUAAGUAGCUCACCUAAUUUUUGCAUUUCAGUAUCAACGGAAAGUGGUGCAGGACUCCACUUUAUAAUUAAAUUAUGUGUCUAAAUUAUGCGUGUUGUAAUGUUUAGUGACCAUGUUCCAGACCCGACAUGUCCUUACUUGGCAGAUCAAGUUAUCCAAGAUUUGGGAAGGAGUUUCGCCUUUGAGAUCUCCAACAAGUAAGAAGAAAUAAUGUCAAGGAAUGAACUAAUGUAAAAUGAUAAGAAGAUGAAGGUAUAAAACAAUGAUUAUAAUGUAGGCUUCUUCGUAAUGUAAUGAACAAAAUAAUGGAGUAACUAUAACUAUUCUUGCUGCAAGCCUGUGUUUGUUUAAUGCUAUCUGGCAGUAGUUUAGCAUUGGUAUAUUCCUUAAGGUGGAUUUGGAUAGAGUGAGAGGAGACAUUACUUAUCUUUACCUAGCUACUGCUUUUCAUGAGAUUUGGGCAGAGCGUAACAUUAGAAUUCAUCAUCCUAAGAGUUUUAAAGUUGCAAACCGGCUUAUCAAGGACAUAAUAGCCUCUGUUACUAUUUUUACAUGCUCCUCUAUUGUUGUGUGAACUUGCUGAACUCCUUUUUUCUGUUGUUCUACUUACUAAAAUCUUUUUAAUUUUCUUUUGUUAGGUACACUAAGUGGUUCACUCAAUUUUGGCAUUUUAGUAUCAUUGGCAAGUGGUGUAGGACUCCAUGAUUCUGUGUUGUCCACAAGCAACGAAAAAAANNNNNNNNNNNNNNNNNNNNNNNNNNNNNNNNNNNNNNNNNNNNNNNNNNNNNNNNNNNNNNNNNNNNNNNNNNNNNNNNNNNNNNNNNNNNNNNNNNNNNNNNNNNNNNNNNNNNNNNNNNNNNNNNNNNNNNNNNNNNNNNNNNNNNNNNNNNNNNNNNNNNNNNNNNNNNNNNNNNNNNNNNNNNNNNNNNNNNNNNNNNNNNNNNNNNNNNNNNNNNNNNNNNNNNNNNNNNNNNNNNNNNNNNNNNNNNNNNNNNNNNNNNNNNNNNNNNNNNNNNNNNNNNNNNNNNNNNNNNNNNNNNNNNNNNNNNNNNNNNNNNNNNNNNNNNNNNNNNNNNNNNNNNNNNNNNNNNNNNNNNNNNNNNNNNNNNNNNNNNNNNNNNNNNNNNNNNNNNNNNNNNNNNNNNNNNNNNNNNNNNNNNNNNNNNNNNNNNNNNNNNNNNNNNNNNNNNNNNNNNNNNNNNNNNNNNNNNNNNNNNNNNNNNNNNNNNNNNNNNNNNNNNNNNNNNNNNNNNNNNNNNNNNNNNNNNNNNNNNNNNNNNNNNNNNNNNNNNNNNNNNNNNNNNNNNNNNNNNNNNNNNNNNNNNNNNNNNNNNNNNNNNNNNNNNNNNNNNNNNNNNNNNNNNNNNNNNNNNNNNNNNNNNNNNNNNNNNNNNNNNNNNNNNNNNNNNNNNNNNNNNNNNNNNNNNNNNNNNNNNNNNNNNNNNNNNNNNNNNNNNNNNNNNNNNNNNNNNNNNNNNNNNNNNNNNNNNNNNNNNNNNNNNNNNNNNNNNNNNNNNNNNNNNNNNNNNNNNNNNNNNNNNNNNNNNNNNNNNNNNNNNNNNNNNNNNNNNNNNNNNNNNNNNNNNNNNNNNNNNNNNNNNNNNUUUUACAUGCUCCUCUAUUGUUGUGUGAACUUGCUGAACUCCUUUUUUCUGUUGUUCUACUUACUAAAAUCUUUUUAAUUUUCUUUUGUUAGGUACACUAAGUGGUUCACUCAAUUUUGGCAUUUUAGUAUCAUUGGCAAGUGGUGUAGGACUCCAUGAUUCUGUGUUGUCCACAAGCAACGGAAAAAAAGCCUGCAGAAAUGUUUCGAAUACUUUGAACGAAAUAAAGGUACAUUAUUAGGCAAGUGAUUGUGGCGGCAGAGAUAGCAGUUUGAUUGCUACACAAUUAUGUGUUUCACAAGAUUUUGCUAUUUUAAAUUAUAGUAAAUUUGAUUAAAUCCCACUCGGAAAGUUUGAAAUUUCUUGAUGUUGCUUAGUUAAAAUUUGGAUAUGGACAAUUAUGAUAUUUGUGAAUUUGGGUUCUUUUUAUAGGUGAUUUUUGAACAUUGCUAGAAUGAUAUAUGAUCUCAGGCCUCACACUCUUAACAUCUUUACGAGGCUUACGAGGUUCGAGAUGAGUUGGUUACUUAACAUGAUUCGUUUAAUUUAAUUAUGUGUUUGUGUAGUUGGGUUGAUUUGUUGUUUGUUUCGUUUAAUUGUACAAUUAAGGAGAUGGUGUUUACAAUAAUAAUAUUGAAGAUAGUUUGUAACUAGAGUAUGUUGUUAAUAAUUUGGUUAUGAGAAAUUGAGGCCGACACAAGUUUAAUCUGGCUUUCUCGAGAUGAUCUGACCUCGAGAAGAAAGAUUAUCUCAAAGUAGUUUUGUAAGUUGCUUCUCUCUGUUUUUGGACAAUGUAAAUUCUUACAUUACAUCUGCCUCUUGCAGGUAACAUCUUUGCUUUUAGGCUCUUUAUAUCGCCGAUGUAAGUUUUGCUCCAUAAAUUUCAGUGUUUGGCUAGAUCUCCUACAACUGUACUUUUAAAGAAAAAUAGAAGAAAUCAAGAACUGAGUUUACUGUACUUUUGCAGUGAUAAUCAGAUAUGUACCGGUUUUGCUUCGCAUAGUCACACCUUUUCUUUGUACAAUUGCAGACCCACUUUUAGGGGUAUUAUGAUGAGGAACGAGUGUACAGAAGACUUCUCAGGUCUUCCAUAUCUAUAUGCCCUCCUGCACUGCUUGAUUUGUGCCUGGUAUGGCAUGUCGUUUAUGUCAGAUGAUAAUGUGCUUGAUAACUGUAACCUUAUACAGCUACAUUUACUUUAAAUGUCUUGAACACAGUGGUUGCAAAUAAUGGUUAAAUGAUUAAUAUUUACACUGAUCUACUGCUUUUACACUGAUCACUGCUUAUGAUGUUGAAAAACCAAAAUUUGGUGGAGAAAUUGGGAUCAAUGGAGGGAGCUUGCACUGACACACGAAAUCUGUCAAAGCCUAGAUUACAAAGUAAUACUUUACUUGACUGAUCGACGGUUCAACUCAGCAGGAUAUGGAGUAUGCUCGCAGUGUACAUAACAUCCAAUCUCCCAAGGUCUCAUCAUCUACUUUGGAGACAACCUCAAAAUGGGUGUAGUUGCACUUGCACCCAAAAAUGAAGCCAGUGCAAAAAUCAAAGAGAUGACCCAUUUGUUAAAAAUGUUGAGGCUGAAGAGUACAAGGGAACCAAGGUCAGAGAUGUCUCCUCCGCUAAGAGAUGAGGAAAUAUGGCAGUCGUUGGUAUUUGGGAAAUGCAUGUUAGCAAAUACAUGGAUUAUAAAUUGUAUGAGUGACAGGAUGAUAAUAUAGCGUCUCAUAGUCUAAUAUUGCCAAUGACAGGGCUAAUAGCAAUAGCACUUUCAAAAGUAGGUUUGCAGCUGUGAAAUUCACUCAAAGUUGUGAAAUUUGUGAAAUUUGCUUUUGCUCUAACAUGUAAUACCCCGGGUUCCAUUCUUUUGUUUACUUGAAUUUGAAUUGUAUUGUUAUCUUUGUUUUUUUAUUAUAAUUAUCCAAAAAUAGAUGUCCAUCUUGACUUUUGGUUGGUUAUUAGACAGAGGAAUUGAGCCCGGAAAUAAAAGUGUUACUAAUUAUCAUCCAUUAUUAAAGCAAUUAUUAUAUUAGACCAAUUUUAUUUUUGCACUAUUUGAAAUAUUCACUUUAUCUGAAUGAUGAAUGGUUCUUCUUUCAGUUAAUACAGUGUCAUUCACUGGUUAACAAAUGACCUCUUAAAUUAUUCAUGAAAUCAUUUAAAAAUAUAUAAAGUUUAAUUGACAAAUUUAUCUUUUUUAAUAAAAUUAUACUCAAAUUUUUGGUUGAAAUGUAUGUAGCUUUAAGAUUAUAAUCACUUUUAGCCGAAAGUACUUUAAUAUUAGUGUUCAUAAAAAUAAUUUUUGAAUAACUUAUUAAUGAUUAAUUAUUUUAUGUAACGGUUUAAUAAAAUUAUACAAAUAUAAUGAUUUCUAAUUUGAGAAUAGUUUUUUAUAGUUCAAAACAAAAUUUAUAAUAAAAAAAUUUAACGAGUUAUCAGUAAUUAAUAAUAUACAUUUACAAUUAAAUUAUCCAAAUUAAUUAUAAAAUAUUAAAAUUUAAAAUAUUUGACUAAAGUGCGAGGCGUCACCGCUCGGCGACGUCGAGGGGCACUUGAUAGAAUAUGACUUUUCAUAUAUUACAAAGUUUAGCUAUAUAAUUAUUUUGAUUAUAAGAUAUUAAAAUAUAAAAUAUUCGACUAAAGUGUGAGGCGUCGCCGCUCGACGACACCGAGGAGGACUUGAUAAAAUAUGACUUUUCAUAUAUUACAAAUGUUUAGCUAUAUAAUUAUUUUGAUUAUAAAAUAUUAAAAUAUAAAAUAUUCUACUAAAGUGUGAGGCGUCACCGGUCGGCGACGACGAGGAGCACUUGAUAGAAUAUGAUCUUUCAUAUAUUACAAAGUUUAGCUAUAUAAUUAUUUUGAUUAUAAGAUAUUAAAAUAUAAAAUAUUCGACUAAAGUGCGAGGCGUUGCCGCUCGGCGAGCCGAGGAGUACUUGAUAAAAUAUGACUUUUCAUAUAUUACAAAUGUUUGGCUAUAUAAUUAUUUUGAUUAUAAAAUAUUAGAAUAUAAAAUAUUCGACUAAAGUGCGAGACAUCGCCGGGGAGCACUUGAUAAAAUAUGACUUUUCAUAUAUUACAAAUGUAUUAUAUAAUUAUUUUGAUUAUAAAAUAUUAAAAUAUAAAAUAUUCGACUAAAGUGCGAGGUGUCGCCGAGGAGUACUUGAUAAAAUAUGACUUUUCAUAUAUUGAAAAUGUUUAGCUAUAUAAUUAUUUAAAUUAUAAAAUAUAAAAUAUUCGACUAAAGUGCGAGGCGUCGCCGAGCGGCGACGCCGAGAAGUACUUGAUAAAAUAUGACUUUCAUAUCUUUAAAAAUAUUAUGUAAUUUUCGAACGUAAAUGAAUUUUAAUUACGAAUUAACUUUUAUAAAUACUCAAGUUAUACAACGGUUUUUGUUGAAUUUGAUUUUUAUUUUACACUGAACUUUUAUUUUUAUAACUACAAAAUCACAAGUUAUAUUUAAUAUUUUUUUUAUAACUCAAUUGUUGUUUUCUUGCAUAUAAAAGUUUGUAAGUAUAAGUAAUGGAUAUAAUAACGUCAUAUUAAUUUUCAAAAUAUAAUCAAUAUUUUAAAUCUUAUUGACAAAAAAAGGACUAAAUUCUAUCUAUUAUUUUAAAAUAUUAUUUUAAAAUAUUAUUGUAUAUACAAAUACUCACAAAUACUCCAUGACGCUGACGAACAUCCAAUAAUCAUUAUCAGGUAGUGAAAGAUCUGAGGAACACAUUAAAAUUUGUACUUCAAUAAAACACAAUUGAAAGAUGAAUUUUAGCCAAAAUAAAUAUGCAUGAAUACAGGUUGGCAAAUUGGCGUAACAACCACUGAGCUACUCAAGUACAAGGACUCGAUGAAAGGCCUCUACUACUCCCAGAACCUGAAAAUGCUAUUUCUAUAAUUCCAUCACGUUAUUUAUCUUAUUUAAUGUACUGUUCUGUGAUAACGUAUGGGAACUCGCUAAUAUGGAAUGCUAGCUUUGCAUUUGGUCUCCUCGCCAUAUUCACAAAUCAUUAGGAUUCAUAUAGAAUUGGUGCGUGUUCAAAACAGAAUUUUUUCAAGCACAAGAUCAGCAAAAAUAAAUUUAUUAAUCUUCUGCAAUUUAAAAUGCCCAGCAAGGCGGGCAUAAAUACUAGUUCUUCAUAUUUACACAACCAUUGAUCUGUCUUGCAACAAAUUUCAAGGAGAAGUUCCAAAGGUUACAUGAGAGCUUAAAUGGCUUGCAUUGCUCAAUCUAUCUCAUAAUAGUCUCACCGGACAUAUCCCAUCACUCCUCGGAAAUAUGGAAGCACUCCUAUCUCUAGAUUUGUCUUCAAAUCAAUUGACAGGGGCUAUUCCACACCAAUUAACUAAAUUGACAUUUCUAAAGGUGUUGAACCUCUCGGGAAAUAAUCUUACUGGGGAAAUCCCGCAAAAAGGGCAAUUCAGCACUUUUGGAAAUGAGUCAUACUUGGGGAACCCGGCCUUGUGUGGACUUCCUUUGACGGAAAAAUGCAUGCAUGCAGUGUCACCAACUCAAGAAGUCGGAAAUGGUGAUACUGAUGAAGAUGACGAUGCUGAUGAUGAACUUAAUUGGGAAGCCAUCCUGAUGGGAUAUGGAUGUGGAUUGAUAUGCGGAUUGUCUUUGGGGUACAUUGUUUUCAAGAUAGGAAAGCCUUGGUGGUUUGUGAAAUACAUUAAAAUACUACAACUGAAAUUGAUGAAAACAUGCACAAAGCAUAGCAGACGAAAGACUUGAGGAGAUGUUGUCUUAGGAUGCAAUCUCGUUUAAUACUUUCAUCAUUAUUCUCCAAGAUGUCUGAACAUGUAUUUUCAAAGAAUUCUCAGUUCACCUUUAGCCUUAUAAAGUAAAAGACAUUUUAAAGGCACUCUCAACUUACACCUAUAUAUACACGUACGGUUCACUUCAGUACAAAGAUUAUUAGCCAUGCAAAACAUGCAGAACCACUAGUAAUGCAGAAAAACAAAAUAUCAGUUUUCUCCAAAUAUCACUACAACAAAACUGCCAUUUUACGACGGAAAUCUAAUAUUCUAAAGGUUUACGACCAAACUAUGUUGGUGGACUUUAUUUUAAUUUACAGUUUUAACAGUAGUUAAUUUUGGAUAUCUAAACUUGCGACAGAAAACAUACGACAGUCUACCUCGCGAGAGAAAAUCAUUUUAUUUUAUUUUUUAGCGCCAGAAUUUUAAUACUAAAAUAUUAUAUAUAUGAAGGAAACUGAUCUCUAAUGUUUUCAGCUUGCUCAUCCAUAUGUAAGUAAUCCGUCGAAAAAGUUAGUUUGUUGUGGUGGUGUCUUAUCAUGAGAGAAAAUGAUAAUAUCGCAAAAUAUUUGCAACUGAAAGAUAAAUUAUAAUUCUAGAAACCAUUUAGGUAACGAUGCACGAAGUUAUUUUCACUCACUUAGAAUUAAUGAUCAUAAAUAUUUGCAACGGAAAGAUACAUUAUAGUUCUAGAAAAGGAUCCACGAAGUUAUUUUCACUCACUUAGAAUUAAUUGUAAGUUAUUGUGAGUUUUUGAAUAUGGAUUAUCUCAAAUUUUAUGAAAACACAUAUUGAUUCAUAUAUACAAAUUUGCCUACCUAAUAUUAUAAUAUUUAUGGAGAAGUUGUAUGAACAAUUGUGUAGAUAAUUAUACUUUACAAAGCAUACUUCUGCUAGAUGAAUUUUGAUUAAACAAAAUCGAAAGGGAUAGGUCUGGGUCUCUCCAAGUCUUUGAGGACUCAUUCCAAGUCUUCUGACGAGGACAAAAUAUAUUGCUGGUAGUCUUUCAGUCCUUCCUAGAGUAUUUUAUGCUCUGGACUGCAUUAUGCAGCUCUCAUAUAACUUUGCGAUGCAAAACAGUGGCAAGUAAGUAUUUCCGUAUGUGUAUUUAUUUGUAUAUUAAAGUUGCGUAACAUUUGUGUUGAUAAUUUGCGUAAUGUUGAUGAGGAUUGCUCCCAAGUCUUGGACGGACUCUUUCCAAAUCUUCUGAGGACAUAUCGGUUCAAAUUAGUCCAUUAAAAAUUUUAUGAUAUGAAGCUAUCUGCAAAAUAAUAUAUAAGGUAAAAUGAACCAUUGUUUUGUGGUUAAGUUGUACAGGCAAUAUGCAGUGCAAAAUCAGGAACAGAAUAUAUGAAUACUAGUAAUAUGAUAUCGGUAUGAACGAAUAUUUUCUAUGUAGUUGUUAUUGUGAUGCGGAAAAAAUAUUGUAACCAAAAAUAAUUAUAAUUCUAAAAAUUUCCAUUAUACACUUUUUUAGUGUUCGUGGUACUUCAAAUGACAUUUCUCGCGUAUGCCUCCAAUUAAGAACUUGAUGUUCAGCAUAGUCCGAAACUAAAAUUAUUAUAAGUGUGUAAUUCAAAAUUAUAUUGCUGGUAGUCUUUCAGUUCUUCCUAGUGUAUGCAGUAGUUUCAUUCGAUACCGAUUAUUUUAUGCAUUGCCCGAGAACCAGUCUAUCUAAAACCCUAAGAUGUUAUAUUUUUAUACGUGUAUUAGUUUUGAAGAUUAAAGUUGUAUGGACAAUUGUGUUAAUAAUUUGCGCAAUUGCGCAAUGAUAACUGGGAUAGGUCAUCUUCUCUCCCAAGUCUUGGAUGGAAUCUUUCCAAGUCUUCUGAGAACCCAUCAGCUCAGAUUAGUCCAUACAAUGUCAAGGGUCCUAUGAUAUGGUCUACUAACAGCCCAGUGUCGGUAAUAAAUCCAAUUGCAUAUAACCUAUUCAAAAUCAAUCCCCUAUAAACAAUCAUCUCUAAAAACUAUUCACAUAAAAUAAAAUUUUAAAAAUAUAAAAUAUCUAGUUGUUUUCAAUAUAUAAUUUUCCACAGUAGAUAACACAAUAUCUUUAUCAAAUUAUUAUUUAUGGGUUCAAUAUUUAAGCUAUAAUUCCAACAACACGGCAAGCAUGCAGCAUAUAAAUAGAAGUGUGCAGUAUGGUAUUGCAUUCAUAACCCAGUUGAGGAAAAAUAUGGCACCCUUCCUAAAGCCUUCUCACCUUCUUCUCUUUGUUUUCUUUCUCUCAUCACCUGAGUCCAUUCUUGCGACAACACGAGAAGGAGAAGCUCUUGUGAAGUGGAAGAAUAGCCUAGCCCCUUCUUCUUUUCUUGAUUCUUGGUCACUCACUCAUCUCGAUAAUCUUUGUAACUGGACUGGCAUUACUUGUAACUCUGCAGGUUCAGUCUCUAAGAUUAACCUUUUUGAGAAACAACUUAAUGGAAUGCUGUCCGAGUUUGGUUUCACUUCAUUUCCAAAUCUCAGCAAUCUCACCCUCACAUACAACUUCUUCUCGGGUCCCAUACCACCAGCCAUUGAGAAUUUAACCCAGCUUCGGUAUCUUGAUUUGAGCUAUAAUUAUCUGGAUGGUCCCAUUCCGUUCCAGGUUAGCCAUCUUCAGAGCUUGCUCAUCUUGAACCUGUCACAGAAUGCAUUGCAAGCUCCAAAUUGGUCCCAUUUCUCUCCCAUGCCUUUCUUGCGCAUCCUCAACCUCAGUUACAAUCCUCUUGCGUCGAAAUUCCCAAAUUUUAUAUCCAAUUCUCAUAGCCUGACUCACCUUAGCCUUAAUUUUAAUGAGUUUACUGGUGAUCUAGUACGUGAAUCAAUAUUUGCCAAUCUGCAUAAUCUUGAAGUCCUCAGUCUUCUUGGCAAUUUUUUUGAGGGGCCAUUUCCGCCAGAUAUAUUCAAGCUUUCCAAAUUAAAACAUCUUCACCUGUCAGGUAACAAAUUCUCAGGUUCAAUUCCAAAUGACAUAAGGUUGCUUUGUGGUCUUGAAAACCUAUUUUUAAGCAACAAUUCCUUUGAAGGACCGCUUCCACCAAAUAUAUUUAAGCUUUCAAAAUUAAAACAACUUGUUCUUUGGAGUAAUAAUUUUUCAGGUUCUAUUUCCAAUGAUAUAGGUUUGCUUUCUGAACUUGAAACCCUCAAUCUUCAAUUUAAUUUUUUUGAGGGGCCGCUUCCCCCACAUAUAUUUAGGCUCUCUAAGUUAACAGGUCUAGAACUCGGAGACAAUAGAAAUUUAUUUGAAGGAAGUAAUAUUCCUAUCGGACUGGGACUCUUGACUAACCUCAGGUACUUAGAUUUACAUUCCAGUAAUCUCAGUGGCUAUAUUCCAUCUGACAUUGGAAACCUGAAGCUACUAGUACUUCUUAGUCUCGGUUCUAAUCAAUUGACUGGACCGCUUUCAAAGAUCGUUUAUAAUCUCACAAAUCUUAUAUUUCUUGAUGUAAGUAAUAAUAGUCUUAGUGGAAAUAUUCAGAGUGACUUGUGGAAAUAUAACCAUCAUCCUACUUUGGAAUACAUCGAUUUUAGUGGGAACCAUUUUACAGGUAUAUUUUUUCUCUAUAGAUCUUUUCCUUUUGUCAUAUGUAACUAAGCUAGUAAUCUGAUUAUUGCAGUUUUACUGAAGUUUCAACAAUCUUGACAGGUGAGCUUCCAACAACAAUUUGCAAUGUCAUGUCCCUUUCGGUUCUUGAUUUGUCAAAUAAUGAAUUAAGUGGUGCACUUCCAAACUGUUUCGGGAAUCUUGCUGAUGGAUUGCUUUACAUUAAUCUUGCUAAUAAUCAGUUUCGAGGAACAAUACCAACUACUUUCUCCAGGAGUUGUCAGCUGACAUAUCUAAACAUGGAUAAUAAUGAGUUUGAAGGAUUGUUGCCCCCAUCUUUGGCGAACUGUAAGCACUUGAGAAUUCUUGAUAUUGGCAAUAAUAAAAUAGGUGGUACAUUUCCGUCAUGGCUUUAUGUACUUGGAGAGCUAGAAGUCCUUGUCUUGCGAUCAAAUAAACUCUAUGGUACAAUAAGUGGAAGGAGCAUAGAAGAUCCCUUCCCCAAGUUGCGGAUUGUGGAUCUGUCCAACAAUCAAUUCACAGGCCAUUUGCCAAUUCAAUACUUUAAGAAUAUGAAAUCAACUGAUAAUUUGUAUCGUUAUCAGAAUUCCACAGGAGUUUUUUCUUUCCAUUAUGAAGCAUCUGUCUCAUUAACUGUGAAGGGAACAGAGUAUGAAGUGAAAAAUAUCCUUCAUAUUUACACAGCCAUUGAUCUGUCCUGCAACAAGUUUCAAGGAGAAAUUCCUGACGUUAUUGGAGAGCUUAGAUGGCUUGCAUUGCUCAACUUAUCUCAUAAUAGUCUGACAGGACCUAUCCCAUCAUUACUGCGAAAUAUGAAAGGACUCCAAUCUUUAGAUUUGUCCUCAAAUCAACUGACAGGGGCUAUUCCACCUCAGAUAACUGCACUGACAUUUCUAGAAGUCUUAAACCUCUCGGGAAACCAUCUUAGUGGAGAGAUUCCUCAGAAAGGACAAUUCAGCACAUUCAACAAUGAUUCUUAUAUAGGAAACUCCGCAUUAUGUGGAUCACCAUUGACGAAGACAUGUGCAAACACAGCAUCACCUCCACAAGAAGUCGGAAAUGUUGAUGAAGAUGAUGCGGGUGAUGAAUUGACAUGGGAAGCAAUCUUGAUGGGAUAUGGAUGUGGACUGAUAUGUGGAUUGUCAUCUGCAUACAUUGUUCUCAAACUAGGAAAGCCUUGGUGGUUUGUGAGAUAUCUCGAAGUACUGCAACAGAAGUUGAUGAAAAGAUAUGCAUGAAGAAUGGUACUGGCCGAUCAAGACCAACUUGAAAGUUUGUUGUCCUUGUGCACAUUUCUGAACCAGUAGUGUACUUGCUGCAUAAGUAUUUGGUAUUAUGUAAUAAUCCGUUUGGUCGGGACUCAUAAUGAUUUCUCUUGCUUCAGGGGUAUUAAUAUUAACCUUGCUAUCUUGAUCAAUGUUAAAGCAAAUUAAAUGAAUGAAAAAACAAAAAGUAUGCAUCAAAUCCGCUCCUGCUGUACCAAAAUCCAUUAAAUUGCUUUGGUCUCUUACCUAACAAUUUAACAGCACACUUCCACACUGUUCAUACCUAAUUUGCGUGUAAUAUGAAAACUAAGAGGCAUGGCUUUUGUCUCUAUAAGUCUUUGAGAACUUAUUCUUCCAAGUCUUCUUCGGAGGCCUGCUGCCUCAACAACCUUUCAAAGAUGUAGCAGUUGCUCGAGAGUAACAUAUAUAUUAGAUAAAGACUAUGCAAUAAUCCACGUGACAGAAAAACCAAAGUCCAAUUAGUUUUCCAAGUUCAUAAAAAAUACUAUAGGAUCAUUAGCAUUACAUUAGUAUUCCACUAGCAUACAGCAUAUUAUAAGACAAAAGUAAGCGGAAAUAAACAUAAUUUCAAUAGAUUUAACUUACUCUUCAGAAUCGAUAAGUUUGGAACACGUUGAUUGAGCACAAGACGAAGGCCACACAUGCGCAUCAUCUGAUGCAGCUAUAUAUGGUGCCUUUACAGUUGCUCAUACAUAUAGUGAAACAAUAAGGAUCAACUCCUCCAUUGUACGUACACAUUUUCAUACAAGCUAUAAAGCAUGGUGAUAGAGUCUUUGCAAUCUCGUCAUGACCGGCACAUCCGAUUAUGAUAAACUCUAGCAGGAUCAUCCAAGUAAUAAUUUUCAUAAUGAUAUUAAUUAUCAUUGUGAAUAGUUGCAUUGAGUUAUAUAUGUGUGUGUAUAUAUAUGCAAUGGAUUUUGUGGUUGAGAAUAUCUAUUAGAUUUUGUAUAUCCAUAACAAUUAUUAAAAUUUAAACAAGAAUAUCUAUUAUUGGUUGUGGUUGACUAUUGUAGUAGUCCAAGAAAUCAAUGCAAGUGAAAUCUAUAUUAUAUUUUAAAAGAUUAUACAUGAAAUACAAAAGGUUUUUUUAGGACUGCUGUUAAAAAUUGUUAUGUUGUACGAAAAAAUGCUGAUAAAAAGAGUGUUAUACGAAAAAAUGCUGAUAAAAAAAAUGUCGUAUAAAUCAGAUAUGACAGCUUCCCACAAAAACUAAAAAAAACAGUUUUCCGUAAUAAUAUGGGAGAGGAAAAACUGUUUGUAGAUUUAUAGAACAAUUUUUCGGUAAAAAACUGUUGUUGUUUUCGAGAGUAAUGACAAACAGUGCCGAAAUCAUUUUGCAGGUAGUUAAUCUCACUUCCAUAUAAUAUACUCCUAUAUAUUACCGAAAAAACAUGAAAUGAUGCAAACCUCAUACUAUUGACAACAGCUAAACUCCUUGCAAUACUUUCAGCUGCAAAAUCCAUCAAAUUUUUUGAUUUAUCAUGUAACUGUUUGACAGAGUACUUCCAAGCCUAAGUAUCAAAAAUCACUACCUUACGAAAUAUAUCUCACCCUACCUUCUCUGCUUAACUGUUUCGAGUGCUUUUACCAAGCAUAUUUUCCAUUAAGCGUGAAAGGCACAGAAUAAUUAGGAUCACCGAAUAUCCCAUCAGUGCUGGGGAAUAUGGAACCAUCUUAUCAAUUAACUAGUUUAACAUUUCUUGCGGUCUUGAACCUCUCAGAAAACCAUCUUAUCCUAAUGUGCCGACUUCCUUUGACGGAGAAAUGGUGAUGCUGAUGCUAAUGAUAAUGAACUCAACUGGGGAGUGAUCCUUAUGGGAUACGGAUGUGGAUUGAUAUGCGGAUUUUCUUUGGGGUUUAUAUUUUGUGGUUUGUGAGAUACAUUGAAGUACUGCAGCUGGAGUUGAUCAUUAUAAAGAACAUAGGCAAGUUAAUCGCUUAUUGAAAUUAGUAAUUGUCAAAAGUAAAAUGUUGAAAUUACUUUUUUCGAUUGAAAUCAUUGAAAAAAAGUCUCUGUCGAAAUUGAUCUGCCAAAAUUAUGUUUAAUAUCUACGGCCAAGAUUAUCUGUCGAAUAUAUUUCCCGACAAUUUUAAAAGACAAAUUUUUCGCCUCUCAGCUGUGAGCGGGAACAGAUAUUUUCGACAGAAUUCCAUUGAAAUUAGCUAAUUUCAACAUAAAUUUUCUAUCGAAAUUACUUGAGUUCUUUGUAGCUUGUUUUCACAAAUACGCUGAUAGCCUUUGGGGACGGGUAUAUUGUUUUCACAAAGCCCUGGUGGUAUGUGAGAUGCUUCGAAGGACUGCAACUGAAGUCGAUAAGAACAUGCAGAAAGAAAACCGAUCCAUCUUGAUAAACUUGAAAAAUGUUGUCAUAUGGUGAUAUAUACUCCCUGGCCCCAGUCUCUUGGAAAGAACUUGGUUGAUUUUUUUUUUUCAGUAUUGUUGGAGCUGUCAUACUAGUGCUAGUGUGCCGACUAGCACUAGUAUGACAGCUCCAACAAGUAUCCAUCCCUAAUAAUUGCAGCAAAUUAAAAAAUAUAGCUAUAUCUUUUUAGCAAUGGUGCAAUUUGGAAAGCUUUCUCAUCAUCUUCUUCUUUUCUUUAUCUCAUUACUCUCAUCUAGUUCCACUGUCCUAUCUGCAACAAUUCGCGAAGGAGAAGCUCUUGUGGAAUGGAAGAACAGCCUAUCCCCGAAUUCAUUUCUUGGUUCUUGGUCACUAAUUAAUCUCACUUAUCUUUGUAAUUAAGUGGACUGGCAUUGUAUGCAACUCUGCAGGUUCAGUCAGUCAGAUUAAUCUUCAAGAACUCACACUUGCUAACCUCCGUUUCUUUUCGUUUCCAAAUCUCACCAAUCUCAACAUUACACAUAACAACUUCACUGGUCCAAUACCACCCGAGACUUUAGCUAUAGUAAUCUCAAUGGUACCCUUCCAUACCAGGUCAGCCAUCUUCAGAGGUCGGUCGUCUUAGGCCUCUAAUUUAAUCACUUGAAAGCUCUAAGCUUGUCCAAUUUUUCCCCCAUGCCUAUACUGGUUGGUCGCGGUCUUGGUGGUAAUAAGCUGGCGUCAAUUUUUCCAGAAUUCAUAUCUAAUUGCUAUAACAUGAUUAACCUUGAUCUUUCAUUUAACAUGUUAACUGGUGAUCCCUUCAACAACUUGCGAAUCUUGGAUCUCUUCGACAAUGAAUUCACUGGUUACUUGCCAAUCCAAUAUUUUAAUAAUAUGAAACCAGUUAAUACCGUGAUUGAUUAUUACAACAUAACAGUGAAUCAUGAUUAUCAAGCAUGUCUUGUUAACAUUUUGCACUCGUAUUAAUUGUCUUAUAUAUGACUAACUCAUCUUGCACUCGUAUUAAUUGUCUUAUAUAAUACUAAUAACAAAAAUAUGAGGCGGUGCUUAGUCAGAUGAUUUUAGUUGUUAAAAUAUUUUUGUGUUAUUUAUAGAUAGUGAAACAUGUCUAAUAUUUUAUCAAUUUUGUUUCGUUUCUUGAGAUUUCCAAAUAUUUAUUGGGACAUUGUACCAUGGUGUAUUUCACAUAUUCGCAAUUUUAAUUAUUUUGUAUUUUUAUUUUAAAGAUAUGAUAAAGUUUAUUUAUUUAUUUGUUUUUAUCUUAAAAGCGAUUUUCGAGUGUUGCUUAAACCUCGAAGAUUCCAAUCGAGUUUUAUUCUCGGAUCUGUUUCGGAAUUGAGCUUGGCCUUGAUUGUUUUCUGAAUAAAUCAGAUCUUUUGAAAUCAAAGGUUCGAUUGUGUUUUCCCGUCUCGCCUUUUGGCGUGUGUUGAUUUAGUACCCAAUUUUUGGGUGAUUCUGCGUUGUUAUAUUUGUGGUUGUUAUGUCUUUCUGUGUUAUCAAUGAGAAUGAUUGGGAUGGAGUUUUGGGAGAUUUGGCUUAUCGCAUCAUUACAUCUUUCGGCAUGUCUAUAGCUGGCUCCCGGCAUGUAGAUAGCUGGGGUAUGCUUGGAACGGUGGCGAUCGCAUGUGCUCACCUGUCACAAAUUAUAGUUGUUCAUUAUUCGAGGGCUCUUGUUCCUCGUUGCUUAGUUUUUACAACUGAGUCGUCUGAACACCGCAACAGCCAUGGAACUAUUGUGAAGGUCAAUUGUGAAGCUAUCAUUUUCGAGAUUGAUGUAGGCUGGAUUACUCGAGAAGCUUUUGUAUUCAUUUUCAGUUUCAAGAAUUCUUGAAUUCAGUGUGUUAAGCAGUCUGGAAACAAUGCGGCUAUUUGAUUAGCUCGUUUUAUUGUUUAUCAACCUGAUUGCAUUGUCAGUUGGGGAUUUGUCCCGAUUAAACUUGUUUUAAUAUAAUGGAAUGAAUUUGCAUUUUGUCAAAAAAAAAAAAAAAAAGCGAUUUUGAGUUGUUUGAGUUAGAUAUAUACUCCUACUGUGGUUCAACUAGUUUUGCCAUAAGUGAAUAACUUCCGGUCAAUAUUUUGAAAUUUGUCGUUAUCUUCUAAUUAAAAUAAAGGGUUAAAUAGCUACUUCAUCAUUAAUAUCGUUGAAAAUUUGCAGCUGAGUCAUGUUGUUGAAAAGACUUUCAAACUGCAUCAUUAAGUAAUUAAAAAAUUUCAAAAACACCACUCUCCGUCAGUUAUGUUAAACAAUUAACGGAAAGUUCGAAAAAAAAUAAAGAAAAGACAAAAAAACAUUAAAAAAAUUUGAAAAAAAAACCCGAAAAAAUGUGAAUAAACUAUGAUAUUUUUUUUCUUUUUUUGAAAAAUGUGAAUAAAAUCAAAAAAUCAAAAAAAAUGGGAAACCAAAAGUGGCAAGCUUUUUUUUUUUUUGUUCCUUUCAAAUUUUCUAAAAUCUGGGGAAAAAAGAACUUGCCAACUAAUUUUUUCCAAAUUUUUUCAAAUUCUUUUCAGAUUUUUGAAUUUUUUUCCAAUUUUUUCCUCACUUUUUUUCUGUUUUUUUUUGAAUUUAUUAAGAUUUUUUUUGUUUUUUCUGCUUAUUCUGAAUUUUUUAAGAUUUAUUCGCAUUUUUAAAAAAUAUUUUUGAAUUAUCCGUUAAGUAAUUAAUGGAACUGACGGAGAGUGAUGCUUUUGAAAGUUUUUAAUUACUUGAUAAUGCGUUUGAAAAUUUUUUCAACAACAUGACUCAGUUGCAAGUUUCCGGCGAGGUUAGUAAUGAAUUAGUUAUUUAACUCUUAAUAAAAAUCUAUCUAAACAAUAUUAUAAAUAUAAUGUUAUGGGUUCGAUGAGUCGUGUAAAACAUGGAAGAAGUUUAGGUGGGGUAAAAAGAGCCUAGCUGUGUGAUUUCCAUUCUGUUAUACGUGAUAUACUGUAGUUGAUCAUCUCCUUUGUCCGCUUCAUCCUGUGCAACCUUAACCUUUAAGGAAAAACUUAUGAGAUUCUCUAGUGCAUCUAAAUUCUUGUGUGAAGAAUGUGAAGAAAAAUGUUAGUCUCAGAUUAUUUUUCCUAAAAUGCUUGCAUGUUACAUUUUAUAUGUAUGUCCUGACUUUAAGUAUAAUUUAGCAUUUUUAUUUAGUAUUGUGUAAAAAUAAUAUAUUUUAUUCAGUCUUAUUAAAAAUAUAAUCAUGUUAUACUGUAAAAGUAUUUGUGAAUUUCUUUGUUACAUAUGUGUUUAAAUUAUUUUAUUUAUAUAUGUUUUACAAUUUUUUACAAAUAUAUAGGUUGAGUAUUGCAUAGGAAUAUAAUUACACGUUAGCAAAUAUGAUUAUGUGUAAACUGUUCUGCGUGCAUGUAUAUUGCUGCUAAGUUUUAAACUUCUUACUAACCGGAAUAAUUUUGACAGAUGUGUGGAACUUGAUUAAUUUAGUUGCACUAUAAGAGAAAGCGUUUUUGUCAAUAAAAAUUGUUAAGGAAAUUAGUCCGUUGGUAGUUCUCAACGGAUUUGUAACAAUUUGACUGGUCAAUGUUCUGUCAACCAAUUCGUAAUGAAAUACCCACACUUAUUUACAACGAGAUGUUCUAUUAGGAAAUAUAGCCACACAAUGGAAUAAUAACAAAAGACCAAGGAAUGAGCAACAGACUAGCAACGAAAGUAUCUGUUAUUACAUUCGUUGAUAUUCCCUUGAUAAAUACUAGACUUUUUAGCACUUUGGUGGCUUGUACUAUUUCAAAUUUGCACGUUAGUGGCCGACCUUUAAAAGUCAUCAAUUGUGUUGCUGAACUUAUUUUUUUUUAACACAUUAGGGGCUCCGCAUCAUAUCCGUUAAAUCGAAGUAACGGCGUCAAAUGAUCAAUACAUAUCUCCUCCUCCUCUUAUUUCCCUCCAAAUUAAAAAACGAAACGGCUACCCUCUUUUCCGAAGCAAGAACGACGACGAAUUCCUGCUUACAGAGAUGAGUUGGUUCCGGCGUCUUAAAGAGGAUGCUGAUGUGUAUUAGCCUCGACAGUGCCCCGAUUACUGUAGUAAGCUCUUCAACUUUUCUUCUUUGUAGCAUAUGAAAUGAGUUUAAUUGACCAUUAUUUCAGUGUUUGUUGUUGUUAGUGGCUAGUUGUUUAGUAUUAUGGACCUGCAAUUGCUUUAUACUAUUAAAAUGAAAGAUUCUGCUUGUGGGUUUUUAAAAAUUAAGGCUUUUACAUAGUCCAAGAUUCGGUCAUUAUAAAAUCAAUUUAUGCCUGUUUUAGUAUAGUGCUUGUUGUUAGUGGCUAUUUGUUAAGUAUAGUGUUGUUUAUUGUAAAUAAAACUGUUGCUUUGCACUCUACAUUUGCAGAACCUGGUGAUUUUACCCUAAAAAUAUAUCAUGGGGCCGAUUGGGUAGAUAACCCUAGGGCAUAUGUGGGAGGUACAGUAGAUUUCUUUGACUUCUGUAAUGCUGAUCAGAUCAGCAUAAUUGAGAUAUAUAGUAUGUUGAAAGAGGUUGAUGAGUUUGGGUUUCACCAACUGUGGUAUAAGCUACCUGGCACUACAUUCGAUAGAGCUUUUGUACUAAAUAAUGAUGAGGAGCUAAUGACCAUGUGUGAGCUUAUAUCUGAUGUGGAUAAGUAUAUGGAGAUUUAUGUCACCACUAUGGCACAUCUAAGUAUAGUGCCCUAUAGAGAUUUAGAGGUUGAAUUUGUUGAACCAACUCCUAAAGAAGCACCUGAAAAGAACAAUCCAUCACCUGAAAAGAUCAAUCCAGCACCUGAAAAGAUCAAUCCAGCACCUGCAAAGAUGUAUCCAGCACCUGCAAAGAGCAUUCCAACUGUGGGAAAUGAUGAUGAUCAGGAAGAGUUUGAGUUUGAUUUUGACAAUACACGGUUUUGGGAUACCACCCAAAAUGAAAUUGAAAUUGUGCAACAAGUUAGGGAAAUGGAGGGGUUGGAAGAGGAAUUUUCAGACACAGAUUCUGAUGAUGAGGAUUUUGUGCCAGAAGAAAAGGAAAGUAGUGAUGAGACCUUCCACUGUGAUAGUUCCAAUCAAGAUAAUUCUGAUGAUGAUUUGUUGUUUGAUGAUGAUUACUACCAUCCUUACCAGCAGAUGGAAACCAACAAAGAAAAAUAUACAACAACAACAACACAGCAAGAAUUUUCCAGUUCCUUGCUUGCUUCUGCGCCUCGGAUAGUUCUUCACUGUAGAAAUCCUUGUACUCAUCUUUGGCCUUAAUCAUUUCAGCAAAACAUUCAUCGUCCUUGUUCUUCAAACGCCUUAUCAGUCCAUUGAUUACACUCUUGCUGCGCGCAUCAAACUCGGGUUCAACCCACUUGAAGAAAUUGCACCUUCCAUUCACGCAAGUCAAGAAUCUUCUACCCGGAUUGUACUCCGUCCACGAUGUCUUCUCCACUGCCCAGCUUCCACACAUACAUUGUUGAUUCAUCUUUGCAGAGCUUUUUGGUUUGGAUGAGAGAUUUAGGUUUGAAUAUGCUCAAUUACACACAGCAGAAACGUAUAUAUAUACACAGCAUAUAGCCGUUGCAAAAAUAUUUUCCUGAAAUACCCCUGACGACCGUUACUUCGAUUUAAUGGAUAUGAUGCGGAGCCCCUAAUGUGUUAAAAAAAAAAUAAGUUCAGCAACACAAUUGAUGACUUUUAAAGGUCGGUCACUAACGUGCAAAUUUGAAAUAAUACAAGCCAUCAAAGUGCCAAAAAGUCUAAAUACUAACAGUUUCGUUAGUAAUUGAUUAUUAGUUUUACAUGGACAAUUGAUAUACACCACAUGAGCACAUACACGGAUACAAUGCCAGGCUCUUAGUUGAAAUGUGUGUACUGCUAAAGCUCAAGGAGAUUUAGUUGACUAAAUUGAUUUGAGUUGUAGAAAAAGGUUUAAUAAUAUAAUGGACUUUGAUAUAUGUAUUGUAGAUAUUAAGUAAUUCUCUUGAAUUUAUAUAUGUAACAUAAUUGUUAAUUGGCUCAUCCUUAACUAGAUAUUUUAUAUUACAUUCUUAACUACAGAUUUUGUAUUUAAAAUUUUUUUAAAAAAUUAACCUUUAUUUGGUAUGUGGAUUUUGUAGUCAAAUGUGGUCAAUUUACUUAGCCUUCGAUCGAAUACCUACCCAAAACAUAAAAAUAUUUUUUAAUCAUUUAUUUUCGACGAUCCAACUAUACGGAUAUUAUUGUAAUGUGAUAAUAUUGUUUACAAAUUUUUUUUAAAAAAAUUAGCCUUUUAUUUGGUAUGCGCAUUUUGUAGUCAAAUGCAAUUAAAUUACUUAGUCUUUAGUGGAAUCUUUACCCGAAACAUAAAACUUUUUUUUAAAAAAAAAUUUGGACAAUCCAACCGUACAGAUGUUAUUGUAACGUGUUAAUAUUGGUUAAAAUAAAUUUUGAGAAAAUAUGUCUUUUAUUUGGUGUGUGGAUUUUGUGGUCAAAUGCGGUCAAAUUACUUAGCAUUUAAUCGAAUACUUACCCAAAACAUGAAACUAUUUUUUUUAAAAAAUAAUUUCGGACGAUCCAACCGUACGGGGGUAUUGUAACACAAUAAUAUUGAUUAAUUUUUUUAUAGGAAAAUUAUAGCCUUUUAUUUGUUGUGUGGAUUUUGUUGUCAAAUGCAGUCAAAUUACUUAGCCUUUAAUGAAAUACUUACAUUAAACAUGAAUUUAUUUUUUUUUAAAAAUCAUUUGGAUGAUCCAAUCGUACGGAUGUUAUUAUGACAUGUUAAUUGAUUAAAAAAAUAUUUAAAAAAAAUGCCUUUUAUUUAGUAUGUGGAUUUUGUAGUAAAUGCUACUUAGCCUUUAAUCGAAUACUUACCCGAAACAUGAAACUAUUUUUCUAAAAAUCAUUUUGGACAAUCCAACCGUACGGAUGUUAUUGUAACAUGAUAAUAUUGAUUGUUUUUUUAUAUAAUAACCUUUUAUUUGGUGUGUGGAUUUUGUAGUAAAAUGCGGUCAAAUUACUUAGCUUUUAAUCGAAUACUUACCUGAAACAUGAAACUAUUUUUAAUAAAAUUAUUUUAGAUGAUCCAACCAUACAGAUGCUAUUGUAACGUGAUAAUUGAUUAUUUUUUAAAAAAAUUAGCCUUUAAUAUGGUGUAUGGAUUUUAUAGUAAAAUGAGGUCAAAUUACUUAGUCUUUAAUGGAAUAUUUAUUAGAAAUAUAUUUUAAAAAAUUAUUUUGGACGAUCCAAACUGUAUGAAUGUUAUUUUAACAUGUUAAUAUUGAUUAAAAUUGUUUUUAAAAAAAAAUUAGUUGUAUUUUAUGUGUGAAUUUUUAGUCAAAUACGAUAAAAUAUUUAUUUAGCUUGUAAUGAAAUAUUAAAACCCUACUUCAAAAGAAACUUGUCUAAAACUACCUAUAAGUGUUAGAGAAUCAUCGAUUUAGUUAUCAAAUUAGUUAUCAUAAGGGUUUUACUCCGCUUUUCUCUGGUAUGAUGUUGAUUUUUGGGGUUUGAUUGGUCGAUUUUCAUGUUUUAUAAGUUAUGUGAGUUCGAUUUUGAUGUUUUUACAAUUAGGUUUAUGUAUGUUCUUAUACAGGUUUCAUGUUCAUGUUUUGAUUUGUUGAUUUCCUAUUUUUCAUAUUUUGUUGAUUAGUUAUUUGUGUGGGUUUUGAACUUUGAUGAGUGUGUAUGUAAUCUCCUGUUUUUUUUUUUCAUUUUUCUGGUUCGAACACUUCGAUUAGUAGCUGGAAAAACAGCUGAUGCGGCAGUAGCGGCUAGUGAGAUGGAUAACAAGAAAAGGAUGAUUUCGAGGUCAUCUCGUGCAAGUCUUCAGAUAUAGUUUUGUUCCUUUAUGUUUUUAAUUGACAUAAAUUUUCACAUUUGAUGAUUAUAUUAUGGGGGAUUCUGGGUAUACUUGUAUAUAAUCUAGCAAGUUAUUAUAAUUCUGGACGGGGGGCUUAUUGUGAAAUUAAAUUGAGGGAUAAGUUGUGUUAUUGGUUCUAGUGGAUUAAAUUUAUGUUGACACUUGAUAUAUGCAUUGAUGUCGUAAAAUAAGUUGCACAUCAAACUAUUUGGCUUGUUUAAGUUGUAUGGAGUAAGGCUGUACGCGGAUCGGAUCGGUUCGGUUGGAGGGUAAUAACCAAACCAAACCGCAACUUACGGUUUUCUAAAAUCUCAAACCGCGACCAUACUGUUGGUUAAAAAAACCCAACCAAAUCCAUCCACGUAAUUGCGGUUGGUUGCGGUUCAACUGCUAAAAUAGUUAUAACAAAGAAAAUAUAUAAGUUAUUGCUUAAAAUCUUGCAUAAAGUACAGACUUUAACUCAAAAAUAUAUAAUUUAUCACUUAAAAUCUUGAAUAAAGUUAAUACAAUAAAUCUGAUUACAUAUUACAAAAGCAAACUACUCCGGAAAUAUAUAACUUGAAGCAGAGCUUCAAGUUAAUGGUUAUUAAAAAUUUCAUCCGCGACUGCCCACAUUUUACGGUUAUCCAUAAUACACGGAUCGGUUGCAGGUGGUUGUUGCGGUUAAUGCGGUGGAGCGGAUUGAACGUACAGCCCUAUGAAGUAUGGUUGCCAAGCAUUGGUUGGUUGUACACGUGUAAACAAAAUGAUAUUUUAAUAUUUAAACAAAACAAUACAGUCAUAAACAGAUCGUGUCGGGCUGGACUGAUUGUGAUUUUCCUUUUUGGAACUCGUACUCGGCAUCUUCCAAGCGAAUGAUAUUUAGAAGUUUGUUGCUAGUAUACUCCAUGUCAUAAUAAGAGUUCUUUAGAUUUUUUAUAUGUAAUUCGAAGUAUAAAAAACAUAUUUUAACAUAUUAUUUUUAAAUUUUUUAUACAUAAAAAUAUAACAUCUAUAUUUUUAUUUAGAAAAAAAUUUGAAAUAUAAUAUAUAGAUGCAUGUCUUUUUUAUACGUGAAAUUACAUGUAAAAAAUUAAAAGACUCUUAUUUUGAGUAAGAGAGAAUAUGAUGUACCAUAAAGUCAUCGAUCUUUUGUUAUCAAAUAAAUGUGAUAUUUAAUUAUUUAAGAGCAAGUCCAAAAGUAUCUUAGUUAAAGUCCUAAAUAUAAUAUAAAAUAUUACGUUCUGGUGAUUUAGGAUAUAUUUUACUAACUUGGACUCCAACAAUGUGUCUUAUUCUCAUAAGAAGUUUAAUAUUUUAUUAUUAAAGACUCUCUUUCAUCAUUAAAGCAUAAUAUAAAAGUAGAGAGAGAAAAAGAGUGUUGAUAAGAAUUAAUAAUAAAAUAUGGGAUAGGGUUAGGAGAGAUGUGCCUCAAAAAUAGGGUUUGAGGAGUUUCAUUAGGUGUGGACACGGAGACCAAGAAGUAAAAGAUGAGUACAGUUAAAUGAAGAUGUGGUAAAAUAAUGUGACCCAUUUAUAUUUAAUAAUACAUUUGAAAUAGUGGAGGAAAGUAACGAGUGUAAUAACGUUUAUAUUAUUAUAGCAUAUAGAUAGCAGAAGAAAGCAAUGGGUAUAAAAGUGUAUUAUAUUAUUAAAGUUUUGAAAUGUUUAGAAAUAAUGGGGCAAUCAAAAAGAAAACUGUAUAAAAAUGGACGAGAGAAUACAAUUCAAGAAGUAAUAUAUCUCAAUUCAAACUAGGUAAUAUAUUUAUGAAUUAUAUUAAAAAAAAUUUGACAUUCAAAUAUAAAAAUUUAUUUUAUCAUCUUAACAAUGGAAUAUUCGAUUAUUAACUUUCGUAAAUAACAUUAAUUUUUCAUUAUAAUAUACUCUAAACUUUUAUUUUAUGUGCCUGUUUGUUUACAAGAAGCUGGAGUCCUACUUCUCUUGACUCGUUUGUGUAAAAACGUAAAAAGUGCUUUUAAAAAGUACUGAGAAGGAAAUGGAAGUAGAAAAUGCUAGUUUUUCUUUAUAAUAUCUAUUUCUUUUCUAGACACUUUAAUAAUUUAUAUAUAUUAAUUUAUUUCUCACUUAUACUCCAUUUUUUUAUAGAGAACUUCUUUUAAACUAAUCGGCUCCUAUAAUCAGUAGUUUCUCAAUUUUAAUAGGAAUAAGAGCAUGUUUAUCUGAGCUUAAAGCCCGGGGUUUAUAUCAUCUCUGGCUUUAAGCUGAAAAAUGUAUGUUUGUGUAUUAAGUCGGAAGUCGGCUUAAAGUCGGAAAUAAGUCAAAAAUUGACCUAAAACCAGAAGUUAGUUUGAGAUACUUUUCUCGGUGACUAAUUUUUUUUUUAGCCAUUUUUUGAUAAAAAUUAUUCCUAAAUCACAAAUUACUCAUAAAUUACUUUUAUUAUUAUUAUUAUUAUAUUUUUAAUAACUUAUAAAUUAUUAAUAAAUCAAAAUUAAUCAAACAAAUAUUUUAAGUUCUCAUAUUAUGAGAUAACUAACGUUAAGUCAUGAAUCAACUGAACGGGAUGUAAGUCUUCUUCUCCCCGAGUCAUCAGCAGACUUUUUCCAUGUCUUCUGAGCCCCCAUUGGCUCACAAUUGGCCCAAAAAAUAUUUGGUUAUGCAUUGCUAUUCACACACUUAGACAUCAAAAUUUAUCAUCCGACAGGCGACAGCUAACUGCACACUAUUUUUCCCACAAGCUGAAAAAUCAACGAUCAAUUAAUUUUUCUUAUCAAUUAAUAAAGUUAUGAUUUCACGUACACGGCAGGCAAAAUGCUAAUAAAUAGACGAGUGCAGUAUAGUAUGGGUUCAUGAUCACCUUGAGAUUUAAUUGAAAAAUAUUAUGGUGAUAUAGAUUAAAUUAAAUUAUAAUAUCUUGAAAAGUUAUAAAUAAUUUUAAUUACUAAUAAUAUUUAUUUGUACAUUUAAAUAUUUUUAUAAAAACACAAAAAUAGCAUUAUACUCAUUUAAGUUUCUCGUAUCCGCCUCUCUUCUUGGAGAUUGUGGAUUUGCGAUAUUUAUAUUGAUUAUUAUAGGAAAAUGUUAUUUCCAGAGCAAACAUUUUUAUUUCCGGAGCAAAUUCAAACAAAUUUUUCCAAAUUGUUCUGGAAAUUAAAAUAUUGAUAUGGAUAUAACAAUUCCCUUAUUAUAUCCUAUGUAUAUUACAUUAAUGCAAUUAACAUGGUUGAUUGUUUUAGUAUAUAAUCAUAUUACUGUGACCUUUUAGUAUAUAAUUAUAUUAUUUUUGUUAUAUUUUAUGCAUCUAGAAACAAUUUUUUUAUGAUAUUUAUUAUAUUAAUUAUAGUAAAAGAUAUAAUUUUGUUUAAAAAAUUGAAUAAAACUAAGAGGGAUAGCCUACGUCUCUCCGAGUCUUCGAGGACUCAUUCCAAGUCCGAGAGGACCACAGCCUCAACCUUUAAGAGAUGUGAAAGUAGCUUGAGAGUGAUAUAAAUUUAUUUUUGACAAUAAAAUUUAAUAAUCAAAUAAAUUAAAUUAAAUUAAACUAGUUUAUAAUCGAUUAAAAAUAUAUAAAUCAAAAUUAUUCCCGAAUUAUGAUAACAAUUAAAAUCAUUUUAAAAGUUGCAUAAAUCAAAUCCAAAUCGAACAAAUUCCCCUAACACUAAAAUGUAGUUGCUUUAUUGUAGAUAAAAACAGUAUAAUAAUAGUAUUGAUGAAAAAUCAAAUUCAUCAAAUAAGUUUAUAAAAAAUACAUGAUUUUAAUUUUAAAAAAAAAACAUGAUUUUAGUGUGUUGUAUUAGUAGUGUGUCCACGCAUUUAUAUAUUAAAAUCUAUCCUCUAAAAACUAUCGAUCUAUUUACACAACUAUUGAUCUGUCGUGCAACAAAUUCCAGGGCGAAGUUCCAAAGAGAGCUUAAAUGGCUUGCAUUGCUCAAUCUAUCUCAUAAUAGUCUUAACGACAUAUGUUCUGAAUUAUUAUUAUGAUUUCAACAAUAUUUUCAAACAUUUCUUAAUAUGUAUUUUCAAAGAAUUCUCAAGCACUUGAACAUUUGGACCGGUUCUUUCGAAGCCAGGCAAUGCACAAAAAUGUCCAAAAAUGAAUAAAUUAAGAGAGAGUAGCUCACCCUUUCAAAGCCUUCCAGGACUCAUUCCAAGUCUUCGGAGGACCACUGCCUCCCCCUUUCAAAGAUGUGAUAGUAGCUCGAGAGUGAUAUAAAUUAUUUUCCCGACAUUAAAAAUAAAAAAUCAGAUUAAAUUAAUCAAUAAUAACUUAAGGAUGAAAUCCAAAUUAAUCCUAAAUUUUGAUAAUAUAUAAAAAUUAUAAUUAUAAAUUAUAUAACCAAAUCAGAAUUGAAUUAACUUACUUGGCACUAGAAUUGCUAAAGACAGUAUAAUAAUUUAAUUGAUGAAAAGUCAAAGUCUUCUAAUAAAUCCAUAAAGAAUAUGAUAAUAUGAAAAUUAUAAUUGAAAAAUCAAAAUCAAUAGUGUAUUGGAAUAGUGUUCACACACUUAUAUAUCAAAAUUUGUGGUCCAAAAACUAUAGCACAAUAUCCUAAAUACAUCACAUUAAAUAAUAGCACAAAAAUAUUCAAUAAAUAAUUGAUUUCAUUCAUAAAUUUGUUAUUUUAAAAACUAAUAAUUUGGUUGAUGUUAACCUAUAUUUUAUAUAUAAUUUCGUCUUAUUUUAUUUUACUAGAAACAAUAUUUUUAUAAUAUUUAUUACAUUAAAUAUAUUAAAAGAUAUAAUUUUAUUAAAAAAAUUGAAUAAAAUUAAAAGGAUAAGUCUCGGCCUCUCCAAGUCUACAAGACUCAUUUCAAGUCCACCGAGGGCCUCAACCAUUGAGAGAUGUGAAAGUAGCUUGAGAGUGAUAUAAAUUAAUUAAAUUAGUUAAUAAUGAAUCAAGACUAAUCAUGAAUUAUGAUAAUAAUUAAAUAAAUUAUAAAAUUAAAUUAUACAAAUAACACUAAACCUUAGUUACUUUAUUGGUAAAUAAAUAUAAUAUAAUAAUCAAAUUGAUGAAAAAUCAAAAUCAUUUAAUAAAUUCACAAAAAAUAUAUGAUCAUUAGUAUGUUAUAUUAGUAUCCACACACUUAUAUUUCAAAAUCUAUCCUCCAAACUUAUCAUCUCUGUAAACUAGCCACAUAAAAUAAAAAUUUAAAGAUAUUAGAUAUUUAGUUAUUUUCAUUAUAUAAUUUUUCCACACGAAAUAACAAAAUAUCUUUAUCAAAUUAUUAUUUAUGAGUUAAAUAUUCAAUUUAUAAAUCCAGUAUGCAGCGUAUAAAUAGAAGUGUGCAGUAUGAUAUCAGAUUCACAUAACCCAGUUGAUGAGGAGAAACAUGGCAUACUCUGCAAAGCCUUCUCACCUUCUUCUCUUUGUUUUCUUUCUCUCAUCACUUGAAUCCAUUCUUGCAACAACACGAGAGGGAGAAGCUCUUGUGAAGUGGAAGAAUAGCCUAGCCCCUUCUUCUUUUCUCGACUCUUGGUCACUCACCAAUCUCGAUAAUCUUUGUAACUGGACUGGCAUUACUUGUAACUCUGCAGGUUCAGUCUCUGAGAUUAACCUUAGUGAGAAACAACUUGAUGGAAUGCUGUCCGAGUUUGGUUUCACUUCAUUUCCAAAUCUCAACAAUCUCACCCUCGCAUACAACUUCUUCUCGGGUCCAAUACCGCCAGCCAUUGAGAAUUUAACACAGCUUCAAUACCUUGAUUUAAGCUUUAAUUAUCUCGAUGGUCCCAUUCCGUUCCAGGUUAGCCAUCUUCAGAGGUUGCUCAUCUUAAACCUGUCACAGAAUGCAUUGCAAGCUCCAAAUUGGUCCCAUUUCUCUCCCAUGCCUUUCUUGCGCAUCCUCGACCUUAAUAGCAAUCAUCUUGCGUCGAACUUCCCAGAAUUUAUAUCCAAUUCUCAUAGCUUGGCUAUCCUUGACCUUGGAUAUAACAACUUUACAGGUGACCUUGUGCGUGAAUUUACUAAUCUACAAAAUCUUGAAACCCUCUACCUAGAUGAAAAUUCUUUUGAGGGGCCAUUUCCGCCGGAUGUAUUCAGGCUUUCCAAAUUAAAACAUCUUCGCCUGUCAGGUAACAAAUUCUCAGGUUCAAUUCCCAAUGACAUAAGGUUGCUUUGUGAUCUUGAAUCCCUAUAUUUAAGCAACAAUUCCUUUAAAGGACCCCUUCCAUCAAAUAUAUUCAAGCUUUCAAAAAUAAAACAUCUUGUUCUUUGGAGUAAUAAGUUUUCUGGUUCUGUUUCCAAUGAUAUAGGUUUACUUUCUGAGCUUGAAACCCUCGAUCUUAACUCUAAUUUUUUUGAGGGGCCGCUUCCGUCAAAUAUAUUCAAGCUCUCCAAACUAAGGUAUCUUUCCCUUUGGGGUAAUAACGUUUCAGGUUCUAUUUCCAAUGAUAUAGGUUUGCUUUCUGAGCUUGAAACCCUCGAUCUUAACUCUAAUAUUUUUGUGGGGCCGCUUCCGCCAAAUUUAUUCAAGCUCUCCAAACUAAAGAUUCUUUCCCUUUAUAAAAAUAACUUUUCAGGUUUUAUUUCUAAGGAUAUAGGUUUGCUUUUUGAACUUGAAACCCUCUAUCUUGGCUCUAAUUUUUUUGAGGGGCCGCUUCCCCCACAUGUAUUUAGGCUCUCCAAAUUAAGAGAUUUGGGUCUCAGAGACAAUAGAAAUUUAUUUCAAGGAAGUAUUCCUAUUGGACUGGGACUCUUGACUAAUCUCAGGUACUUGAGUCUAUUUUCCAAUGAUCUCAGUGGCUAUAUUCCAUCUGAGAUUGGAAACCUGAAGCUACUAAAAGUUCUUGAACUCGGUUCUAAUCAAUUGACAGGACCGCUUUUAAAGAUAGUUUCUAAUCUCAAAAAUCUUAUAUAUCUUGGUGUAAGUGGUAAUAGUCUUAGUGGAAAUAUUCAGAGUGACUUGUGGAAAUAUAACGAUCAUCCAACUUUGGAAUACAUCAAUUUAAGUGGGAACCAUUUUACGGGUAUAGUUUCUCUCUAUAGAUCUUUGUCAUAUGUAACUAAGCUAGUAAUCUGAUUAUUGCCUUUUCACCAAAGUUUCAACAAUCUUGACAGGUGAGCUUCCAACAACAAUUUGCAAUGUCACAUCCCUUUUGCUUCUUGAUUUGUCAAAUAAUGAAUUAAGUGGUGCACUUCCAAACUGUUUCGGAAAUCUUGCUGAUAGAUUGCUUUACGUUAAUCUUGCUAAUAAUCAGUUUCGAGGAACAAUACCAACUACUUUCUCCAGGAGUUGUCAGCUGAAAUAUCUAAACAUGGAUAAUAAUGAGUUUGAAGGAUUGUUGCCCCCGUCUUUGGAAAACUGUAAGCACUUGAGAAUUCUUGAUAUUGGCAAUAAUAAAAUAGGUGGUACAUUUCCGUCAUGGCUUUAUGUACUUGGAGAGCUAGAAGUCCUUGUCUUGCAAUCAAAUAAACUCUAUGGUACAAUAAGUGGAAGGAGCAUAGAAGAUCCCUUCCGCAAGUUGCGGAUUGUGGAUCUGUCCAACAACCACUUCACAGGCCAUUUGCCAAUUCAAUACUUUAAGAAUAUGAAAUCAACUGAUAAUUUGUAUAGUUAUCAGCUUUCCACAGCAGUUUUUUCUUUCCAUUAUGAAGCAGCAGUCUCAUUAAUUGUGAAGGGAACAGAGUAUGAAGUAGCAAAUAACCUUCAUAUUUACACAGCCAUUGAUCUGUCGUGCAACAAAUUUCAGGGAGAAAUUCCAAAGGUUACUGGAGAGCUUAAAUGGCUGGCAUUGCUCAACUUAUCUCAUAAUAGUCUAACAGGACCUAUCCCGUCAUUGCUGAGAAAUAUGAAAGAACUCCAAUCUUUAGAUUUGUCCUCAAAUCAACUGACGGGGGCUAUUCCACCUCAGUUAACUGCGCUGACAUUUCUAGAGGUCUUAAACCUCUCGGGAAACCAUCUUAGUGGAGAGAUUCCUCAGAAAGGACAAUUCAGCACAUUCAACAAUGAUUCGUAUCUAGGAAACUCCGCUUUAUGUGGAUCACCAUUGACGAAGAAAUGUGCAAACACAGCAUCACCUCCACAAGAAGUCGGAAAUGUUGAUGAAGAUUAUGCGGGUGAUGAAUUGACAUGGGAAGCAAUCAUGAUCGGAUAUGGAUGUCGACUGAUAUGUGGAUUGUCAUCUGCAUACAUUGUUCUCAAACUAGGAAAGCCUUGGUAGUUUGUGAGAUAUGUCGAAGUACUGCAACAGAAGUUGAUGAAAAGAUGCUUGAAGAAAGGUACUGGUCGACCAAUAAGAACUUGAAAGUUGUUGUCCUGGUAGACAUUUCUGAACCAGUAGUAUUUGGUAUUAUGUGAUAUUCUGUUUGGUCCGGACUCAUAACGAUUUCGCUUGCUUCAGGAGUAUUAAUAUUAACCUUCCUAUCUUGAUCAAUGUUAAUGCAAAUUAAAAUGAAAAGGCAAAAAAUAUGCAUCAAAUCCCCUCCUGUUGUACCAAGAUUCAUUAAUUAAGAGGCAUGGCUUUUGUCUCUCCAAGUCUUCGAGAAAUUAUUCCAAGUCUUCUUUGGAGGCCUACUGCCUCAACAACCUUUCAAAGAUGUAGCAGUUGCUCGACAGUGAUAUAUAUAUUAGAUAAAGACUAUGCAACAACCAACGUGACAGAAAAAUCAAAAUAGGACAAAAUCCGUACGAAUCAAAAUAGUUUAUUUCUAAGGGGAAUAGCUGAAUUAAAUUGUAAGAGAAGUAAAACAGAUUCUUUUAUAUUUUGGAAUAUAACUGAAAAAGAUUUUGAGAUAAUUUUCAGAAAUCAAACCAGUCAAAUAAAUAUUCGCUGAAGGAACAGAGUAAAGAUACAACGAAUAUAACAAGUUGUAAGAUGAAUAUCGCUGAAUCAAACAGGGUAGAACCCGUACAAAAACGCCAAACAGAAAGGAUCAAAACAGAGUAAUCAAAUUUACCUAACACUAAUAGAAGUAGUGCUGAAUAAAAGAGAACGAAAUCUGUACCUUAAAAAUAGCAAACGCAAACACUAACCAACCUCACAAGGGACCAUCUAAACUCCCUAACCCCGACUUUAUCUUAAACUCCAAAUAUCUCCCUGACUCCAAUAUGCCCAGAACAAUAAACGAAUGUUUUGACCUUCUAAACGAUGUUUUCUGGAAUAACGCAAAACACGAAAAUCGUAGAGAACGAAAAGACCUUUCCGAAAAGGUAAGGCUCGUCAAGAACGGAGUCAUAACGAAUCGGGAAUUAAAUAAAACGUCCGCUGAUUCAGAACUCAAAGCGAGAACAGGAUCUGAUUAAGUUUUGUAAUUUUGAGAACAGUUUGAAACAUAAUCUGAGAAAACAUUAUAAACGAAAGUAUAUGAGAUUGAAAGAGCUUUCCGAAACAUCAAGAAUCAUCAAAUUCCGAUAAGAAUUGAAUUUUCUACGAAUUUUACAAGACAGCUGAUUUGUGAGAAUAAAGCCCUACGAAUUUUUGUCAUAAAAAUGAAGAGAAGGUUGAGUAGCUCUCAAAAGUAUAUAAAAAGAAUGAGAGAACAAAUCAAUAUACUCCCUUUGUCCCUCUCGUUUAUUUACAGUGUUUGACACGCAUUUUAAAGCGCAUAUAAAACAUAGUUCUAUGAUUUAUUUUCAAAAUUUUUCUUUUUUGUAUAAAAAUUUAAACAUCAAAUUUUUAUCUAGAAAAAAAGGAAGUUCAAAAUAAUUUAUUGAACUACGUUUUACGAGAGCAUUAGAAUGCGUGCCGAGCCCCCGUCCCCCAAUGUAAACAAAUGAGAGGGACGGAAGGAGUAUAUAUACAGAGUCUUGAGACCCUAAUUCUAAACCUAUCCAUUAUCUGAAUGCAAGGCUGAUCUAUAUUUUAAGUACACUAUCCUAAUUCAAUUUUAAAUCCUAUUCAUAAUCUAAUUUUAAUCCUUUAUUAUUAUUACUAACCAAUUAAUAUUAUUUUAAAAAAAUACUGGAUAUUACAUUCCUGAUCAGACUAGUGAUCGGAUUGCAACCGCAAAGCAGCCUAUAUAUAGUGACAAUUAAAUACACAACAAAACAACUUCUUUCUUCUCUCUUGGGUUAUAAUACUCAGACGGACAAGCUAUAUCUGAGGCGAUUUUCUGGGCGAUUAAACACACAAUAAAAGCAGCUUCUUCUUCUUCAAUUAAGGUUUAUUCUACACCCAAUCACAUACACACACACACUUUAAUAUGACUAGUGAGUUCAAUUUUUGGUGGUAUUAUAUGAUUAUCAUGUUCUCUUUUUAAAUAUUAGUAACGUUAUUUUCGGAGUGGACUCUGUUGAUGUUUAAAUUUGAUAUAGAUAUUGUAAUUGAAAAUUUAUGUUGAUUUGUUGUUCAGAUUUCAAGUAUUAAUUUGUGUGUGAUCAAAAUUUUGCUUCUACAUCGAUUAUCAGGAGGAAAUAUGAGGCCGAUCUUGAUCAAAGGACACGAAAGGCCAUUAACAUAUCUAAAGUAUAACAAGGAGGGUGACCUCCUCUUCUCCUGCGCAUUAGACAGAAACCCCGCUGUUUGGUACGCUGAUAAGGGAGAGCUUUUAGGCACUUACCGUGGGCACAUUGGUUCUGUUUGGGGUUGUGAUGUUUCUAGGGAUUCAAAACUUUUAAUAACUGCAAGUGCGGAUCAAACAGCAAAGGUAUGGGAUGUUCAAACUGGGUCUGAGCUGUUCACGUUUGAAUUUAAGUCCACUGUGAAAUCAGUAGAAUUUGGUGUCGGAGACAAGCUUGCUGUCAUUGCAACAGACUCCUUUCGUGACAUGUCUUCUGCAAUUCAUGUCAAACACAUAGCCAGAGAUCCUAGUGAACAGUGCGGUGAUUCUGUGAUUGAAUUCUCACCUGGAGGAAGAAUCAAUAGAGCUGUUUGGGGACCUUUAAAUAGGACCAUAAUAAGUGGUGGUGAACAAGGCGUUGUUCGUGUGUGGGACGUUGAGACAAAGAAAGUGAUUUAUGAGUCAGACAAGGAUACUGGUCAUCAGAAGGCCAUUACAUCACUUGCAAAAUCAAGAGACGGUUCACAUUUACUUACUGCUUCCAUUGACAAAUCAGCUAAGCUUUGGGACAUCAGAUCAAUGAAACUUCUCAGGACAUACAAGGCUGAAGCCCCAGUUAAUGCAGUUGCACUCUCUCCACUACUUGAUCAUGUCGUGCUCGGAGGUGGUCAAGAUGCAUCGACUGUUACAAACGAUCCUCGUGCUGGCAAGUUUGAGGCCAAAUUUUAUUCCAAGGUCCUUGAAGAAGAAAUUGGAUCUGUGAAAGGACACUUUGGUCCGAUAAAUGCAUUGGCAUUCAACCCUGAUGGAAAAAGUUUCGCAAGUGGAGGUGAAGAUGGUUAUUUGCGAUUACAUCACUUUGAUCAUGACUACUUCAACAUGGCGAUUUAAUUCGAAUUACUUACAUUGCUACGUCUUUUUUUUUUUUUUUCCGGUUUUAUUCAAGUUAUUUUCUGGUUUUUAUGUUGAUCUUAUGUUCUUUGUUAUAAAUAGAAGUGUGGUUCCUUUUAAAACUAUUUACAUAAGUUUUUGGCUUUUCAUGUAAUUUAAUCAAAGUAAAUGCCAUGAGAUCCUGAAUAUAUCUACUUAUCUAUCUAUCUACUUAUUAAAGCAGAAUCAGGGGAAAAAUAUACCAGAAAUUGGAUGAAAAAUUUACAUACACACCCUCAAUUAUUCAUCAAUUCCGAAAUUGGCCUGUAGUUUAGCUGUUAACUUGCAGGAUUUUUGUAAAAGUAGGAAUCAGCGAUUCUUAGGUACCCCAGUGACCCCGAAUCGGUUUCUCAGAUUCUUGGAAAUCCUCGGUCAGUUGAUUUAGAUUGUGGGCAUAUAUACACCUAUAGUCAGCCUCCGGCGGUGCAAUCUUUUGGUGGUGUUUUUCAGCCUUUUCUGCUAUAGCGAUUCUUGUUAAAACAUUCAGGUGCUAGGGUUGUUUUGUUGGUAAAGGGAAUUGGAUUGUUGUAUCUGCGGUUGUGGCAAAGGUAAUUUUCUUGCCCUUGCUAUUCUUUUGGGAUGUCUGAUUAUAAAUAGCCCUUCUAACUUUGUUCACCUGUUCUGUAUGAUGUGUGUCAUUUGUGAUUGAGUCGAGCAGUAUAUCAUUUUGAUGCAUAUUGUUAAUUUCACUCUGGGAAAUUUUUAUGCUGAUGUUUGGGCAAUUAAUUCUGGUUAUUUCGUUGAUUUUGUUUGUGGUUUGUUUCCACCUGCCAUUAGAACUGUAAAGUAAAGUGUAUUUAUUGAUCAUGAUUCAAGUGUUUGUAGAUAAUCGAUGUGGGUGACAAAGAAGCUGCAAAUGAUGAUGGUUCUUCACAAAUUUUAUCUGCUUUGCUUCCUUUUGUUGUGGCUCUCACCAUGGUUGUCAAGUCGACGACUGCUGUUGCUGCUCUUGCUCAGCCCUCAACUUUCACCUGGUAACAACUUUUGUAUGUUUGGUAAAAUAUUUUGAUUUUUUUUUUUUUGUAAGGGUAAAAUAUUUUGAUUGUGAUAAGCUAAUUUAUUGUUUUUUAAUGAUUCCAACACUACAACAGAUUUAGCAUCACACAACGGUUUUUGCCCGUUGUCUGAGACCACGGAAAACCGUGGUCUAUCGAGACGCCGUCUGAUAUGCGUAUCAGACAACGGUGCGCACCGUUGUGUGAUAGUGCUAAACACGAUGGUUUACGUUAAAAAAAUUGUUGUGCAACACCCAGAACCAACAACGUUUACUCUUAAACGUGGUGUUGUUAGAAACACUCCUUAACAAUAGUCGAUUUCAAAAAUGGUGUUGUUAGAGAGACUAUCCACAACAGUUUUAUUAGCUCGCAAGACUUGUUGGAAAGAUGAUCAUACAACAGUAGUUGAAAUAGAGAAGCUCGUUCUUUCCUCUCUUGUACAACGGGUUUCGAACACCAAGCCACUUGUGUAAGGCCCCUUCUAACAAUGUUUUAAUUAGUGAGGUUGUUGUGUUUAGUUACGUCAGACAAUGGUUUUCUUUCAUAGUUGGUUGUCGUUUACAUGUUUUAACAAUUGUUUCUGUUUCAUCAUUAUUGCAAGUCAUUUGUUUGGACAAUGGUUUUGUGACAAUAAAUCAUUGUUUCCAGUUUUAUGAGACAAUGUUUUUAAUGAAUAAUGAUUAUUGUAUCAUGUUCAGUAUGACAAUGGCCCUGUAUUAUCCCAUUACCUAAAUACAUAAUAGACAAUGAUUAACAUAACUCGAUUAAACUAAGCUAGAGAAUGUAAUUAAAAAGCCAAAAAUUUGUAAACAAAAAAUUUCAUUAUGCACUAAUAACCAUUGUUACAACCAAAUCAUAUAUACCAUCCAAUAUCCAGAAAUAUUUCCCCCGAGGAUGGCAAAUCUCAAAAAUAUAAAUACCUACAAUAAAUGGUAGCAUCUAGAGAGGCAUAUGUGACUACAAGAGUCUUUUGUGAGCUUUUCAACUACCCAGCCCAGGAACAAUCCUCUGAUUGCAUUCUUUUGAUUCGGAUGGAGCCCUCCUGCUAUCUCUUUUGGAAGUGACUCUACUGCAACCACCUGUAAUACAUAAAAAAGUUCUUGAUAUGCUUUUCGUACAAAGAAAUUAAUGUGGUUGAGGAGUAUGUUUCGAGUUCAAAAUAUACCAGUGUGCCAUCUUCCAUGGUUUCACGUCAUUCAUACACAAUAAAUUGUAGCAAUUGUGAGCCCUAUCAACAUACCAGUCUUUCUGUAUUUAGAGUUGGAGCAGCUAAGCCAAAAUCAGACAAAUGGGGAUUGAGUUCAUCAAGUAAAAUAUUUGCUGACUUUAAGGUACUAUUAACAACAUAAGGAACAACAUCAGCAUCUUGCUUCUAUCAUCAGUGAAGUAUAAAAACUCUUGCAAGCUACUAUUUGCAAUAUAAUCAUGGACCAGAAGACGUACCAUGUUCAGCGGAAUAUCAUUCAAAUCUCUGGCAUGGUUGUUGUGAUGGAUAAAAAUAAGUUCCUUUAUGACCUGAAUUAAACAUUAAAAGAUACCAAAUUAACCGAAAUGCGUAGAGAUGCACAAAAAGUCCAGGCCCGAAAAUAUGGUCAUAGAGAUUUAAAAAAAGUCGAAAAUAAAGACAAACCAUGUGAGUAAAAAGCAGAGUAAGGAGGAUUGAUGGUAGUGUUUGAUAUAGAUGCCAUGUGGGUAGAUCCAUAUGAGCUGCUGGAAGCAGAGAGAUUUCUUCCAAACUCUCUUACAUUAUUGACAACAUUUGUGUUAACAUAUAUGUGUUGUAUAUGAAAUUUUAAAGAUUAGAUACAUAAAUAUAAUAUUAUUCGGAAAAUAUAACAUACCAUCUCGAGUCAUUUUCUUGCUUGGUCAUUAAAAUAACCUACAGCAAGUAAUGUACCCUCACUCUAUAAGAAGAAGAUGGACAAAAAGAAGUCAGUUGUAUGGAUGCCUCGGAAUAUAUACAAGAAUGUCCCAGGGAUAUUUAUUCAGUUGAUGAAGCAUGUAUAUCUAGAAAUUAACAAACCUCAUCAGCCAAAACAAAUAUAAAAUUAAUAAAAUCAUCUGUCUCCAAACACACAGAUUAAAAUCAAAGCACAAAUGUUAUCACACAAAACCAAGACAACACAAGAUCCAUCACUAAAACACACAACUACUACUAAAAUCAAACACACAAACAAAAAUCUCAUAUAGAUUCAAACUUUAUCCCCAAAAUCAAGUAUAAUUACACAGUAAAAAGCAUUCGUUUACCUCUUCAUAAGGUGAAUUGUUGUUAAACUAAUCAGCACGGUCAACACCGGCAUCAAAAACUUGAAUGGCCUUUGGGGUUAUCGCCGACAGAACAGAUCUGAGUAAGCUUUGUAGAAAAUGAGAUAGAGACGGGGGAGGGAGGGGAGAGUUCAGAGGAGGGUGAGGGAGAGACAGAGGGCGAGAGGGAGGGGAGGGGCGAGAUGCUUUAACAAAUCAAUUGCGGCAAGAGUGGGGAAGACACAGCCGCACCAGAAGAGGAAGAGAUAGAUUCAGAAGAAGAGAGAUUUACUCUCACUUACAAAUUUUAGGUCAAAAUAGAGGGGGGGAAAUGAAAAUUUGGAUAAACAAGUAGAGAGGGAAUUGAAAAUUUUUGUAAGGUGGAAAUCAUUCGUUCAUCCCGUGUAAAUAACAAAAUCAAUGUAUUAUAAUAUCCAUAUAGUUGAAUUAUAAAUAAAUGAAUUUUUUAAAUUAUAUUUUUGUAUUUGAUUACAAAUAUUUCAUAUUAAAUAAAUUUUAAAAACAAUUUUAAUGUAGAUGUCAAUAUCUAAUUAUUUUAGUUAUUUGUGAAAAUCUUCAAAAAAUUAAAAAUUAAUCUGGUAAAUCUUUUUGACAAAAUAUAGUUGAAAUACAACUAUUUAAUAAAAAAUUAAUAAUUCUUUAAAAGUUAAAAUUCUCAUUUUCUCGAUGUAUUCCGUUUUUGUACUCUUUGUCUAAAUAAAAUAUACACAAAUUUUUAUUAUUCAUUUGUAAUAAGAAGAUAUUUGUGUGGUUCAAAUGUCAAUAUUAGUAUAAAUUUCAUAUUUACAAUAUAGGAUGUACUUAAUAGAAGUUUUGUGAUCUAUAUGAUUAACCCCGUAUUAAUUUUGAAAUAUUUUCGAUCAUCCAAACAUAUAAAGAUCUUAAUAUCUAUCAAUAUUAGUCAUGUAUAAUAUUUUUAAAUUUUUCUAUAUUUAUUUAUAUCUUGUUGUAACAAAACUAGUGAUGAUCGUUGUUUUUAUGUCAUUUCUUAUUUUUGUACUUUUUAUCAAAAAAUUAUAUUUAUAUUAUGCAUAUGUCCAAAUUUGUAUUAUUCAUUUGUAAUUGGAAGAUAAUUUUGUUGUUCGGACCUGAGUAUUACUAUGUGUUUUAUGUUCACAAUUUAGGAAGCACUAGAUAGAAUUUUUGUUAUCUACAAAAUUUGCUCUGAAUUAAUUUAUAAAUAUUUUUUUCGAUGAUAUAACCGUACGGAUGUUAAUAACUAACAAUAUUAGUCAUGCAUAAAAAAAUUAGAUUUUUUUAUGCUUAUUUUAUAUGCUUUUUUUACAAAACUAGUCAAUUGUAAAUUUUGUCUUAUUGUAAAAAGGUAAUUUUUGUCUUGUAGUGUCCAACAGACAACGGUACUUAUAGGCACGUGUGUUGUAUGAGUUAAAAUGACACAACUGUUAUGGACAUUAUACAGUCAUAACAAAAUCUAUUGUCUAAAAUAGGCUCAAACAAUGUUUCGGGAAAAACUCGUUGUGUGUAAGUAGUGUAGACAAUGGUUUCUGGGAGGCAAACCGUUGUAUAAUAAAUUUUCAUUUUUAAGAGUUAGAAAUUCACAUUUUCUUGAUUAGUUCUUGUUUUUGUACUCUUUGUCUUAACAAAUAUACUUAUAUUAUGUAUAUAUGCAAAUAUCAAUUGUCAUUUGUACUAUGAAGAUAAUUUUGUAGUUCGAACAUGAGUAUUGGUAUGUGUUUUAUAUUUACAAUUUAGAAAGUACUGAAUAGGAUCUUUGCUAUAUAUAAGAUUAGCUCCGUAUUAUUUUAUAAAUAUUGAUUUUGAUGAUCUAACCGUACGGAUGUCGAAAACUAACAAUAUUAGUCAUGUAUAAAAAAAAUCAAUUUUUUAUGUUUAUUUUGUAUGUUUUUUUUAACAAUACUAGUCAAUUGUAAAUUUUGUCUUACUGUAAAAAGGUAUUUUUUGUCAUGUAGUGUCUAACAUACAAUGGUUUUUAUAUGCACCUAUGUUGUAUAAUUGAAAAUGAUACAACUGUUACAGAAGUAUACCGUUCUAAGAAAAUCUAUUGUCUAAAUUAGGCUCAAACAACGGUUCACGGAAAAUCCGUUGUAAAAAAGUAGUGUAGACAACAGUUUAUGGGAAGGAAACCGUUGUAUAAUAAAUUUUCAUUUUUAUGAGUUAAAAAUUCGCAUUUCCUUGAUCAAUUCUUGAUCUAAUGCAAGAAAAACAUAUGACUAUCAAGAAAUUGAUUGUUUUGUUAUAACUUUGGUUAGGACUUUGAAUCUUUGCACUCUCUUAUGUACAUCCAUUUUCUUAAAAUUCAUUCAAUCAUACAACAUUUUAUUAGUUAGUAGAGGCUUGUCUAUAAUGCCAUGCUACAAUGCUAACAAAAACACUUGUAUGUUAGCUUCCCAGUCACACAACACUAUAUAAAACCCUUGUUUGAACUCCUCGUAAACAACACAACAAAUAAAACACUUGUCUAAUUACAACGACGGUUUCUUGAACUAUUGUCUGAAGUUUCUUCACACAUCGGCUCUCAAAACAGUUGUCUAACAUGCAUCAUUACACAAUACCACAGUUAAGAAACCAUUGUCUAAUUGAAUUUACUAGACAACAAUUUUUUAACCGUUGUAGGUCGUAGAUGUUAGACAAUAGUUUUUCGAGGCCGAAAAGAAAGUGUUGUGUCUUUUUUCCAAACAACGCUUUUUUCACCGUGCGUUGUCUGAUCAGUGUUGUCUAAUGGUGUUAUUGUUGUAGUGCAAGUUGGAUUUAUUUAAUGCUAAUAGGUACUUGUUCAAGUGAGGAGAUUUAACUGAGAUUCAGGUUCUGGCAUUUGUCUUGUGUUGUUAUUUGUUUAUGUACCGGUUUUGAGAGUCAUUAGAGAUAUGUAAGGUAUUUAUUCCUAUUUUUUAUUAUUAGUAUUACAUCGUUUUCGGGUAAAAUAAUCGAUGAUUGUUUGUUUUAACUGUGUAAUAGCCUUAUGAUCUGCCAACUUAUGUAGACAUGUGAUAAACAUGUUGACUGUGGUCAAUAUUUUAGAUGAGGUAGUGUGUUUGUUGUUAUUGCAAGACUUUUUGGAAUAAUCAUUGUCAAAAAGAACUAACGAUGAAUGGAAAUGAAGUUCUGAAGAAGUGAUGAUACAAUGUUAAAGAGAUUGCUUUUUGUUGAAUUUUUCUGACUCUGGAAUUAAACUGCGUUAGUAUCUUCUUCUCUGAUUUUCCUUAUUUGGUAGACCUACUACUUUCAGAAGAUACAUGUGGUAUUUGUUUGGUUGAUUAAUUUUGGUAAGAUACAGUUUCCGUUUGGAAUCAGACUAUCCAUUGAACAAUCAGACUAUCCAUUGAAGAUUUUAUGCUCGCUCUUAAAUGGUUGAUCCACUGAUCUUAUUCUUACUUCAUAUGAGCUAAAGCCAGCUCUAGGGGUGUUUCUCGCAUACAAAAAAAUUAAAAAAAAUAUUAUGAAACUAUACUUUGCAGGAGUCUCAAAAUAAAUAAGUGUAAACGAUAAACUUAAACACCUAACUUCUUAAACACCUAGCAUAACACGGGUGAGCAUAUGGUCAAUCAUACCAAAUUGAAUAAAUCGAAAUUAAAAUUUAAAUAUUUUUAGACUGGACCAAACUGAAAUAUUUUGUCCGAUCCAGUUCAGUAUGAUCGAAAAGAAUUGAUUCUUUUGGAAAAAGUAACUUAAUAUUAUAAAUAAAAUUAAGAUUUAUAAUUUAUUUAAAAACUAUCAAUGAAUCAUCAACACUUCUUCAAAAAUAGAUACAUUUGAAUUUAUACAUUAGAUAUUAUAACUUCUAAAAAGUAUAUAAAAAUAUAUAAUAUAAAUAUAAAUUUAUAGUAUAAUUUUUUUGACUAUUUAGAAUAUAUUUUUAACCCAAAUAUUUUUUUUUAAAAUCAAAUUUUAUUUCGAUGAACUUUUCUAGAAAAUUAAGAUAGAAACGAAACUCAUUCCUACAGUAAGGUUUCAGUUUUUCGGCUGCAAUACGGUUUUGCUCAUCAUUAGCAUAAAUGGAGUAUGUAGUAAAUAUGAAUGAAUGGCAUGGGAAUUCUUGGAAUGGUAUCAAGAAUUAAGAUUAAAGCACAUUAGAAGUUUAGAACCAUGAAUGUUAUUUUUGAAAAUAGUAAUCCCUCCGUUUCUUAUCACGUUUCUCGUUUGAUAUGUCGGAACGGUUCAUAAUAUGAGACAAAUUAGUAAUUUAUGUCCAAUUUAUAAAAUUAAAUAUAGUCAUGAGUGAUCUUGUUGGAUUCGUAUCUAUGAGUACUUUAAUAAGAUGAAAUUUUUAUAUUUAAUGUUAAUACAAAAUUAAAAUAUAUUAAUUAAAAAUAUAUAUUGACAAACGUGAUAAAAACAAACAGCAAAAAUAUUAAGAAACGAAGCGAGGGAGUAAUAAAUAUGCUUUAUGCUGAACUGAAUUGAGUGCGUGGAAGCUUGGGGAGGCAGCUUACUACAGUAUCUACGUGUAUCUGUAUAUGCAAUAAAGACACAAAUACUCACAGGAGAUUAUUUUUCAAACACUUAAUUUCCCCCUUUCCUUCUCGUAAUAUUCAACUCAAUUCAUCACAUCAUCUUCUUCAGACAAACAACUAUACUCACUUCAGAUCAUCACAUCAUCUUCUUCUUGACUUCAGAUCCACAUUUCAAACCCUAAUCAUUCGCUUGGUCCCCUCCCUCUCUGUAAUAAUACAAUUCUUUCUACACACAAACAAUAACAUCAUCAUCAUCGAGUGAAGCUUCAUAUCCACAUUCCAAGACCUAAUUACUCGCCAAACCACUCUCGCUCUCAUGGAGGAGGCCUUAGAAAUGGCGAGAUCGAAUGAUACCAAGAAGCGAAGGGCGGGAGUGGAUCGGCUGCAACAGCUUCUUGAAGAUUCAAGAAAGUGCUUGUCAUCGUCGGAAGUGACGGCGCUAGUCGACACGUGUCUUGAGCUUUUGAAGGACACGUGUGUUGCUGUCGUCGGCCGCGGAGUUGUUUAAGUUGCAUUCUGAUAGAAUUAUGACGGCGGUUGUUGAUAGGUUGUGGGAUGGGGAGCAGCGGGUUCGAGACUCGGCGAGGAGGCUGUUGAUUACCCUUAUGGAGGUAAUUUAUUAAUUUUCUUGGGGAAUGCCAGUUGAUUUUAUGGAAUGUGAUAUAGUAUAGUUUCUAUCAAUCGAGUAUCUUAAAUUGAUGACUACAACAAGUAUUAUCGUUUUGCACGCAAGUGGCUAAACUUUUAUGCAUGCCAAAUUGCCAAUCGGGUUUCAAUUUCAGAUCUCUGCCUUCACUUGCAUACGAACACAUUUGAGUUUAAAAAGAUGAAUCACCUCAUAAAUAUCAUUAAUAAUUAGUUGGUGUUAAUAGUGCACUGAAAAAUGGGAGAGAAUGACAAGACUAUAGACAGUAGUAGGGCUGAGCGAGAUGUUAAUUGAGUACUUAUAUGAUGCUUCACUAUGUUCAGGGAGUUAGUUUAUUGCUUCUUUCCUACACUUUCACUUGAAUUAGUACUAAUUAAUAAUUCCUUCUCUAUCUUGUAAAAUUUCUCCUUCAUUGCUAAGCAUAUCUACUCUGAUUAAUUUUCAAACAAACUUUACUACUGAGAUAGGAUUGUUUGCUGGGUAGGAGCACCAUAGAAUGAGUAGCUCUAUUGCUAUAUACUGAAGGGUGCGGUGGCAUCCUCGGUUAUAUUUUAAGUGCUACUUCGAAUUUAGUUGUUGGCUUUUGCAAUUUAUUUUCAUUCACAAUGUUUUAAUAAUGAUACCCCAUAUUAGGUGAGAGAUAUUAGUGCCAGGCUGGAGCAGAUUCAGAUUCAACCAGCAACUUCCGUCUCUUCCAUCUCUGAAGGACUUAAUAGUAAUCUUCUCCACCAUGCACCUGAUUUAGAAGUAUAAUGUAUUAAUGUGAACUUUUUAUUUAUAUUUAUUUCCAUGUGUAGUAAAACGAUCACAUCUUUUAAGAGCUUAGUACAAUGUUAUGUACAAUGUGUAAUUAAUUAAGAGGUUUGUACAUAGUUUAGUAUGAAAUGGAAAAAGUUUGUACAGAAGUUUAUUUGUUCACAUUACAGCUGAGACGAGCAAGCAAAAACCAUCAGAGAAUUCAAAGGAUAAUGAUAAAGGAAUUGAGCCCCUACUGGAACUGCCGGAAGAUAUUAUCUUUCUACAAAUUCUGCCUAAGUUGAACAGCCUAGAUGUUCUUCCCCUGGUUUUGGUGGCUAGGAGUUGGGCCUCCUUUCUUUUGCAUGAGGGACCCAGACUGAUGUUAUUCAACCCACCUAAAAAUCCUACACCUAAACACACUUCAAUUUUAUUUGAUGUAAGCCCGAUUCCGUACUCUGUUUCAGUUUUGUUAUCCCCAGAGAGCCGCCAACUGUGUCAGUCUAGGUGUAUAAUUGUUCCAAUCUUGAAUUCUGGUAUAAAACAUGCUGUUCCAAUUUUCACUGACUACCCAGAUUUUUUAAAGCAGGGGGAAGUCCCAACUGUAGUGGGAUCUUCCAGUGGUAUUAUAUGCCUCUAUAUCACCAGUUCUCCCUCUAGAUACAUCCUGCUAAACCCCUUAACAAAACAUUAUAAAGAGGUUGGGGCCCCUUAUAUUUUUGUACCAGAUUGUGAGCAAGCUUCUGUAACUUCUGGAUUCUUUUAUGAUGAAUGGACUGAUGACUUAAAGAUCGUACAAUUGUUGAGAUGGGAUCAAAGGCUUACGAGCUUGGAUGCUCCGGGACCCAAAAAGAUACAUGCGCUUCGCGUUUGUUCUGUAAAUUCUGCAAAUUGGGAAGUUGUUGACUUGGGGCCAAUGAAAGUCUCCGAUCGUCUUGGUGGUGUGUUAUUUUUGCCGAAAGCUCUCGUCACAUUUGUAGAUGCGUUUGCUACAGAGCCGGAGAUUAACUUUUGGUUGGAUUUUCGUGAUUGCCGUCUAAAGGCAGUUCCGGAAUUAGAAGGGGCUGAACUCAGUAUGAAAUCGGUUUGGUGGAAUAACCAGGUUGGUGUUAUUGUUGGAACUGACAGCAUUUAUGUCCUUGAUGAGGAGUUUGCAGCCUGGUAUUACUGCACAGUGCUUCCGGACGUGGGAAAUUGUGUAUUCUGUUUAGAUGAGAACAAAAUUGUGGGGAUGGGGGCUGGGGAAAGCGGAAGCGUAAAUGAUUACAAUAUUCUUAAUUCCACAAGCGGCGAAAUCCAACAUAUAAUCUCGUUGCCUUCUUGCAGGGUUUUUCCGUAUGUUCCUACAUUCUACUAUAUCGAGGGAAUGGCUAAUUUUUAGACUUUUGCAAGUCACAAUGUAAUAAAAGAAUGUAAACAGUACAUAGCAGCAAUACCUCUCUAUAGCAUAUAGUUUCAGAUACAACAUGUAUUGUGAUGCCAGCUUGUAGAGUACAAGUAUUAUUCUAGGUGAUUGAUUGUUGAGAAUAAUAGAGGCAACCGGUUGCAUGAUGGUAUCCUUGAAACUUUCAUAAUUACUAAUAUCGAACUCAGAUAGCAUGCAAUUUUUCCGGAGAUCAUAUUCUUUAGCUAUCAACUAACUCUACAUUAUAUAUUAUGUCCCAGAUCAAUGAGUUUGUUUGCUAUAAUGUCCUAUUUUAUAUGUGAUUUAGGAAUAUGUUCCAUUAACUUGUUAUCACCCUCAAAUCUAAAAUCUAAGACUACCAUGUCCUUAGUUUAUUUUGUUUAAUAUUUGUGAAUAGACUCUAAUCUGAUCAUAUCAAUUAUAUUUUAGUAACAGAUGUUUAAAUGCAUAUGUUUUUGUUAUCUAGUUAUUUCAAUGAUGAUGGGAUUAAAUUUUUUUAUUCUUGUAAUAUGUACAAUGAUUGGUUUAGCUUUAAUAUUUAUUUUUAUUUUUAUUUACCAAUUUUAAUGUAGGUAAAGUUUUAUCAGCAAAUUUUAUUUUUUGUAUGCAGUAAUCUGUUCUAAUAUCAAAUUUUGAUUUAGAUCGAGUAUUAGUAUGUUGAAUUUGCAUUCAUCUAGUUAGAUGAGUGAAACUGGCUAAUUAAUGGAAAAUCAUAAGUACCUGAGUUGUUUUCAAAUUUUUUUCCCAAAUUUUAAUUGUUUGAUUGGUUUCUUCAAAUUAAUAUUAAUGGAAUCAUGAACGCACAUAAAUAAUUUAAUUAAAAAUUAUUUAUUUAUGUGUCAUUUAGAAAAAAUUGGGGACAAAAUUUGGGAUAGUAAUGGGGACGAAAUAUGUGUUAGCGUUAAUGGUUUAGCGGCAGUGGAGAACGCAAUUUAAGAGCAAAUCCAAUAGUGUCCUAAACUAGUAUCCUAAAUUAAAAAUUAAGGUAUUUAUAUAAAUGAGUGCUCCACCUAAUGAGUGCUCCACCAAUGUCCAGUGAUACCUUAAAAUACUAGGAAAUCCAUCAAGCGUCUCGUUUUUAAGACAUCACUAGGCAUGCCCUAUUUCACUUCUAUCAAUAAAAUAUAUCUUUCCCUCGUUUUUUACAGAUCUCUUCUCUCUCAUUUUUUCCAUUUAUGCCCAAUUAUAAUUCAAAUAUAAUACACCUUCAGUCCCUUUUUAGUUGUGAAAUUUACAAAAAUAAUUUGUCCUUAAAUAAUAUUCUCAUCCUUGUUCCAAUACAUAUUUAUACAUAUUUUUUCAUGUUUACCCCUUGAUUGUUGGUUCAAAUGUUUGACUGUACUACUAAUAUAUACAGUUUUGACUUAGUAUUUAAUAUAAUAAAUAAGGGCAUGCGUGGAAACAACUUACAACAUUUAAUUUUCUUUAAUAUAUGUAUUUUUGCAAAUGUGACAACUAAAAAGGAACAGAGAGAGUAUUAUUUUAAUCAUAAAACAUAUUGUUGGAGUUAAUAUAAAAAAAUCAUGUCUUAAAUCAUAAGAUUACUAUAUUUAAUUAUAUUUAUAAGGCAUCUAAUAGUACAAUAUUGGAUUUGCUCUGAUCACAGAUCAAUCAAAUGAUCGGCAACUUAAGCGAUCAAAUGAGAUGACUCGCAUAGUCCACGCUAAUCGAUAUCCUUAAGAGGAUGUUUGCCUGGGCUUAAAGCCCUUGCUUUAAGCCAUCUUUGGCUUUAAGCUGAAAAAUGUCUGUUUGUGUAAUAAGUCAGAAGCCAGCCUAAAGUCAGAAAUAAGCCAGAAGCUGACUUAAAGCCAGAAGUUAAUUUGAGGUACUUUUUUCAGUGGCUAAAUUUUUUUGAACUUUUUUUUUGAUAAAAAUUACUCCUAAAUCAUAAGUUUCUUAUAAAUCACUUUUAUUUUUAUUAUUAUAUUUUUAAUAACUCAUAAGUCAUUCAUAAGCCAAAAUUACCCAAACAGACAUUUUAAGCUAUCAGCUUAUCAGAUAAGACACGUUAAGUCACAAGUCACAUUAAGUCAUAAGCCAUAAGCUCAGCCAAACGGGCAAGUUUUCUAAGAGACAUUCCUGCUUAGUGCAUUUUUAAUAGGGUUGCCUAAAUCGUUGACGAAAUUGGACAUGUGAGACAUUAUAUAAAAUUUGUUAAACAUGUAAGUGAUUGUGUUUCAAUAAUGUUAACUACAUUGAUAGAUUAUAACUUAAAAAUAGUAUGUUAUUAAUAUUUAGAUUGUUAUAAAAAAAUAUAUGAGUUUAAUAUGAUAGGAAAUGAUGUGUAAAUUACCCCGAUUAUAUAUAUAUAUAAAUAAUAAUAUAUUUAUAUAUAUUAUACUAAAUAUAUUAUUAAAAAUAGAUAAAUUUUAUAAUAUAAUCAAAAGUAAAAAAUAAUCUUUAUUUUUAUUGAUUGAUUAUAAAUAUAUUGUAAUAUAAUAUAUUUUAUAAUUUUAAAUUGUUGUUUAUUUAUAUUAUAAAUCAAUUUUAAUAUGAUUUGAGGUUGAAAAUAUAAGAUAAUAUUAUUUUAUUAUUAUAUUAGGAGUUUGUAGUUUGUUUUUUAAUUAAAAAAAUAUAUUAUAUAUUAUAAAAUUAUUAUGUUUUUAUUAAAAAAUAAAAUUCCCCGAAACCCCGCGGGGAUCCCCGUUCCCCGUUCGGGGCGGGGAUCGGGGCGGAAAAUAAUCCCCGUUCGAGGUUCGGGGCGGGGUCGGGUAGGGCCGUAGGGGUAUUGAAUUCGGGGAUCGGGGUCGGGGAUAGCACUCCCCGCCCUCGAAGUCUCCCCGUGCCCAUCCCUAGUCGAACCUCUAGAGGUCCGUAAAAAAUCUCCAAGAAGAUUACACUAUGUAAUCUUCUUGGAGAUUUUUUACGGACCUCUAGAGGUUCGACAAAUAUAGUGGCCGGUAGGAUGUUGGUUAAAAUUAUAGAUAAGUGGUGUCUAUGGUUGAGUGUGAUUUUUUUGAAUAGAAUGGCUAUAUAUUUUAUUUUUGGGAUGCCAACUCAAUUUUUAAACUAAGGACUUCUCAUAUUUGGAGAUGCUAUAUGAUGGCAAAUCCCGCAAAUCUUCAAUUUUGACAUAUAUUAUCCUAAAUUCUCUUUCAACAAUGAUUGAUUCAAAUUUGGAUCAAGAUUGUUGGAUCCCGCUGACGUGGCAGUGACGUCAUGUUGACGUGGCGCCCUGGGGUGGACCCCGGUGCUGACGUGGCAGAUGACGCGGCGGUGACAUGGCGCCUGGUUGGGGUCCCAUUACUAACGUGGCAUUUGGGUAGAAAGUAUAAAUUACGGAAAAUUGAUGACAAACUGAGAGGUGCAUAUUAUAAGUUUUAAAAAGUAUGAGGAGAUAUUUGAUCAGUUUAAAACUAGUUUUUAGGUUUUUAGGCUAACCGUGGUUUGUAUAUUCGAGCAUCCCCGUGUAUAUUGACAUAUAGGUAAACUCCUUGCAAUACUUUGAGCUGCAAAAUCCAUCAAAAUUUUGAUUUAUCAUGUAACUGUUUGACAGAGUACUUCCAACUUUCAAGCGUAAGUAUCAAAAUCACUACCUUCAUAUGUUCCAUUAAGCGUGAAAGGUACAGAAUAAGAAGUGAAAGAAAUCCUUUAUAUUUACACGGCCAUUGAUCUUAUAGGAUCACCUAGCCCAUCAGUGCUAGGGAAUACGGAACCAUCUUAUCAAUUAACGAAGAAAUGUAUGCAUGCAGUGUCACCACCACAAGUCAGAAAUGGUGAUGAUGCUAAUGAUAAUGAACUCAAUUGGGAGUGAUCCUAAUGGGAUAUGGAUGUGGAUUGGUAUGCGGAUUCUUUGGGGUUUAUUGUUCUUACAAUGGGAAAGCCUUGGUGGUUUAUGAGAUACAUUGAAGUAAGUUGAUAAUGACAUGCACGGCUUAAUUAAGAUUAAUUAAGACAAACACCUUGACAAAAUGUUGUCUUAGAAUGAUAUGUAUUCUGAUUUUUCCUAAUUUAAAAUCAAAUUUAUUACAAUUAAAGUUAAAAUCUGCGUAGCACAUACUAUACUUUGAUUAAAUUUUUAUUGAAGUUGUCCAUAUUAACCUAGUGGCCGAAAGUGAAUAAAUUAAAUUAGUGGGGUCUAAUAUAAAAAUUGCAUUAAUUAAAAUUUGUAAUGUAUAGAUUAUGCUAAAGCUAUUCAUUAUAAAGAACAUAGGAAUGUUAAUCUCUUUAUAUGUUUGCAUGCGGAUAGUCUCUCGGGAGUGUGGUAUAUUGUCAUGGCUGGAAAAACGGCUAAUUUCUACGGUUUUUUUUUGACAGAAAUUAAUUUUGACGGAAUACUGUCGAAAUAUCGAAAGUCGAAAAUAAGCCGCAAAAUUACUUUUUUCAAUUUUCAAUUGAAAACUGUCAAAAAAGUCUCUGGCAAAAUUAUAUUUAUUUCUACAGAUAAUGUCGAAAAUAUUUUCCUGCAAAUUUCCCGCACCUUAGUUGUGAGCGGAAAUAGAUAGUUUGGACAGAAUUCCGUCGAAAUUACGCGAGUUCUUUGUAGUGUGUUUUCACACAUACGCUGAUAAUCUUUGGGGACUGGGGUAUAUUGUUUUCGCAAAGCACUGGUAGUUUGUGAGCUUGUCCAAUUUUUCCCCCCAUGCCUAUACUGGUUGGUCUCAGUCUUAGUGGUAAUAAGCUGGCGUCAAAUUUUCCAGAAUUCAUAUAUAAUUGCUAUAACAUGAUCCGAUGCCUGAAUCAGCAGCUAACAAUUUACGUAAUCUUGAAGAACUAUAUCUUGGUGCCAAUUCUUUCGAGGGCUCAUUUCCAACGAAUAUAUUCAAGCUUUCCAAAUUAAGGGUUCUUGACCUAUCUGUGAAUAAUUUUUCAGGUUCCAUUCCCAAUGGUAUAGAGAUGCUUCCCGAUCUUGGAAUAAAUCGUAUUUAUAAUAAUUCAUUUGAAGGAAUUAUUCCUUCUUCAAUUAGUCUACUUAAAGAUCUUCAACACCUAGACUUCGGUGACGACAACCUUGUGGUUUCAAGUAUAAUGUCUUACGGGUCCAAUCUAACCGAUCAUUACAGGCAACCCCAUUGGAGAUGCUCUUAAUAACAUUUUAACUAGAGAGUAUUUUCUAUCAAUUGCAUUUGUAUUAAAUUUGAUUUAGAUGAAGAGAAACAGAAUACAUAUGAUCCCGAGACAACAUUUUGUCAAUGUUUUCGUCUUGAUUGAACAGUCUUCUUCAUGCGUGUCCUUGUCAACUUCAGUUGCAGUAAUUCAAUGUAUCUCAGGAACCACCUUGGCUUUCCCAUUUUGAUAACAAGUAUCCUGAAGAUAAUCCGCAUAUCAAUCCACAUCCGCGCGUAUCCCAGUUGAUUUAUUAAUUUAUUCAUGAAGUGUUGCGAACGACAUUCCUGCAAAAGUAAAAGUCAGUGGAAUUUGUAUGAUAGCAUGAUGAAUAUUUAAAGUUUCAGUUAAAAUUUCACCAAGUAUUUUAUUUCUGGCUUAAGUCCCGGAUUGACGAAUUCUGCUGAUCACAUUUCUAAUCGACCAAUUCUGGUCGAAUAAAUUAAAUGGCACACUUCCUGAGUUGGUGGUAGGGGCGUUCUUCUUGUGUUUCUUUCUUUUCAUUAUUGACAUUGUUAUCCAGGCCCUUGCUUCUGGGCUUUUGUAAAGCACCCAUUUACGCCAUUGUCAUGAUCAUAGCUAGUCUUCCAUAUCCAAGAUACGCGCAUUAUAGUGGAUUUAUCUUUAUUAGUGAUUUCUGUGGAAAUGCAUAAUCUUAAUUAUAAGCUCCAAUAUUAUAAAAUAAACCUAACUUAUUAGAGUUAACAGGGCAUUUGUGUUGAUAAUUUGCGCAAUGUUAAUGGGGAUCGCUCCCAAGUCUUGGACGGACUCUUUCCAAGUCUUCUGAGGACCCAUCUGCACACUAAUUUGUCCGCCAACUAAAAAUUUAUAUAUAUUUUUCCAUAGAAUAUAAAUAGUUGGGGGUACUAACAGAACCUCUAGUAAAAUUAAUUAAUACCGUUAUGAUUUCGCAAACACAGCAGACAGCAGGCAUAAGGCUUAUAAAUAGAAGUGUCGUAUUUGGUUGAUGGUCAAGUUGAGUGGAAAUAUGGCACACUUUGUAAAGCCUUGUUAUCCUCUUCUCUUUGUUUUCUUUCUCUCAUUACUUCAAUCCAUUCUAACAACACAAGAGGGAGAAGCUCUUGUGAAAUGGAAGAAUAGCCUAGCCCCUUCUUCUUUUCUCGACUCUUGGUCACUCACCAAUCUCGAUAAUCUUUGCAACUGGACUGGCAUUACUUGUAACUCUGCAGGUUCAGUCUCUGAGAUUAACCUUAGUGAGAAACAACUUGAUGGAAUGCUGUCCGAGUUUGGUUUCACUUCAUUUCCAAAUCUCAACAAUCUCACCCUCGCAAUUAACUACUUCUCGGGUCCAAUACCACCAGCCAUUGAGAAUUUAACACAGCUUCAAUAUCUUGAGUUGAGCAAUAAUUAUCUAGAUGGUCCCAUUCCUUUCCAGGUUAGCAAUCUUCAGAGGUUGCUCAUCUUAAACCUGUCAGAGAAUGAACUGCAAGCUCCAAAUUGGUCCAAUUUUUCCCCCAUGCCUUUUUUGACCAUCCUCGACCUUUAUAAAAAUAAUCUUUUGUCAGAAUUUCCCGAAUUUAUAUCUAACUCGUGUAACCUUACGUACCUUGACCUCUCAUCCAACAAGUUUAGAGGGGAUCUUGCGCGAGAAUCAGUAUUAACCAAUCUAGGUGAUCUUGAAACCCUCUAUCUUAUUAGAAAUUCUUUCAAGGGGUCAUUUCCGUCAGAUUUAUUCAAGCUUUCUAAAUUAAAACGUCUUCACCUGUCGAGCAACAAAUUUUCAGGUUCAAUUCCUAAUGCCAUAAGGUUGCUUUGUGAUCUUGAAUUCCUAUAUUUAGGCAACAAUUCCUUUGAAGGACUGCUUCCACCAAAUAUAUUUAAGCUUUCAAAAUUAAAACAUCUUGUUCUUCGGAGUAAUAAGUUUUCAGGAUCUGUUUCCAAUGAUAUAAAUUUGCUUCCUGAACUUGAAUAUCUCGAUCUUAAUUCUAAUUUUUUUGACGGGCCGCUUCCUCCAGAUGUAUUCAAGCUCUCCAAACUAAGGUUUCUUUACCUCUCGGGUAAUACCUUUUCACGUUCUGUUUCCAAUGAUAUAGGUUUGCUUUCUGAGCUUGAAACCCUCGAUCUUAACUCUAAUUUUUUGAGGGUCCGCUUCCGUCAAAUAUAUUCAAGCUCAAAUUAAAAAUUCUAGACCUCUCAAACAAUAGAAAUUUAUUUCAAAGAAGUUUUCCUAUUGGACUGGAACUCUUGAGUAACCUCAGCUACUUAGGUCUAAGUUCCAGUAAUCUCAGUGGCAAUAUUCCAUCUUACAUUGGAAACCUGAAGCUACUAAUAUCUCUUGAUCUCAGUUCUAAUCAAUUGACUGGACCGCUUUCAAAGCUCGUUUCUAAUGUCACAAAUCUUAUAUUUCUUGAUUUAAGAGAUAAUAGUCUUAGUGGAAAUAUUCAGACUGACUUGUGGAAAUAUAACGAUCAUCCAACUCUGGAAUACAUCAAUUUGAGUGGGAACUAUUUUACGGGUAUAGUUUUUCUCUAUAGAUCUUUUCUUUUGUCAUAUGUAACUAAGCUAGUAAUCUGAUUAAUUGCAGUUUUACCAAAGUUUCAACAAUCUUGACAGGUGAGCUUCCAACAACAAUUUGCAAUGUCACUUCCCUUUCGGUUCUUGAUUUGUCAAAUAAUAACUUAAGUGGUGCACUUCCAAAAUGUUACGGGAAUCUUGCUGAUGGAUUGCUUUACAUUAAUCUUGCGAAUAAUCACUUUCGAGGAACAAUACCCACUACUUUCUCCAGGAGUUGUCAGCUGAUAUAUCUGAACAUGGAUGAUAAUGAGUUUGAAGGAUUGAUGCCCCCAUCUUUGGCGAACUGUAAGCACUUGAAAAUUUUUGAUAUUGGCAAUAAUAAAAUAGGUGGUACAUUUCCGUCAUGGCUUUAUGCACUUGGAGAGCUAGAAGUCCUUGUCUUGCGAUCAAAUAAACUCUAUGGUACAAUAAGUGGAAGGAGCAUAGAAGAUCCCUUCCCCAAGUUGCGGAUUGUGGAUCUGUCCAACAAUCAAUUCACAGGCCAUUUGCCAAUUCAAUACUUUAAGAAUAUGAAAUCAACUGAUAAUUUGUAUCGUUAUCAGAAUGACACAGGAGUUUUUUCUUUCCAUUAUGAAGCAUCUGUCUCAUUAACUGUGAAGGGAACAGAGUAUGAAGUGAAAAAUAUCCUUCAUAUUUACACAACCAUUGAUCUGUCCUGCAACAAGUUUCAAGGAGAAAUUCCUGACGUUAUUGGAGAGCUUAGAUGGCUUGCAUUGCUGAACUUAUCUCAUAAUAGUCUAACAGGACAUAUCCCAUCAUUGCUGAGAAAUAUGAAAGGACUCCAAUCUUUAGAUUUGUCUUCAAAUCAACUGAAAGGGGCUAUUCCACUUCAGUUAACUGCAUUGACAUUUCUAGAGGUCUUGAACCUCUCGGGAAACCAUCUUAGUGGAGAGAUUCCUCAGAAAGGGCAGUUCAGCACAUUUAACAUUGAUUCUUAUCUAGGAAACUCCGCGUUAUGUGGUUCACCUUUGAUGAAGAAAUGUGCAAACACAGCAUCACCUCCACAAGAAGCCGGAAAUGGUGAUGAAGAUGAAGCUGGUGAUGAAUUGACAUGGGAAGCAAUCGUGAUGGGAUAUGGAUGUGGACUGAUAUGUGGAUUGUCAUCUGCAUACAUUGUUCUCAAACUAGGAAAGCCUUGGUGGUUUGUGAGAUAUAUCGAAGUACUGCAACAGAAGUUGAUGAAAAGAUAUGCAUGAAGAAAGGUACUGGUAGAUCAAGAUGAACUUGAAAGUUGUUGUCGUGGUAGACAUUUGUGAACCAGUAGUGUACUAGCUGCAUAAGUAUUUGGUAUUAUGUAAUAAUCCGUUUGGUCGGGACUCAAAAUGAUUUCUCUUGCUUCAGGGGUAUUAAUAUUAACCUUGCUAUCUUGAUCAAUGUUAGGGCAAAUUAAAAAGAAUAUAAAAGCAAAAAAUUUGCAUCAAACACCUGUUGUACCAACAUGCAUCCAUUAAUUUGCUUUCAUCUAUUAAGUAACAAUUUAAGAGCGCUUCCACUCUGUUUAAGCAUGGAGAUAACACAAAGAAGGCAAGUCCAUGGACUAAUAUAUUAACACGUAGUCCACAUCUAUGGUAUGAACAAUUCAUAUUGCUCUUCUAUCUGUUCAACAGUCUCCCGAAGAUAGGCCAAAAAUGUCAUCUGUGGUUCUUAUGUUUGUCAGUGAAGGAGAAUCUCUGAUGCCUACACAACCUGGUGUUUUUACAGAAAGGAAUGUAGGUGAAACCAGGGGCGUAAAAUGAAUCAGGACUAAAAUCUGCUAAAAUGAUAAUUAUUUACUCAUCAUUCAAGAUUAGUCGGGCUCAAAGAUUUAUAUGGAUUUUAAGAACAAACUAUGACUAAAUAUGAAAAAAUCAUUAAUUUUUCCGACUCAAUAUUUUUUAGCCUCCCCCGGCCCUGGGUGAAACCAUAAGCUUCUCUGGUGCACAUCCAAAUCAUUCAGUUGGUUCUACUUUCAGCUCACCCACAGGAACAUCAUUCUGCAGGUACUCUUUUAUCUGUACUUUCUUAUAUUGUAUGCCAGUAAAUUUUAUAUCGACAAACUGCACAAUACACCUCGAUCUCAUAUUAUUGACAGGUGAGCUCCUCUCAUAAUGCUCACAGGCGAACCCCUGCAUAUAUACUUUGUGAUGUCAUUGAUGAUCGAUAGACUUGAAAAAAAAUUAUGACAAAGAUUCAUAAAAUAUCUACUUCCAUCCUAAUUCAGUAUUCAAUAUUAUUCAUUCGUAUCAUCAUCCAAUCAAUUCUAAUAGUUCUUCUUUAAAUCAGUACAAAUAUUGUUAAAUACCUGGAUGAUGGUUGUCUUUCCGCGAACCAAUCAUGAAAUUACCUCUGUAUAAAUCCAUCGGAAAUAAGACAGUUAAUAUCCCAAUCGAAUACACCCCGUCAGUUGUCAAACUCCUCGAAACGUAUUAAUCACUUUAGAAAAUUUGUUCCACUGGCGCUAGUCAGUCCCAGAGUUGGUGGUGGGUGCUUCUGGGCUUUCGAAAAGCACCCAUUUACUCCAUUGUUUAGAGAAGUAAAACCCCACCUUCCGCUCAUUUGAUUGAUCAGCUGAAUUAGGCAGAGUUUACAUGGUCAUGAUCAUAGUCUCCCAUNUUAAUAGUCUGACAGGACCUAUCCCAACAUUGCUGAGAAAUAUGAAAUAACUCCAUUACUCCAAUCUUAGAUUUGUCCUCAAAUCAACUGACAGGGGCUAUUCCACCUCUGUUAACUGCAUUGACAUUACUUUUCUCUUUAUAUUCUUUCCUUUUGUAUGUACCUAUGCUAAUUAUCUGAUUAUUAAAAUUAUAACAAAGCUUCAAGAUUUUUAACAGGUGAGCUUCCACUAAAAAUUUGCAAAGUCACUUCCCUUUCGCGUCUCAUUAUGUUAGAUAAUGGGUCAAGUGGUGCACUUCCACAGUGUUUGGGGAACCUUUCUUUGCUUGGUUUCAAUAAUCUUGCUAAUUAUCAAUUUCAAGGACCAAUACCAACGACUGUCCAAGACUUGUCUGUGCAUAUCUAAACAUCCAUAACAAUCACUUUGAAGGUUUGUUGCUCCAAUCUUUGGCAAACUGUAAACACUUACAAAUUCUUGAUAUUGGAAACAACGUUGGAGAGCUAGAUGUCCCAGUUAGGGCGGUAAUUCGACUAGAGCAAACCGAGUUUUGAGCGGAGCCAAAUUCGAGCCAAGUUUAAUCGAGUCGAGCCGAGUCGGCUCGUUUAGCUAAUCGAGCCUAAAACUUAGCCCGAACUCGACUCAUUUAAUUUCACGAGUCGAGUCGAGCCAACUCGUUUAGCUAAAUGAGCUGAUUUUAACAAGUCGAGCGAGCGAGCUCGUAUAAUUUUAACUUAGUCGAGCCUGAAUCUCUACCCAAACUAUUGGCUCGUGUAAUUUCGCGAGUCGAAUCGAGCCGGCUCGUUUUAUUAAACAAGCCGAAAUUUUUGCCCGAAUUUGCUCGUUUAACAAGCCGAUCUGAGCCUAGUUAAAUGAGUUCGAGUUAGUCGAGCUCGCGAGCUGCGAGCUCACCUGCCAGCUCUAGUCCUAGUCUUGCAAUCAAAUAGGUUUAACGGUAUAGAAAGUGGAAGGAGCACAAGGCAUCCAUUCCCCAAGGCUAUUUACCAAUUCAGUACUUUGAGGAUACAAAAUCAUUCUGCAGGUACUCUUGUAUCUGUACUUUCUUGUACUGUAUGCCACUUUGACAGUAGAGUAAAAUUUAUAUCGACAAACUGCAUAUGUUCUGAACUACUCCUCUAUCCCAAAUUAGAUGAGCUAGUUGACUUUGAGCACGUAACUUAAGGUACAUUGACCAACUAGUUCCGAUAUUUAUUUUUUUAAUUUUUCUUUUGUAAAUGAAAAUUUCAUAUUUAAAUUUUUAUUUGCAAAACUAAAAUUUAAAAAUAUGUAAUGUGGCUAUGCGGUCAAUGUCAACGAGCUCAUCUAAUUUGGGAUUGGGAUGCAGGGAGUAUUACGUACUAUGUUAUGCAAGCUGUUUACAACUUUCAUCAAAAUUUUCAAACAUUUCUGAAUAUGUAUUUUCAAAGAAUUCUCGGGCACUCUUAAGGCCUAUAAUUAUUGGAACUCUCACGUUAUGGACCAGAGGACCACUAUGUAUUUUACAAGCACGACGAAUCAUGUGGUCAUUAUGGACUCCCCAAGCCUUAGAGGACUCAUUCCAGGUUUUAGGAGGACCACUGCCUAGCUCACCCUUUCGGAGUGAUGUAAAUUAGUUUCCAGACACUAAAAAUAAGUAAUCAGAUUAAUCAUUACAAAAUUUUGAUAUAAAAUCAGAAUAAAUCCUAAACUUUGAUGAUACAAAAAAAAUUAUAAUUGUAAAUUAUACAAUCAAAUUAAGAUCGAAUUAACUUCCCUCACACUUAAAAUUUAUAGCGAUCAAAUCAAAAUCGAAUUAACUUUCCUAUUACUAAAAUUUAAUUACAAUAUUAUUAGAUAAAGAGAAUAUAUAAUAAUCAAGAGAAAAUAGAUUUUUUUUUGCCACUCAACUUAUUGUGUUUUAAGAAACUUACCACCCAACUAAAUUUUUUUCCUUUUGCUCACUAAUGUUAGGUUUGGAUUUGUUUUUAGCCACCAAAUAAGGUUCGGAUUUGAUUACCAGCAUUAUGAUAAUUUUUUUUGUCACUAAACUUAUUGCGUCUUUAGAAACUAACCACUGAACUAAAUUUUUUUUAUUUUACUCACUAAUGUUAGAUUUAGUUUUUUUUGUCACUAUAGUUAGGUUCAGAUUUGAUUAUUAGCAUUACAUUAAUUCUGUGUAGCAUUUUUAAAAUAUGGUAGUAGUCUGUGAUAUUUAGAUGAUUUGAUAUAUGUCUGUAUUUUUAUAUAUAGUAUAUUUUAUGUCCCCAAGGUCGUUUACCUUGGGUCAUAAAAAUUUUACACUCAUUUUAUGACUUUUAAAAGAUGUAGUUUCAUAAAUAAUUUUAUUUUUUUCUUUCGAAUUAAAAUUCAGCAUUUGAAUUUUACACACAAAAAAAUCGCAAGAAUAAGAUAUGAAACUAUGCUUUACAAGAGUCUUAAAAUACGUGCUAAACGGUAGAAAAAACUGUAAACUAAUGAGAGGUACAUAGGGAGUAAUAAUAACAUAAAAUGAUGCACAAUCAUCGAAUUAAGUUUUCCUCUCUCUAUAUAUUUAUUUUGUAAAUUUUAAUAAGAUAAAGUUAUUAAAAUUUAUGAUAUAAAUUUAAGAGAUAUCUUAGAUUGAGUGGCAAAAAUUUAGUUGGGUGGUAAGUUUCUAAAAACACAAUAAAUUGAGUGGGAACAAAAUCUAUUUUCCCAAUAAUGAGUGGGAAUAAAAUCUAUUUUCCCAAUAAUCAAAGUGACGAAAAAUCAAAGUCAUCUAAUAAGUCCAGAAAAAAUAUGACCAUUAGUAUAUUGAAAUAAUAUUCACGCAUUUAUAUACGAGAAUAUAUGGUCCACAAGUUAGUGCACAAUGUCCAAGAAUCUUUAUCAAAUAACACGGCAAGCAUGCAGCAUAUAAAUAAGAGUGGGCAGUAUGGUAUUGCAUUCAUAACCCACUUGAGCAGAAAUAUGGCACACUUCCUAAAGCCUUCUCACCUUCUUCUCUUUGUUUUCUUUCUCUCGUUACUUCAAUCCAUUCUACCAACAAGACCAGAGGGAGAAGCUCUUGUGAAAUGGAAGAAUAGCCUAGCCCCGUCUUCUUUUCUCGAUUCUUGGUCACUAACCAAUCUCGAUAAUCUUUGUAACUGGACUGGCAUUACUUGUAACUCUGCAGGUUCAGUCUCUGGGAUUAACCUUUAUGAGAAACAACUUGAUGGAAUGCUGUCCGAGUUUGGCUUCACUUCAUUUCCGAAUCUCAACAAUCUCACCCUCGCAUACAACUUCUUCUCGGGUCCAAUACCACCAGCCAUUGAGAAUUUAACACAGCUUCAAUAUCUUGAUUUAAGCAUCAAUAGUCUCGAUGGUCCCAUUCCUUUCCAGGUUAGCCAUCUUCAGAGGUUGCUCGUCCUAAACCUGUCACAGAAUGCAUUGCAAGCUCCAAAUUGGUCCCAUUUCUCUUCCAUGCCUUUUUUGCGCAUCCUCAAGCUCAGUAGGAAUCAUCUUGUAUCGAAAUUUCCAGAAUUUAUAUCCAAUUCUCAUAGCUUGGCUAUCCUUGACCUUGGCCAGAACAACUUUACAGGUGAUCUUGUGCGUGAAUUUACCAAUCUACAAAAUCUUGAAACCCUCUGGCUUUAUCGUAAUUCUUUUGAGGGGCCAUUUCCGCCGGAUAUAGUCCAGCUUUCCAAACUAAAAGAUCUUGCCCUGUCAAGUAACAAAUUUUCAGGUUCAGUUCCCAAUAACAUAAGGUUGCUUUGUGAUCUUGAAUACCUAUAUUUAGGCAACAAUUCCUUUAAGGGGCCACUUCCACCAAAUAUAUUUAAGCUUUCAAAAUUAAAACAUCUUGUUCUUUGGAGUAAUAAGUUUUCAGGUUCUGUUUCCAAUGAUAUAGGUUUGCUUCAUGAGCUUGUAACCCUCAAUCUUAACUCUAAUUUUUUUGAGGGGCCGCUUCCGCCAAAUGUAUUCAAGCUCUCCAAACUAAAGUUUUUUGCCCUUCAUGAGAAUAACUUUUCAGGUUUUAUUUCUAAGGAUAUAGGUUUGCUUUCCGAACUUGAAAUCCUCUAUUUUGGCUCUAAUUUUUUUGAGGGGCCGCUUCCUCCACAUGUAUUUAGGCUCUCCAAAUUAAGAGGUCUGGACCUCUCACACAAUAGAAAUUUAUUUGAAGGAAGUAUUCCUAUUGGACUGGGACUCUUGACUAACCUCAGGUACUUAGAUCUACAUUCCAAUAAUCUCGGUGGCUAUAUUCCAUCUGACAUUGGAAACCUGAAGCUACUAGUACUUCUUGAUCUCGGUUCUAAUCAAUUGACUGGACCGCUUUCAAAGAUCGUUUCUAAUCUCACAAAUCUUAUAUGUCUUGAUGUAAGUCAUAAUAGUCUUAGUGGAAAUAUUCAGAGUGACUUGUGGAAAUAUAACGAUCAUCCAACUUUGGAAUACAUCAAUUUAAGUGGGAACCAUUUUACGGGUAUAGUUUUUCUCUAUAGAUCUUUUCCUUUUCUCAUAUGUAACUAAGCUAGUAAUCUGAUUAUUGCAGUUUCACCAAAGUUUCAACAAUCUUGACAGGUGAGCUUCCAACAACAAUUUGCAAUGUCACUUCCCUUUCGGUUCUUGAUUUGUCAAAUAAUGAAUUAAGUGGUGCACUUCCAAACUCUUUGGGGAAUCUUGCUGAUGGAAUGCUUUACCUUAAUCUUGCUAAUAAUCAGUUUCGAGGAACAAUACCAACUACUUUCUCCAGGAGUUGUCGGUUGACAUAUCUAAACAUGGAUAAUAAUGAGUUUGAAGGAUUGUUGCCCCCAUCUUUGGCGAACUGUAAGCACUUGAAAAUUCUUGAUAUAGGCAAUAAUAAAAUAGGUGGUACAUUUCCGUCAUGGCUUUAUGCACUUGGAGAGCUAGAAGUUCUUGUCUUGCGAUCAAAUAAACUCUAUGGUACAAUAAGUGGAAGGAGCAUAGAAGAUCCCUUCCCCAAGUUGCGGAUUGUGGAUCUGUCCCACAAUCAAUUGACAGGCUAUUUGCCAAUUCAAUACUUUAAGAAUAUGAAAUCAACUGAUAAUUUGUAUCGUUAUCAGAAUGACACAGGAGUUUUUUCUUUCCAUUAUGAAGCAUCUGUCUCAUUAACUGUGAAGGGAACAGAGUAUGAAGUGAAAAAUAUCCUUCAUAUUUACACAACCAUUGAUCUGUCCUGCAACAAGUUUCAAGGAGAAAUUCCUGACGUUAUUGGAGAGCUUAGAUGGCUUGCAUUGCUGAACUUAUCUCAUAAUAGUCUAACAGGACAUAUCCCAUCAUUGCUGAGAAAUAUGAAAGGACUCCAAUCUUUAGAUUUGUCUUCAAAUCAACUGAAAGGGGCUAUUCCACUUCAGUUAACUGCAUUGACAUUUCUAGAGGUCUUGAACCUCUCGGGAAACCAUCUUAGUGGAGAGAUUCCUCAGAAAGGGCAGUUCAGCACAUUUAACAUUGAUUCUUAUCUAGGAAACUCCGCGUUAUGUGGUUCACCUUUGAUGAAGAAAUGUGCAAACACAGCAUCACCUCCACAAGAAGCCGGAAAUGGUGAUGAAGAUGAAGCUGGUGAUGAAUUGACAUGGGAAGCAAUCGUGAUGGGAUAUGGAUGUGGACUGAUAUGUGGAUUGUCAUCUGCAUACAUUGUUCUCAAACUAGGAAAGCCUUGGUGGUUUGUGAGAUAUAUCGAAGUACUGCAACAGAAGUUGAUGAAAAGAUAUGCAUGAAGAAAGGUACUGGUAGAUCAAGAUGAACUUGAAAGUUGUUGUCGUGGUAGACAUUUGUGAACCAGUAGUGUACUAGCUGCAUAAGUAUUUGGUAUUAUGUAAUAAUCCGUUUGGUCGGGACUCAAAAUGAUUUCUCUUGCUUCAGGGGUAUUAAUAUUAACCUUGCUAUCUUGAUCAAUGUUAGGGCAAAUUAAAAAGAAUAUAAAAGCAAAAAAUUUGCAUCAAACACCUGUUGUACCAACAUGCAUCCAUUAAUUUGCUUUCAUCUAUUAAGUAACAAUUUAAGAGCGCUUCCACUCUGUUUAAGCAUGGAGAUAACACAAAGAAGGCAAGUCCAUGGACUAAUAUAUUAACACGUAGUCCACAUCUAUGGUAUGAACAAUUCAUAUUGCUCUUCUAUCUGUUCAACAGUCUCCCGAAGAUAGGCCAAAAAUGUCAUCUGUGGUUCUUAUGUUUGUCAGUGAAGGAGAAUCUCUGAUGCCUACACAACCUGGUGUUUUUACAGAAAGGAAUGUAGGUGAAACCAGGGGCGUAAAAUGAAUCAGGACUAAAAUCUGCUAAAAUGAUAAUUAUUUACUCAUCAUUCAAGAUUAGUCGGGCUCAAAGAUUUAUAUGGAUUUUAAGAACAAACUAUGACUAAAUAUGAAAAAAUCAUUAAUUUUUCCGACUCAAUAUUUUUUAGCCUCCCCCGGCCCUGGGUGAAACCAUAAGCUUCUCUGGUGCACAUCCAAAUCAUUCAGUUGGUUCUACUUUCAGCUCACCCACAGGAACAUCAUUCUGCAGGUACUCUUUUAUCUGUACUUUCUUAUAUUGUAUGCCAGUAAAUUUUAUAUCGACAAACUGCACAAUACACCUCGAUCUCAUAUUAUUGACAGGUGAGCUCCUCUCAUAAUGCUCACAGGCGAACCCCUGCAUAUAUACUUUGUGAUGUCAUUGAUGAUCGAUAGACUUGAAAAAAAAUUAUGACAAAGAUUCAUAAAAUAUCUACUUCCAUCCUAAUUCAGUAUUCAAUAUUAUUCAUUCGUAUCAUCAUCCAAUCAAUUCUAAUAGUUCUUCUUUAAAUCAGUACAAAUAUUGUUAAAUACCUGGAUGAUGGUUGUCUUUCCGCGAACCAAUCAUGAAAUUACCUCUGUAUAAAUCCAUCGGAAAUAAGACAGUUAAUAUCCCAAUCGAAUACACCCCGUCAGUUGUCAAACUCCUCGAAACGUAUUAAUCACUUUAGAAAAUUUGUUCCACUGGCGCUAGUCAGUCCCAGAGUUGGUGGUGGGUGCUUCUGGGCUUUCGAAAAGCACCCAUUUACUCCAUUGUUUAGAGAAGUAAAACCCCACCUUCCGCUCAUUUGAUUGAUCAGCUGAAUUAGGCAGAGUUUACAUGGUCAUGAUCAUAGUCUCCCAUAUAUCCCUGAUACGCACAUUAUAGUGGAUUUAUCUUUAUCAGUGAUUUCUGUGGAGAUGCAUAAUCAUUAUAAGCUCCAAUAUAAAAUUUUAAAGUUAGUAUGGGAAUUUGUGUUGAUAAUUUGCGCAAUGUUAACAGGAUUGCUCCCAAGUCUUGGACGGACUCUUUCAAAGUCUUCUCAGGACCCAUCUGCACACUAAUUUGUCUGCCAACUAAAAAAUCAACAAUAUGUUACUCCCUCCGUUUUUCUUAAACUGAGGUUAAAAUUUUUGACACAAGAUGGGUUGACAGUAUAAAAUUAAAAUAUUUGUGAAUAAAAAUUUUGGUUAUAUUUUUUAUUUAAAAAGAAAAUCUUGAAAAUAAUAUUAUUAACUACCAGUCAGAUCACUUAAGUGUAUGUCCAAAAUUAAAGCGGCAUAUAAAAAAAAGGGAGGAAGCAUGUACUAACUGUUUCCAUAACAGUUUACAAGUAUAAGCUAUACCCCCUCUCUAUUUUUUUCUAUGACAGCUUUGAUUUUGGGCACACAUUCUUAAGUGUUUUGACCGGAUAGUUAAAAAUUUAUCUUCUAAAAUUUUUAAAAAAAGUAAAAUCGCAAAAAAAAUUAGAAAGCUGGUAUUUUUGAUAAAUUUCCAAAUAUGUAAUCAAGAAAAAUAACUUUUACUAUCCAAUCAACUCAUUUAAAGAUGUGUGUCAAAAAUCAAAAUAUCAUACAAAAAAUAGGUAUACAUUUUUUUAAUAGAUUAUACUCCCUCUGUUCCAAAAUAAGUGUCAGCUGGGGGUAAUAACAAGACCUUAGUCAACCCAAGCACAGCAGACAGCAGGCAUAAGGCAUCAGGAAUUUCACAGGACCAUUAUCUUUCUCUUAUUAACUGUGAAGGGAACAGCGUAUGAAGUAGCAAGAACCUUCAUAUUUACACAGCCAUUGAUCUGUCGUGCAACAAAUUUCAGGGAGAAAUUCCAAAGGUUACCGGAGAGCUUAGAUGGCUUGCAUUGCUCAAUUUAUCGCAUAAUUAAUAGUCUGACAGGACCUAUCCCAACAUUGCUGAGAAAUAUGAAAUAACUCCAUUACUCCAAUCUUAGAUUUGUCCUCAAAUCAACUGACAGGGGCUAUUCCACCUCUGUUAACUGCAUUGACAUUACUUUUCUCUUUAUAUUCUUUCCUUUUGUAUGUACCUAUGCUAAUUAUCUGAUUAUUAAAAUUAUAACAAAGCUUCAAGAUUUUUAACAGGUGAGCUUCCACUAAAAAUUUGCAAAGUCACUUCCCUUUCGCGUCUCAUUAUGUUAGAUAAUGGGUCAAGUGGUGCACUUCCACAGUGUUUGGGGAACCUUUCUUUGCUUGGUUUCAAUAAUCUUGCUAAUUAUCAAUUUCAAGGACCAAUACCAACGACUGUCCAAGACUUGUCUGUGCAUAUCUAAACAUCCAUAACAAUCACUUUGAAGGUUUGUUGCUCCAAUCUUUGGCAAACUGUAAACACUUACAAAUUCUUGAUAUUGGAAACAACGUUGGAGAGCUAGAUGUCCCAGUUAGGGCGGUAAUUCGACUAGAGCAAACCGAGUUUUGAGCGGAGCCAAAUUCGAGCCAAGUUUAAUCGAGUCGAGCCGAGUCGGCUCGUUUAGCUAAUCGAGCCUAAAACUUAGCCCGAACUCGACUCAUUUAAUUUCACGAGUCGAGUCGAGCCAACUCGUUUAGCUAAAUGAGCUGAUUUUAACAAGUCGAGCGAGCGAGCUCGUAUAAUUUUAACUUAGUCGAGCCUGAAUCUCUACCCAAACUAUUGGCUCGUGUAAUUUCGCGAGUCGAAUCGAGCCGGCUCGUUUUAUUAAACAAGCCGAAAUUUUUGCCCGAAUUUGCUCGUUUAACAAGCCGAUCUGAGCCUAGUUAAAUGAGUUCGAGUUAGUCGAGCUCGCGAGCUGCGAGCUCACCUGCCAGCUCUAGUCCUAGUCUUGCAAUCAAAUAGGUUUAACGGUAUAGAAAGUGGAAGGAGCACAAGGCAUCCAUUCCCCAAGGCUAUUUACCAAUUCAGUACUUUGAGGAUACAAAAUCAUUCUGCAGGUACUCUUGUAUCUGUACUUUCUUGUACUGUAUGCCACUUUGACAGUAGAGUAAAAUUUAUAUCGACAAACUGCAUAUGUUCUGAACUACUCCUCUAUCCCAAAUUAGAUGAGCUAGUUGACUUUGAGCACGUAACUUAAGGUACAUUGACCAACUAGUUCCGAUAUUUAUUUUUUUAAUUUUUCUUUUGUAAAUGAAAAUUUCAUAUUUAAAUUUUUAUUUGCAAAACUAAAAUUUAAAAAUAUGUAAUGUGGCUAUGCGGUCAAUGUCAACGAGCUCAUCUAAUUUGGGAUUGGGAUGCAGGGAGUAUUACGUACUAUGUUAUGCAAGCUGUUUACAACUUUCAUCAAAAUUUUCAAACAUUUCUGAAUAUGUAUUUUCAAAGAAUUCUCGGGCACUCUUAAGGCCUAUAAUUAUUGGAACUCUCACGUUAUGGACCAGAGGACCACUAUGUAUUUUACAAGCACGACGAAUCAUGUGGUCAUUAUGGACUCCCCAAGCCUUAGAGGACUCAUUCCAGGUUUUAGGAGGACCACUGCCUAGCUCACCCUUUCGGAGUGAUGUAAAUUAGUUUCCAGACACUAAAAAUAAGUAAUCAGAUUAAUCAUUACAAAAUUUUGAUAUAAAAUCAGAAUAAAUCCUAAACUUUGAUGAUACAAAAAAAAUUAUAAUUGUAAAUUAUACAAUCAAAUUAAGAUCGAAUUAACUUCCCUCACACUUAAAAUUUAUAGCGAUCAAAUCAAAAUCGAAUUAACUUUCCUAUUACUAAAAUUUAAUUACAAUAUUAUUAGAUAAAGAGAAUAUAUAAUAAUCAAGAGAAAAUAGAUUUUUUUUUGCCACUCAACUUAUUGUGUUUUAAGAAACUUACCACCCAACUAAAUUUUUUUCCUUUUGCUCACUAAUGUUAGGUUUGGAUUUGUUUUUAGCCACCAAAUAAGGUUCGGAUUUGAUUACCAGCAUUAUGAUAAUUUUUUUUGUCACUAAACUUAUUGCGUCUUUAGAAACUAACCACUGAACUAAAUUUUUUUUAUUUUACUCACUAAUGUUAGAUUUAGUUUUUUUUGUCACUAUAGUUAGGUUCAGAUUUGAUUAUUAGCAUUACAUUAAUUCUGUGUAGCAUUUUUAAAAUAUGGUAGUAGUCUGUGAUAUUUAGAUGAUUUGAUAUAUGUCUGUAUUUUUAUAUAUAGUAUAUUUUAUGUCCCCAAGGUCGUUUACCUUGGGUCAUAAAAAUUUUACACUCAUUUUAUGACUUUUAAAAGAUGUAGUUUCAUAAAUAAUUUUAUUUUUUUCUUUCGAAUUAAAAUUCAGCAUUUGAAUUUUACACACAAAAAAAUCGCAAGAAUAAGAUAUGAAACUAUGCUUUACAAGAGUCUUAAAAUACGUGCUAAACGGUAGAAAAAACUGUAAACUAAUGAGAGGUACAUAGGGAGUAAUAAUAACAUAAAAUGAUGCACAAUCAUCGAAUUAAGUUUUCCUCUCUCUAUAUAUUUAUUUUGUAAAUUUUAAUAAGAUAAAGUUAUUAAAAUUUAUGAUAUAAAUUUAAGAGAUAUCUUAGAUUGAGUGGCAAAAAUUUAGUUGGGUGGUAAGUUUCUAAAAACACAAUAAAUUGAGUGGGAACAAAAUCUAUUUUCCCAAUAAUGAGUGGGAAUAAAAUCUAUUUUCCCAAUAAUCAAAGUGACGAAAAAUCAAAGUCAUCUAAUAAGUCCAGAAAAAAUAUGACCAUUAGUAUAUUGAAAUAAUAUUCACGCAUUUAUAUACGAGAAUAUAUGGUCCACAAGUUAGUGCACAAUGUCCAAGAAUCUUUAUCAAAUAACACGGCAAGCAUGCAGCAUAUAAAUAAGAGUGGGCAGUAUGGUAUUGCAUUCAUAACCCACUUGAGCAGAAAUAUGGCACACUUCCUAAAGCCUUCUCACCUUCUUCUCUUUGUUUUCUUUCUCUCGUUACUUCAAUCCAUUCUACCAACAAGACCAGAGGGAGAAGCUCUUGUGAAAUGGAAGAAUAGCCUAGCCCCGUCUUCUUUUCUCGAUUCUUGGUCACUAACCAAUCUCGAUAAUCUUUGUAACUGGACUGGCAUUACUUGUAACUCUGCAGGUUCAGUCUCUGGGAUUAACCUUUAUGAGAAACAACUUGAUGGAAUGCUGUCCGAGUUUGGCUUCACUUCAUUUCCGAAUCUCAACAAUCUCACCCUCGCAUACAACUUCUUCUCGGGUCCAAUACCACCAGCCAUUGAGAAUUUAACACAGCUUCAAUAUCUUGAUUUAAGCAUCAAUAGUCUCGAUGGUCCCAUUCCUUUCCAGGUUAGCCAUCUUCAGAGGUUGCUCGUCCUAAACCUGUCACAGAAUGCAUUGCAAGCUCCAAAUUGGUCCCAUUUCUCUUCCAUGCCUUUUUUGCGCAUCCUCAAGCUCAGUAGGAAUCAUCUUGUAUCNUUUUUAUUUAAAAAGAAAAUCUUGAAAAUAAUAUUAUUAACUACCAGUCAGAUCACUUAAGUGUAUGUCCAAAAUUAAAGCGGCAUAUAAAAAAAAGGGAGGAAGCAUGUACUAACUGUUUCCAUAACAGUUUACAAGUAUAAGCUAUACCCCCUCUCUAUUUUUUUCUAUGACAGCUUUGAUUUUGGGCACACAUUCUUAAGUGUUUUGACCGGAUAGUUAAAAAUUUAUCUUCUAAAAUUUUUAAAAAAAGUAAAAUCGCAAAAAAAAUUAGAAAGCUGGUAUUUUUGAUAAAUUUCCAAAUAUGUAAUCAAGAAAAAUAACUUUUACUAUCCAAUCAACUCAUUUAAAGAUGUGUGUCAAAAAUCAAAAUAUCAUACAAAAAAUAGGUAUACAUUUUUUUAAUAGAUUAUACUCCCUCUGUUCCAAAAUAAGUGUCAGCUGGGGGUAAUAACAAGACCUUAGUCAACCCAAGCACAGCAGACAGCAGGCAUAAGGCAUCAGGAAUUUCACAGGACCAUUAUCUUUCUCUUAUUAACUGUGAAGGGAACAGCGUAUGAAGUAGCAAGAACCUUCAUAUUUACACAGCCAUUGAUCUGUCGUGCAACAAAUUUCAGGGAGAAAUUCCAAAGGUUACCGGAGAGCUUAGAUGGCUUGCAUUGCUCAAUUUAUCGCAUAAUUAAUAGUCUGACAGGACCUAUCCCAACAUUGCUGAGAAAUAUGAAAUAACUCCAUUACUCCAAUCUUAGAUUUGUCCUCAAAUCAACUGACAGGGGCUAUUCCACCUCUGUUAACUGCAUUGACAUUACUUUUCUCUUUAUAUUCUUUCCUUUUGUAUGUACCUAUGCUAAUUAUCUGAUUAUUAAAAUUAUAACAAAGCUUCAAGAUUUUUAACAGGUGAGCUUCCACUAAAAAUUUGCAAAGUCACUUCCCUUUCGCGUCUCAUUAUGUUAGAUAAUGGGUCAAGUGGUGCACUUCCACAGUGUUUGGGGAACCUUUCUUUGCUUGGUUUCAAUAAUCUUGCUAAUUAUCAAUUUCAAGGACCAAUACCAACGACUGUCCAAGACUUGUCUGUGCAUAUCUAAACAUCCAUAACAAUCACUUUGAAGGUUUGUUGCUCCAAUCUUUGGCAAACUGUAAACACUUACAAAUUCUUGAUAUUGGAAACAACGUUGGAGAGCUAGAUGUCCCAGUUAGGGCGGUAAUUCGACUAGAGCAAACCGAGUUUUGAGCGGAGCCAAAUUCGAGCCAAGUUUAAUCGAGUCGAGCCGAGUCGGCUCGUUUAGCUAAUCGAGCCUAAAACUUAGCCCGAACUCGACUCAUUUAAUUUCACGAGUCGAGUCGAGCCAACUCGUUUAGCUAAAUGAGCUGAUUUUAACAAGUCGAGCGAGCGAGCUCGUAUAAUUUUAACUUAGUCGAGCCUGAAUCUCUACCCAAACUAUUGGCUCGUGUAAUUUCGCGAGUCGAAUCGAGCCGGCUCGUUUUAUUAAACAAGCCGAAAUUUUUGCCCGAAUUUGCUCGUUUAACAAGCCGAUCUGAGCCUAGUUAAAUGAGUUCGAGUUAGUCGAGCUCGCGAGCUGCGAGCUCACCUGCCAGCUCUAGUCCUAGUCUUGCAAUCAAAUAGGUUUAACGGUAUAGAAAGUGGAAGGAGCACAAGGCAUCCAUUCCCCAAGGCUAUUUACCAAUUCAGUACUUUGAGGAUACAAAAUCAUUCUGCAGGUACUCUUGUAUCUGUACUUUCUUGUACUGUAUGCCACUUUGACAGUAGAGUAAAAUUUAUAUCGACAAACUGCAUAUGUUCUGAACUACUCCUCUAUCCCAAAUUAGAUGAGCUAGUUGACUUUGAGCACGUAACUUAAGGUACAUUGACCAACUAGUUCCGAUAUUUAUUUUUUUAAUUUUUCUUUUGUAAAUGAAAAUUUCAUAUUUAAAUUUUUAUUUGCAAAACUAAAAUUUAAAAAUAUGUAAUGUGGCUAUGCGGUCAAUGUCAACGAGCUCAUCUAAUUUGGGAUUGGGAUGCAGGGAGUAUUACGUACUAUGUUAUGCAAGCUGUUUACAACUUUCAUCAAAAUUUUCAAACAUUUCUGAAUAUGUAUUUUCAAAGAAUUCUCGGGCACUCUUAAGGCCUAUAAUUAUUGGAACUCUCACGUUAUGGACCAGAGGACCACUAUGUAUUUUACAAGCACGACGAAUCAUGUGGUCAUUAUGGACUCCCCAAGCCUUAGAGGACUCAUUCCAGGUUUUAGGAGGACCACUGCCUAGCUCACCCUUUCGGAGUGAUGUAAAUUAGUUUCCAGACACUAAAAAUAAGUAAUCAGAUUAAUCAUUACAAAAUUUUGAUAUAAAAUCAGAAUAAAUCCUAAACUUUGAUGAUACAAAAAAAAUUAUAAUUGUAAAUUAUACAAUCAAAUUAAGAUCGAAUUAACUUCCCUCACACUUAAAAUUUAUAGCGAUCAAAUCAAAAUCGAAUUAACUUUCCUAUUACUAAAAUUUAAUUACAAUAUUAUUAGAUAAAGAGAAUAUAUAAUAAUCAAGAGAAAAUAGAUUUUUUUUUGCCACUCAACUUAUUGUGUUUUAAGAAACUUACCACCCAACUAAAUUUUUUUCCUUUUGCUCACUAAUGUUAGGUUUGGAUUUGUUUUUAGCCACCAAAUAAGGUUCGGAUUUGAUUACCAGCAUUAUGAUAAUUUUUUUUGUCACUAAACUUAUUGCGUCUUUAGAAACUAACCACUGAACUAAAUUUUUUUUAUUUUACUCACUAAUGUUAGAUUUAGUUUUUUUUGUCACUAUAGUUAGGUUCAGAUUUGAUUAUUAGCAUUACAUUAAUUCUGUGUAGCAUUUUUAAAAUAUGGUAGUAGUCUGUGAUAUUUAGAUGAUUUGAUAUAUGUCUGUAUUUUUAUAUAUAGUAUAUUUUAUGUCCCCAAGGUCGUUUACCUUGGGUCAUAAAAAUUUUACACUCAUUUUAUGACUUUUAAAAGAUGUAGUUUCAUAAAUAAUUUUAUUUUUUUCUUUCGAAUUAAAAUUCAGCAUUUGAAUUUUACACACAAAAAAAUCGCAAGAAUAAGAUAUGAAACUAUGCUUUACAAGAGUCUUAAAAUACGUGCUAAACGGUAGAAAAAACUGUAAACUAAUGAGAGGUACAUAGGGAGUAAUAAUAACAUAAAAUGAUGCACAAUCAUCGAAUUAAGUUUUCCUCUCUCUAUAUAUUUAUUUUGUAAAUUUUAAUAAGAUAAAGUUAUUAAAAUUUAUGAUAUAAAUUUAAGAGAUAUCUUAGAUUGAGUGGCAAAAAUUUAGUUGGGUGGUAAGUUUCUAAAAACACAAUAAAUUGAGUGGGAACAAAAUCUAUUUUCCCAAUAAUGAGUGGGAAUAAAAUCUAUUUUCCCAAUAAUCAAAGUGACGAAAAAUCAAAGUCAUCUAAUAAGUCCAGAAAAAAUAUGACCAUUAGUAUAUUGAAAUAAUAUUCACGCAUUUAUAUACGAGAAUAUAUGGUCCACAAGUUAGUGCACAAUGUCCAAGAAUCUUUAUCAAAUAACACGGCAAGCAUGCAGCAUAUAAAUAAGAGUGGGCAGUAUGGUAUUGCAUUCAUAACCCACUUGAGCAGAAAUAUGGCACACUUCCUAAAGCCUUCUCACCUUCUUCUCUUUGUUUUCUUUCUCUCGUUACUUCAAUCCAUUCUACCAACAAGACCAGAGGGAGAAGCUCUUGUGAAAUGGAAGAAUAGCCUAGCCCCGUCUUCUUUUCUCGAUUCUUGGUCACUAACCAAUCUCGAUAAUCUUUGUAACUGGACUGGCAUUACUUGUAACUCUGCAGGUUCAGUCUCUGGGAUUAACCUUUAUGAGAAACAACUUGAUGGAAUGCUGUCCGAGUUUGGCUUCACUUCAUUUCCGAAUCUCAACAAUCUCACCCUCGCAUACAACUUCUUCUCGGGUCCAAUACCACCAGCCAUUGAGAAUUUAACACAGCUUCAAUAUCUUGAUUUAAGCAUCAAUAGUCUCGAUGGUCCCAUUCCUUUCCAGGUUAGCCAUCUUCAGAGGUUGCUCGUCCUAAACCUGUCACAGAAUGCAUUGCAAGCUCCAAAUUGGUCCCAUUUCUCUUCCAUGCCUUUUUUGCGCAUCCUCAAGCUCAGUAGGAAUCAUCUUGUAUCGAAAUUUCCAGAAUUUAUAUCCAAUUCUCAUAGCUUGGCUAUCCUUGACCUUGGCCAGAACAACUUUACAGGUGAUCUUGUGCGUGAAUUUACCAAUCUACAAAAUCUUGAAACCCUCUGGCUUUAUCGUAAUUCUUUUGAGGGGCCAUUUCCGCCGGAUAUAGUCCAGCUUUCCAAACUAAAAGAUCUUGCCCUGUCAAGUAACAAAUUUUCAGGUUCAGUUCCCAAUAACAUAAGGUUGCUUUGUGAUCUUGAAUACCUAUAUUUAGGCAACAAUUCCUUUAAGGGGCCACUUCCACCAAAUAUAUUUAAGCUUUCAAAAUUAAAACAUCUUGUUCUUUGGAGUAAUAAGUUUUCAGGUUCUGUUUCCAAUGAUAUAGGUUUGCUUCAUGAGCUUGUAACCCUCAAUCUUAACUCUAAUUUUUUUGAGGGGCCGCUUCCGCCAAAUGUAUUCAAGCUCUCCAAACUAAAGUUUUUUGCCCUUCAUGAGAAUAACUUUUCAGGUUUUAUUUCUAAGGAUAUAGGUUUGCUUUCCGAACUUGAAAUCCUCUAUUUUGGCUCUAAUUUUUUUGAGGGGCCGCUUCCUCCACAUGUAUUUAGGCUCUCCAAAUUAAGAGGUCUGGACCUCUCACACAAUAGAAAUUUAUUUGAAGGAAGUAUUCCUAUUGGACUGGGACUCUUGACUAACCUCAGGUACUUAGAUCUACAUUCCAAUAAUCUCGGUGGCUAUAUUCCAUCUGACAUUGGAAACCUGAAGCUACUAGUACUUCUUGAUCUCGGUUCUAAUCAAUUGACUGGACCGCUUUCAAAGAUCGUUUCUAAUCUCACAAAUCUUAUAUGUCUUGAUGUAAGUCAUAAUAGUCUUAGUGGAAAUAUUCAGAGUGACUUGUGGAAAUAUAACGAUCAUCCAACUUUGGAAUACAUCAAUUUAAGUGGGAACCAUUUUACGGGUAUAGUUUUUCUCUAUAGAUCUUUUCCUUUUCUCAUAUGUAACUAAGCUAGUAAUCUGAUUAUUGCAGUUUCACCAAAGUUUCAACAAUCUUGACAGGUGAGCUUCCAACAACAAUUUGCAAUGUCACUUCCCUUUCGGUUCUUGAUUUGUCAAAUAAUGAAUUAAGUGGUGCACUUCCAAACUCUUUGGGGAAUCUUGCUGAUGGAAUGCUUUACCUUAAUCUUGCUAAUAAUCAGUUUCGAGGAACAAUACCAACUACUUUCUCCAGGAGUUGUCGGUUGACAUAUCUAAACAUGGAUAAUAAUGAGUUUGAAGGAUUGUUGCCCCCAUCUUUGGCGAACUGUAAGCACUUGAAAAUUCUUGAUAUAGGCAAUAAUAAAAUAGGUGGUACAUUUCCGUCAUGGCUUUAUGCACUUGGAGAGCUAGAAGUUCUUGUCUUGCGAUCAAAUAAACUCUAUGGUACGAUAAGUGGAAGGAGCAUAGAAGAUCCCUUCCCCAAGUUGCGGAUUGUGGAUCUGUCCCACAAUCAAUUGACAGGCUAUUUGCCAAUUCAAUACUUUAAGAAUAUGAAAUCAACUGAUAAUUUGUAUCGUUAUCGGAAUUCCACAGGACCAUUAUCUUUCUCUUAUGAAGCAGCAGUCUCAUUAACUGUGAAGGGAACAGAGUACGAGGUAGCAAAGAACCUUCAUAUUUACACAGCCAUUGACCUGUCGUGCAACAAAUUUCAGGGAGAAAUUCCAAAGGUUACUGGAGAGCUUAGAUGGCUUGCAUUGCUGAAUUUAUCUCAUAAUAGUCUGACAGGACCUAUCCCAUCCUUGCUGAAAAAUAUGAAAGAACUCCAAUCUUUAGAUUUGUCCUCAAAUCAACUGACAGGGGCUAUUCCACCUCAGUUAACUGCAUUGACAUUUCUGGAGGUCUUCAACCUCUCGGGAAACCAUCUUAGUGGAGAGAUUCCUCAGAAAGGGCAGUUCAGCACAUUUAACAAUGAUUCUUAUCUAGGAAACUCCGCGUUAUGUGGAUCACCUUUGACAAAGAAAUGUGCAAACACAGCAUCACCUCCACAAGAAGUCGGAAAUGGUGAUGAAGAUGAUGCUGGUGAUGAAUGGACAUGGGAAGCAAUCGUGAUGGGAUAUGGAUGUGGACUGAUAUGUGGAUUGUCAUCUGCGUACAUUGUUCUCAAACUAGGAAAGCCUUGGUGGUUUGUGAGAUAUAUCGAAGUGCUGCAACUGAAGUUGAUGAAAAGAUAUGCUUGAAAAAUUGUACUGGCCGAUCAAGACGAACUUGAAAGUUGUUGUCCUUGUGGACAUUUCUGAACCAGUAGUGUACUAGCUGCAUAAGUAUUUGGUAUUAUGUAAUAAUCCGUUUGGUCAGGACUCAUAAUGAUUUCUCUUGCUUCAGGGGUAUUAAUAUUAACCUUGCUAGUUAAUUCAAAUUAAAACAAAUAUAAAAUCAAAAAAUUUGCAUCAAACACCUGUUAUACCAACAUCCAUUAAUUUGCUUUCAUCUCUUACGUAACAAUUUAACAGCGAUUCCACACUGUUUUAGGCAUGGAGAUUACACAAAGAAGGCAAGUCCAUGAACUAAUAUAUUAACCCGUAGUCCACAUCUAUGCUACGAACAAUUCAUAUUGGUCUUCCAUCUAUUCAACCGUCUCCCGAAGAUAGGCCAAAAAUGUCAUCUGUGGUUCUUAUCUUUGUCAGUAAAGGAGAAUCUCUGAUGCCUAUACAACCUGGUUUUCUUACAGAAAGGAAUGUAGGUGAAACCAGGGGCAUAAAAUGAAUCGGGACUAAAAUCUGCUAAAAUGAUAAUUAUUUACUCAUCAUUCGAGAUUAGUCGGGCUCAAAUGAAGAUUUAUAUGGAUUUUAAGAACAAACUAUGACUAAAUAUGAAAACUAGACAACCUGGUUUUCUUACAGAAAGGAAUGUAGGUGAAACCAGGGGCGUAAAAUGAAUCGGGACUAAAAUCUGCUAAAAUGAUAGUAAUUAUUUACUCAUCAUUCAAGAUUAGUCGGGCUCAAAUGAAGAUUUAUAUGGAUUUUUAAGAACAAACUAUGACUAAAUAUGAAAAAAAUCAUUAAUUUUUCCGACUCAAUAUUUUUUAGCCUCCCCCGGCCCUGGGUGAAACCAUAAGCUUCUCUGGUGCACAUCCAAAUCAUUCAGCUGGUUCUGCAGGUACUCUUCUAUCUGUACUUUCUUAUAUUGUUUGCCAGUACAUUUUAUAUCGACAAACUGCACAAUACACCUCGAUCUCAUACACAGGUGAACUCCUGCAUAUGCUUUGUGAUGUCAUUGAUGAUCGAUAGACUUGAAAAAAAAUUAUGACAAAGAUUCAUAAAAUAUCUACUUCCAUCCUAAUUCAGUAUUCAAUAUUAUUCAUCCCGUAUCAUCAUCCAAUCAAUUCUAAUAGUUCUUCUUUAAAUCAGUACAAAUAUUGUUAAAUACCUCGAUGAUGGUUGUCUUCCCGUGAACCAAUCAUAAAAUUACCUCUGUAUAAAUCCAUCGGAAAUAAGACAGUUAAUAUCCCAAUCGAAUACACCCCGUCAGUUGUCAAACUCCUCGAAACGUAUUAAUCACUUUAGAAAAUUUGUUCCACUGGCGCUAGUCAGUCCCAGAGUUGGUGGUGGGUGCUUCUGGGCUUUCGAAAAACACCCAUUUACUCCAUUGUUUAGAGAAGUAAAACCCCACCUUCCGCUCAUUUGAUUGAUCAGCUGAAUUAGGCAGAGUUUACAUGGUCAUGAUCAUAGUCUCCCAUUUCCCAGAUACGCGAAUUAUAGUGGAUUUAUCUUUAUCAGUAAUUUCUGUGGAGAUGCAUAAUCAUUAUAAGCUCCAAUAUAAAAAUUUAAAGUUAGUAUGGGCAUUUGUGUUGAUAAUUUGCGCAAUGUUAACAGGAUUGCUCCCAAGUCUUGGACGGACUCUUUCAAAGUCUUCUCAGGACCCAUCUGCACACUGAUUUGUCUGCCAACUAAAAAAUCAACAAUAUGUUACUCACUCCGUUUUUCUUAAACGAGGUUAAAAUUUUUGACACAAGAUGGGUUGACAGUAUAAUAAAAUUAACAUUUUUGUGAAUAAAAAUUUUGGUUGUAUUAUUUUAUUUAGAAAAAGAAAAUCUUGAAAAUAAUAUUAUUAACUACCCAGUCAAAUCACUUAAAAGUAUAUGUCCAAAAUUAAAGCGGCAUAUAAAAAAACCGAGAGAGAGUAUGUACUAACCUGUUUCCAUAACAGUUUACAAGUAUAAGUUAUACUCCCUCUCUAUUUUUUUAUAUGACGCUUUGAUUUUGGGCACAUAUUUUUAAGUGUUUUGACCGGAUAAUUAAAAAUAUUAUUUUCUAAAAUUUUUAAAAGAAAGUAAAAUUGAAAAAAAAAUAGAAAGCUGGUAUUUUUGAUAAAUUUCCAAACAUAAUCAAGAACAAUAAUUUUUACUAUCCAAUCAACUCAUUUACAGAUGUGUGUCAAAAAUCAAAAUAUCAUAUAAAAAACAACAAUAUGUUACUCCCUCCGUUUUUCUUAAACUGAGGUUAAAAUUUUUGACACAAGAUGGGUUGACAGUAUAAAAUUAAAAUUUUUGUGAAUAAAAAUUUUGGUUAUAUUUUUUAUUUAAAAAGAAAAUCUUGAAAAUAAUAUUAUUAACUACCAGUCAGAUCACUUAAGUGUAUGUCCAAAAUUAAAGCGGCAUAUAAAAAAAAGGGAGGAAGCAUGUACUAACUGUUUCCAUAACAGUUUACAAGUACAAGUUAUACUCCCUCUCUAUUUUUUCUAUGACGCUUUGAUUUUGGGCACACAUUCUUAAGUGUUUUGACCGGAUAGUUAAAAAUUUAUCUUCUAAAAUUUUUAAAAAGAAGUAAAAUCGCAAAAAAAAUUAGAAAGCUGGUAUUUUUGAUAAAUUUCCAAAUAUGUAAUCAAGAACAAUAACUUUUACUAUCCAAUCAACUCAUUUAAAGAUGUGUGUCAAAAAUCAAAAUAUCAUACAAAAAAUAGGUAUACAUUUUUUUUAAUAGAUUAUACUCCCUCUGUUCCAAAAUAAUUGUCAGCUGUGACAUUUUGCAAAAGUAGCUGGGGGGUAAUAACAAGACCUUAGUCAACCCAAGCACAGCAGACAGCAGGCAUAAGGCAUCAGGAAUUUCACAGCACCAUUAUCUUUCUCUUAUUAACUGUGAAGGGAACAGAGUAUGAAGUAGCAAGAACCUUCAUAUUUACACAGCCAUUGAUCUGUCGUGCAACGAAUUUCAGGGAGAAAUUUCAAAGGUUACUGGAGAGCUUAGAUGGCUUGCAUUGCUCAAUUUAUCUCAUAAUAGUCUCACAGGACCUAUCCCAUCAUUGCUGAGAAAAAUGAAAGAACUCCAAUCUUUAGAUUUGUCCUCAAAUCAACUGACAGGGGCUAUUCCACCUCAGUUAACUGCAUUGACAUUACUUUUCUCUUUAUAUCCUUUCCUUUUGUAUGUACCUAUGCUAAUUAUCUGAUUAUCAAAAUUAUAACAAAGCUUCAAGAUUUUUAACAGGUGAGCUUCCACUAAAAAUUUGCAAAGUCACUUCCCUUUCGCGUCUCAUUAUGUCAGAUAAUGGGUCAAGUGGUGCACAUCCACAGUGUUUGGGGAACCUUUCUUUGCUUGGUUUCAAUAAUCUUGCUAAUUAUCAAUUUCAAGGACCAAUACCAACGACUGUCCAAGACUUGUCUGUGCAUAUCUAAACAUCCAUAACAAUCACUUUGAAGGUUUGUUGCUGCAAUCUUUGACAAACUGUAAACACUUACAAAUUCUUGAUAUUGGAAACAACAAAAUAGGUGGUACAUUUCGGUCAUGGCUAUUUAUUUUGGAGAGCUAGAUGUCCUAGUUAGGGCGGUAAUUCAACUAGAGCAAACCGAGUUUUGAGCGGAGCCAAAUUCGAGCCAAGUUUAAUCGAGUCAAGCCGAGUCGGCUCGUUUAGCUAAUCGAGCCUAAAACUCUGCCCGAACUCGACUCGUUUAAUUUCACGAACGAGUCAAGCGAGUGAGCUCGUAUAAUUUUAACUUAAUCGAGCCUAAAUCUCUACCCGAACUAUUGGCUCGUGUAAUUUCGCGAGUAGAAUCGAGCCGGCUCGUUUUAUUAUAGAAGCCGAAAUUUUUGCCCGAAUUUGGCUUGUUUAACAAGCCGAUCUUUCAUCAAAAAUUUCAAACAUUUCUGAAUAUGUAUUUUCAGAGAAUUUCUCCAGCACUCUUAAGGCCUAUAAUUAUUGCAACUCUCACGUUAUGGACCACUGUGUAUUUUACAAGCACGACGAAUCAUGUUGUCAUUAUGGACUCCCCAAGCCUUAGAGGACUCAUUCCAGGUCUUAGGAGGACCACUGCCUAGCUCACCCUUUCGGAGUGAUGUAAAUUAUUUUCCAAACAUUAAAAAUAAAUAAUCAGAUUAAUCAAUACAAAAUUAAAGAUAUAAAAUCAGAAUAAAUCCUAAACUUUGAAUAUACAAAAAAAAUUAUAAUUGUAAAUUAUACAAUCAAAUUAAAAUUGAAUUAACUUCCCUCACACUUAAAAUUUAUAGCGAUCAAAUCAAAAUCGAAUUAACUUUCCUAUUACUAAAAUUUAGUUACAAUAUUAUUAGAUAAAGAGAAUAUAUAAUAAUCAAGGGAAAAUAGAUUUUUUUUUUUUGCCACUCAACUUAUUGUUUUUUAAGAAACUUACCACCCAACUAAUUAUUUUUUCCUUUUGCUCACUAAUGUUAGGUUUGGAUUUGUUUUUAGCCACCAACUAAGGUUCGGAUUUGAUUACUAGCAUUAUGAUAAUUUUUUUUGUCACUAAACUUAUUGUGUCUUUAGAAACUAACCACUCAACUAAUUUUUUUUUAAUUUACUCACUAAUGUUAGGUUCAGUUUUUUUUUGUCACUGAAGUUAGGUUCGGAUUUGAUUAUUAGCAUUACAUUAAUUCUGUGUAGCAUUUUUAAAAUAUGGCUCAUAAGAAUUUUACACGCAUUUUAUGACUUUUAAAAGAUGUAGUUUCAUUAAUAAUUUUAUUUUUUUCUUCCGAAUUAAAAUUUAGCGUUUGAAUUUUACACACAAAAAAUCGAAAGAAUAAGUUAUGAAAGUAUGCUUUAUAAGAGUCUUAAAAUACGUGCUAAACGGUAGAAAAAACUGUACACUAAUGACAGGUAAAUAGGGAGUAAUAAUAACAUAAAAUGAUGCACAAUCAUCGAAUUAAGUUUUCCUCUCUCUAUAUAUUUAUUUUGAAAAUUUUAAUAAGAUAAAGUUAUUAAAAUUUAUGAUAUAAAUUUAAGAGAUAUCUUAGAUUGAGUGGCAAAAAUUUAGUUGGGUGAUAAAUUUCUAAAAACACAAUAAAUUGAAUGGGAACAAAAUCUAUUUUCCCGAUAAUCAAAGUGACGAAAAAUCAAAGUCAUCUAAUAAGUCCAGAAAAAAUAUGACCAUUAGUAUAUCGGAAUAAUAUUCACACAUUUAUAUACGAGAAUAUAUGGUCCACAAGUUAGUGCACAAUGUCCAAGAAUCUUUAUUAAAGUAACACGGCAAGCAUGCAGCAUAUAAAUAAGAGUGGGCACUGGGCAGUAUGGUAUUGCAUUCAUAACCCACUUGAGGAGAAAUAUGGCACACUUCCUAAAGCCUUCUCACCUUCUUCUCUUUGUUUUCUUUCUCUCGUUACUUCAAUCCAUUCUACUAACAAGACCAGAGGGAGAAGCUCUUGUGAAAUGGAAGAAUAGCCUUGCCCCUUCUUCUUUUCUCGAUUCUUGGUCACUCACCAAUCUCGAUGAUCUUUGUAACUGGACUGGCAUUACUUGUAACUCUGCAGGUUCAGUCUCUGAGAUUAACCUUUAUGAGAAACAACUUGAUGGAAUGCUGUCCGAGUUUAGUUUCACUUCAUUUCCAAAUCUUAACAGUCUCACUCUCGCAUACAACUUCUUCUCGGGUCCAAUACCACCAGCCAUUGAGAAUUUAACACAGCUUCAAUAUCUUGAUUUAAGCAUCAAUAGUCUCGAUGGUCUCAUUCCGUUCCAGGUUAGCCAUCUUCAGAGGUUGCUCGUCUUAAACCUGUCACAGAAUGCAUUGCAAGCUCCAAAUUGGUCCCAAUUCUCUCCCAUGCCCUUUUUGUGCAGCCUCAACCUCAGUAGCAAUCCUCUUGCGUCGAAAUUCCCAAAUUUCAUAUCCAAUUCUCAUGGCCUGACUCACCUUAGCCUUGAUCAAAACGAGUUUACAGGUGAUUUAGCGCGUGAAUCAAUAUUUGCCAAUCUGCAUAAUCUUGAAGUCCUCAGUCUUGUUGGCAAUUCUUUUGAGGGGCCAUUUCUGCCAAAUAUAUUCAAGCUUUCCAAAUUAAAACGUCUCACCCUGUCAAGUAACAAAUUUUUAGGAUCAAUUCCCAAUGACAUAAGGUUGCUUUGUGAUCUUGAAUUCCUGUAUUUAGGAAACAAUUCUUUUGAAGGACCGCUUCCACCAAAUAUAUUCAAGCUUUCAAAAUUAAAACAUCUUGUUCUUUGGAGUAAUAAGUUUUCAGGUUCUGUUUCCAAUGAUAUAGGUUUGCUUUCUGCGCUUGAACUUUUGAAUCUUCACUCUAAUUUUUUUGAGGGGCCGCUUCCGCCAAAUGUAUUCAAGCUCUCUAAACUAAGGUUUCUUAACCUCUGGGGUAACAACUUUUCAGGUUCUGUUUCCAAUGAUAUAGGUUUGCUUCCGGAGCUAGAAAUCCUCAAUCUUCACUCUAAUUUUUUUGAGGGCCGCUUCCGCCAAAUAUAUUCAAGCUCUCUAAACUAAGGUUUCUUAACCUUUGGGGUAAUAACUUUUCAGGUUCUGUUUCCAAUGAUAUAGGUUUGCUUCCUGAGCUAGAAUUCCUCAAUCUUCACUCUAAUUUUUUUGAGGGUCCGCUUCCGCCAAAUGUAUUCAAGCUCUCUAAACUAAAGUUUCUUCAUCUUCGAGGUAAUAAGUUUUCAGGUUCUGUUUCCAAUGAUAUAGGUUUGCUUCCUGAGCUUGAAAUCCUCAAUCUUCGCUCUAAUUUUUUUGAGGGGCCGCUUCCGCCAAAUGUAUUCAAGCUCUCCAAACUAAGGUUUCUUUCCCUUAAGGAAAAUAAAUUUUCAGGUUCUGUUUCCAAUGAUAUAGGUUUCCUUUCUGAGCUUGAAUACCUAUAUCUUGACUAUAAUUUAUUUGAAGGAAGUAUUCCUAUUGGACUGGGACUCUUGACUAACCUCAGCUACUUAGAUCUAAGUUCCAAUAAUCUCAGUGGCUAUAUUCCAUCUGACAUUGGAAACCUGAAGCUACUAGUAUUUCUUGAUCUCAGUUCUAACCAAUUGACUGGACCGCUUUUAAAGAUCGUUUCUAAUCUCACAAAUCUUAUGAAUCUUGAUGUAAGUGAUAAUAGUCUUAGUGGAAAUAUUCAGAGUGACUUGUGGAAGAACUCUAUAUCCUUACGUUACAUUAAUUUUGCAAAUAAUUAUUUGUCUGGGAACAUUCCUAAGGAAUACAACGAUCAUCCAACUUUGGAAUACAUCAAUUUAAGUGGGAACCAUUUUACAGGUAUAUUUUUCUCUAUAUAUCUUUUCCUUUUCUCAUAUGUAACUAAGCUGGUAAUCUGAUUAUUGCAGUUUUACCAAAGUUUCAACAAUCUUGACAGGUGAGCUUCCAACAACAAUUUGCAAUGUCACUUCCCUUGCGGUUCUUGUUUUGUCAAAUAAUGGAUUAAGUGGAGCACUUCCAAAUUGUUUCGGGAAACUUGCUGAUAGAUUGCUUUCCAUUAAUCUUGCUAAUAAUCAGUUUCGAGGAACAAUACCAACUACUUUCUCCAGGAGUUGUCAGGUGAAAUAUCUAAACAUGGAUAAUAAUGAGUUUGAAGGAUUCUUGCCCCCAUCUUUGGCGAACUGUAAGCACUUGAAAAUUCUUGAUAUUGGCAAUAACAAAAUAGGUGGUCCAUUUCCGUCAUGGCUUUAUGUACUUGGAGAGAUAGAAGUCCUUGUCUUGCGAUUAAAUAAACUCUAUGGUACAAUAAGUGGAAGGAGCGUAAAAGAUCCCUUCCCCAAGUUGCGGAUUGUGGAUCAAUAGACAUCGGCUAAAAAGCGAUGUCUAUGUAAAAUCAGACCGAUGUCUUCGUGGGUGAUGAGAAAAGUAAGUGCAUUACACAUCGCUUUCUAGCCGAUGUCUAUAACCUAUUUACACAUCGUUUAAUAUGACAAUCUGAUGUAUUUUUUAACAGUAGAUACCUUCACUAUAAUUUCAGUUCCUCAUUCCUAUGCCCUCUAUAUCAUUUUAAACUUGUCACAUGCUUAAUAAAAUGAUACUUUAACAUCUUAAAACUUGUAAAAUAGAUGUAUAUGAUAACCUUUUACAUCAUGCUUUUAUAGGAAGUGAUGUGGUACCCUUCUUUUCUUUAAGAAAGCGAUGUCUUUGUUCUUGUUUUACAUCAGUGAUUUUUAUACUCUGAUAUCUAUUAUAUAGUUUAACAUCAGGCUUUUUCUUGUUAACUGAUAUGUAUUCAUUCUUAUGACAUCGCUUACUAAGUGAUGUAAAUGUUAGUUUUAAAUUGCCAUGAAUCCUCCUGUUUCUUAUGAAUCCCCCUGUUUCAUUUAAAUUUCCAACAAAUUCCAAAACAACACCAAAGCUAUACUAAUUAAACAACCAAUUACCAAUGUCUAGCCUACCAUAACAGAACUAAAACAAAACUAGCUAGCAAAACAAUACUUCCGCAAAAGCCAAAUAUAUUACCAUCAAUCAUUACCAAUCAAAUUACAUCCCACAAUCAAAGAAACUGCACAAAUCCUAAAUAUUAACCAAGCAACCAUAAUUUACAAGCAGUUCACCACGUACUCCAGCAACCAUAAUUUACCAACUACAUUUCCCUCCAUUUAUCAACAAAAUCUACUUAGCUAGCUAGUGUCACUGUCUUACAUAAACUGAACUAAUUAAAGGAAACCAAAGUUCUCCAAUAAACCAAAGGCCUGUUUAUAAGAAGGACUCGAUAUGGCUAAGUGUCUCAAACCGAACCUCGUCAAGCUCAGCCUUGGAACAAAUCACUUUUCGAUUCUUGGAUGCCCACUGAAAAAUGUAAAACAAUAACAUUGAAUUAUACCUAAAUUUAUAUGUACACCAUUUAAUUAUAUCAACAAUGGAUUAGGCAAAGAAAAAUACCCUUUUAAAAAAUGUCAUUUCAUUGUCCAUGACAAUCUCUUUCAUAUACCGCAUAAUAACAUAGCCGCAUUCAGUUCCACCGGGCUGUUUAGGACAUCCCUAUUUAACCAAAAAAAACUCAAAAUAGUAAGUAAAGUAAUGCCCCUGGUUCUAAGCAUCAGUAGCACAAAUUGUUAAAAAUAAAUACGAAAGCUUACUGUAAUAUAUUUGAAGCUUGGGGCUUUAUUUCCCCUUCCGGCCUGAACAUUGAAAGUAAUCACAGCCCUGUCAUCUUGGCAGUGUUAAUAAUGCACAUGCAUUUAUAUCUCCAUAAGAAAGAUAAUCAAUAAAAAAAUAAAUGAAAAUACCUUGAUAUUGCUUUUUCCAAGUUGGGGAAACUAGUUGAACGAGGCAGAGGAUUAAGUAUGAAAACCUCGCCACCCCAAAACAGAACCAAUACCCAAUGGAAACUAUUUUUAACAAAUAUUUAUGAAAAACACAAUUACUAUCAAAAUCAUAUAAAUUUUAUUUUCAGUCAUGUAAAAAACUAAAUAAAAGAGAUUUAUAAUAAAUAAGAAAACACUUAAGCUACUUACUUGCUAUUAUGCGGCAUCAAAAAGAGACGAUCAGGAUUACCCUCUUUAAAUCGAUUAACCAAGUUAUCUUCAAAAGAAUUGUUCAUCAAGUUCAGCGAGGCUCCAGGAUCACAAAAAGCAAAUUGAUCCUUAGUGCCAUUUUCACGAACCACGCAAUGCAAGUAUCUACAUUGUAAAUGAAAUGAAAUUAUAUAAAAUUACACGAAUAUGAAUUAUAACUAAACAACAGUCAUGAUCUAGAAGACAGUAAUUAAAAAAAGUUUACUCACGCCAUGUAUGCAGCAAUUGCUGCUUGGCCAAUCAUAUUAAACUCCAGCAAGGCGACUAUGUUUUCAUACAAGAUGAAGAUUCUUUUCUCGAUACCAAACACCUCAGCAUCACACGGGAUUUGAAUUGAGUCUCCGGAGGAUUGCAUAAAUGUUGUUGCAUGUUUAUACAACAACCGAAAGCGUUUUGGAACAUUUUUAUUGAUCUCCAUGUUAUGAAACAAGGACUGGACUUUAUCUAAAUCGGUUUUAGGUUCCUUUACUUUCCGUUUACCUUUCUGAAAAAUGAACAAAAUUAAUUUAAAACAAAAUAUAACAAAAUAUAGGGGUAACAUAUAAUAGUACAAUCCAGUACAACAAUUAUGUUAAAGUACACACCAUAGUAGGAAUAGUAGGAGGGGCAUUUGGGAAUAUGAUCAAGUCGCGGGGCCAUGAGACGUACGAGCCAACAGCUUGCUCUACUGUUUCAAUCUCACCUGGUACCGGUUUAGGAAUCUUGGCUUGUCCUUGAAUUGGGCCAUCCACUGAGACGCGAACACAUCCAGGCUCUAUCGGCACUCCAUGUAUAGAUUUGUUCAUGUUAUCAUCAUCAAACAACAAACCAAAUGCCACUUUAUUUUCUAUUGUGCCUACAGCCAACUCACAUUUUCGUGGACCGGCCUACACACAUAUAUUUAAACAAUUAUGACGAAUGCUUGAAAUAUGUUGAGCUAAAUUGAAUAAAUGUGCUAGUUAUUUUACCUUAUUCUCUGGUGGAUUAGGUUCCAAGUCAACUUCAAUCAUCUCUGGUUCCAGUUUUUUCACCACCUCUGUCUUAGCUUCUUUGACAGUGUUUGCCUCACAACUUGCUUUAUCAGAAGCAAUAGGAGAUGAAAUAUUUGCUUUGCUGAGCAAGGCCUUCAUUUCAGCCAUCUCCUGCCUUGUCUUCUCCAUUUCCAUGGCCAUCUCUUUCUUGGCUUUCUCCAGCUCCGCGUCCCUCUCUCGAUCCCUCUCCAACAACUCAGCUUUGGUGAUUCUAUUUCUUCUUCCUGGUGGUAUAUUAAAAAAAAUUGACGGGCUCACAAAGCCUCCAACUCCUCGAACCCUCCCCGAAUGUUCAGGAGUUUGUAGGGCCGUAGUCAACACAUCUCGACUCCCAGAAGGAGUGAAUUCCCCCUUACUUUGCUGCUCUAGUAAAAUAUUCUGACAUGAAAAAUAUGAACAUACAAAUCAUCAUCUAGUGAACCUCAUCAUCAAUAUUAACUUUAAUUUUACGAGCCUUUUAAUUAUAAAUACUCACAAUUCUUUUUCCUAUUUCAGCUAGGUCUGAAUCCUCAUCAUCAGCAUCAUCAGCCUCAUCAUCAUCAUCAACAUUAUCAUUAUCAUCAUCAAUUUUAAUUUUACGAGCCUUUUGCCACAUGAGAGCCCGAUCAGGUUCUUCAUCGGCAGCCAAAGUUCCUUUCUUGAUCUGAUUAAAAUCAAAAAAAAAUUAAAAAGGCCAAGAUAUGUAAAAUACAAUUAUUUAGGUUCAAUGCUUAAAAUACAACUAUUUUUAUACCUCUUCUUCCAAUAAUCCAAUGUAACCCUUUCUUGAUGUCCGGUGAGGAUAUUUUCGAUUACUCACCCUCAGCUUUUGUUUUUCACUAAAAGACUUCAAAUAUUUUAAAUAAUAUUAGAAUACUAUUUUUCAGAAUAUAAAAAGACAUUUAUAUCACAAUAAAGCAGAACAUAAAAUAUAUUUCAUACCAGAAAUUUCGAGGUAGUCCUCUCAGCAACAAAAUUUUUCCAAGCCUCCUUUCCAACAAAAGCAUACUUCUUUGGAGGCUUUCGUAAUUUCUUCUUCUGCCCAAGAUACGGCCUCACAUAAUCUCUUGUUAAAUUUGCUUUAAAAUUCCUCCACUUUGCUCCUGCAGACCUGAUCAACCCCUUCUCAAGUUGCUUAGGAACUUUAAAUGUCUCCUGCAACCAAUGUUAAUUGACAAAAUUUACAAAAUUAUACUCUAAAUGAGUAGAAGAAAAUGCAAAAUUUACAAAAUGCAUAGGAGAUUACUUAUUUUUAUACCUUCACAUCAAUCCAUAUUUUCUCCUUUAGUUCAUCAGGUACCUUUGACCAGUUAGGAUAAUCAAUCGGAAUCAUUGUCCUAGCCAACAUUCCAGUGUAGGAUUGUAGACUGUGCCUUGCAUCCCCUGUAGGAACUCCAUGUGCAUUACAUGAAACCUUUGUUUUCUUGCCCUGCGCCUUCCUCACCACCACUUUAUACAUAGCAGAAACCCCUCGGGCACCCCCACGCUUUUUCUUUGCUGUUUCAGAUGUUGUAACUGUUGCAUCCGUUUCCUCCACAGAAUUCACAUUUUCUCCCUGAGGUUCUGUUGUCAGCUCCAACCUUUUAUCUGAUGCCUCAUCCGACUUUUUGGAGUCUUCAUGGAAUUGUACUUUGGUUUUUUGCUUUUUAUUUGCCAUUUAUCUUCUUCAAUCUGAAAAUGAAACAUAUAUAAUCCAUUAGUCACAGGCAUAUAUACGAGCAAUUACAGGAUAAGCAGUUAUAAAGUUACAUAAGCCUACAUAAGCCGUUACAAAAUUGUAAAAAUGCAUAACUAAACAUUUACACAGAGUGAAAAUUACAGGAGUCUAAUUACACAGAGUAAAUUACAAAGUUGCAUCACAUAUAUUACAUGACUUGAAAUAAUGUUAUCACAGAGUAAAUUACAAAGUCUCAUCACAAAAUUAACUAUUACAUGACUUGAAAUAAUGUUAUCACUUCUUAACCCAAGUGCCCUUAAUAUUUUCUCUAAUACUUUUCUCAACAUCAUCACCGACAUCACAUGUAGGAAUUUGGCAGCAGAAUGGAGGAUUUUCCAUGGUUGUGUCUCCUAAAUCAUCAUCGUUAUACACCUCUUGGUAGUCUCGAGUUGUAGAGGUUAAUACGACGGACCACUUGGCAUCCACCGGAUCUUCAAUAUAAUAAACUUGCUUUACUUGAUCUAUAGACACGUAUUUAUCUCUCUUGUGGCCUUGUCGACUUAGAUCGACAAGUGUGAACCCAAGAUCAUCCACCUUAAUUCCCUUGUCAUUGUCCGCCCAAUUACAUAAAAACAGUGGGGCUUUGAAUGCAUGAUAAUCCAGCUCCCAUAUAUCUAGGAUAACACCAUAAAAUGUCAAGUCACUUUCUACGGGGUUUAAAUCUUUAGCGCUAGACACUUGGACAGUUUUAGCAACUAAAGACACUCCGCUGUUUUGAACUACCCUCACAUUGUCUCGCUGUUUUGUAAAGUAUCGGACCCCGUCUACUAGAUAAGCUUCGUAAGUCAUAACUGAAAAUGAUGGUUUUCCAGCUAUCCAUCUUACUGUCUCUGAAACUCCUCCAGGAUUCUCCACCAUUUCACUACUGACCUACACAUUUCAUAAACAGAAAUUAUCCUAAAUUACUAUAGAGAAAAUAAAUUAGGCACAAAUGAAACUAUAAAAAUACUAACUUUUUCUAGAAACCAAUCAGCAAAACUGUUAUUGUGCUCUCUCAAGAGCCAAUGAACGCUUUUCUUUUUCCCACGAUGGAUUUCCUCUAGAUACUCCUUAUGCAUUCUGCCAAAAAUUAUAUAUUCAUUAAAGAAGUAGUUUAUACAGAAUGUAUAUAUUAAUUGAACAGCCACAAAAUUAAAAAAAUCUUACAAGAUAUAUGGCUGUACUUCAAGGUUGUUUAGAAGAACGUGUAAAUGAGCUUCAUCCCUCUCUUUUUCUUCGAUUGAUUUCAUUACCGCAACAGAUAAUGGACCACUUAACUUGCCUUCAUCUUUGCGAAGACCAGCAGUGGUGCAAGUUUGCUUGACAAACUCUUGGCAGAAUUCAAUCGAUUCUUCUCCAAGAUAACAUUCUGCUAUACAACCUUCGGGGUAGUAACGAUUGCGUACGUAACUCUUCAACACCUUAUUAAACCUCUCAAAUGCAUACAUCCAUCUAUAGAAGACUGGCCCACAUAACCGUAAUUCCCGAACCAAGUGCACUAUGAGAUGUAUCAUUACAUCAAAAAAUGAUGCAGGAAAAAUUUUUUCUAGCUCGCACAAAGUUACUAUUACAUCUGAUUGCAAUUUAUCUAGUUUAGAUACGUCGACAACUUUGCUGCAUAAAGCAUUAAAGAAGAAACACAAUCUAAUUAUUGUGACCCUGACUUUUUUUGGAAGUACCGCGCGAAUUGCAAUAGGAAGUAAUUGUUGAAGUAGGAUGUGGCAAUCGUGGGACUUCAACCCAAACAUUUUUAAUUCUUCCAUGGAAACACAGUUUUUAAUGUUUGACGCGUGUCCAUAAGGAAGUUUCAUGUGCAUUAACGAUGACAACAUCUUCUUCUUUUCUGCCUUGGACAAAUUAAAAAUCGAAGGAGGUAAAUAGGUCUUUCUUUCUCCUUUUUGUGGAGCUAGAUCAGCCCUAACCCCCAUGUCAAUCAUGUCAAGACGAGAAGCUUCACUAUCUUUAGACUUAUGUUUCAUAUUCAGUAGUGUGCCAAUCAAGCUAUCACACACGUUUUUCUCCACGUGCAUAACAUCUAGACAAUGACGGACAUGGUGAAAUUUCCAAUACUCUAACUCGAAGAAAAUUGACUUUUUCUUCCAUGGACAGUCAACCUUCUUUGACUUCCUUACUUCUUUCCCAAACUGAAAUUCAAUUUUUUCUUGCUGCAAUAAAACCUCUUCUCCCGAAAGAGGUUGACGUGCCUGCCCUAAUUCUUGUUGUCCAUUAAAAGCAGCUUUUUGCUUCCUAUAUGGAUGAUUUCUAGCCAAGUAACGUCGAUGACCUUGGUAACACAUCUUCCUACUAUGGCUUAAAUACUUUGCAACAGUAUCAUCACCACAUAUUGGACAAGACAUAUAACCUUUAUUAACACAUCCGGACAGAUUUCCAUAUGCGGGAAAGUCGUUUAUUGUCCACAAUAAAAUUGCUUUUAAAGUGAAAUACGACUUAGUGUGUGCAUCAUAGACAUUUGGUUCACCUUCCUCCCACAACUUCUUUAAAUCAUCGAUUAGAGGCUGUAAAUAUACAUCAAGGUCAUUACCAGGCUCAUGAGGACCGGGAACUAAAACUGUUAGCAUCAUAAACUUCCUCUUCAUGCAUAACCACGGAGGAAGAUUAUAAGUCACUAGUACUACUGGCCAACAAGUGUAUCUAUUGGUUAGACCGUUAUUAUGCGGGUUUAUACCAUCUGCAGACAACGCCAAGCGAAUAUUUCUUGCCUCACUACCGAAGGCAGGCCACCUAUAGUCGAUAUUUCUCCAAGAAGGAGAGUCGGCUGGAUGCCGCAUCUUUCCAUCUUCUAUUCGCUGCUUUGCGUGCCAGGUAAUCAGUUCAGAUGUAGAAGGAGAUUUAAACAUUCGCUUCAAUCUCGGAAUAAUUGGAAAAUACCACAUUAUUUUAGCAGGAACAUUAAUCCUUACUUUACCAUCCUUUCCUAACUUCCAGCGAGAUAGACUACACUUAGGACACUUAGAAGCAUCAACAUAUACCCCCCGAUAUAGUAUGCAAUCGUUUGGACAUGAGUGGUACUUUAUGUAUUCUAGGCCUAAGUUGGAUAAUGUUUUCUUGGCUUCAUAUGCAUUAGGUGGCAUCACAUUUUCCUUAGGAAGGAGAGAGCCAACAGUAGACAAUAAAUCUGUAAAGGCGCUAUCACUAAUUCCAAACCUUGCUUUCCAAUUAUGCAGUUUUAGCAUCGACUCCAAUUUGGUACAUUCACUACCCUCAUACAAAGGCUGUUGAGCAUCAGCCACAAAUCUCCUAAACUGAUACGACUCAUUAUUGUACUCACUCGAAUUAUACGCAGCAUCACAAACAUUGACUGUUUGUGAUGCAUGACCAGGGGAAUGCAUCGAUGCAGGGUCAAGCGUAGGUGCAGGGCUAGGGGCAUUGUCAUGAACUGUUGAUCCAGUGAUUCCACACCCUUGUGUGUGCCAAAUCCAAUCAAGGUAUCCCAAACUAAAACCGUAUUCAUAUAAAUGUCCCCUAAUAAUCUUAACUGCAAAUUUUUUAAAGUUAACACAUCUUUUGCAGGGGCAUGGGAUUUUUUUAGUAUCACUAGCAUUUUCCUCGGCAAAUAUUAAAAACUCUUCAACCCCGAUUUCAUAGUCAAGUGUAUCCCUAUCUUUGAAAAUCCAAGACUUGUCCAUGUUAUUCUCAAACUACCUGAUUGUCAAAUAUGAUAUCAAAUUACAUGGUAACAAAGAUCCAAACACAAUAUACAAUUACAUUUACAAACUAAACAAACACAAAUAUAUUUACACAGCUGUGCAUAAAACAUAAAAAACAAAUCCCAAGCUCUAAACAUAUAUAACACAGUACAUAAAAAAGAAACCCCAAGCUCCAAACAUAUAUAAAACAUAUAUACAACUACACGUUUAAUUUUCACAUGCAUACAUAUAACUACAAAAAGUUAUACUUGCAACCGAAACAUUUAUAUAAAUAUAAAGAAGAAUAUAGAAGAAUAUAUAUACCUAAAACCCAGCAGCUUCGAAACCCAGCACCUCCAAAAUCCAGCAGCUAUCCAGCAGCUUCGAAAACCCAGCAACUACCCUAAUCUCCAAGCUUCAAAUCUCCAAGCUUCAAAGAACCCUAAUCUCCAAGCUCCACUCGACCCUAAGCUUGAAGAUCGAACCUUAAGCUUGAACACAGCAGCUUCGAAUCGCGCACAAAUCGCACCUAGGGUUUAGAAGAGAGGGAAUCAGUUAAUAGAACAUUUGAAAGGGGGUUUAGAAGAGAGGGAAUCAGUUAUUAAACCAAGAACGAGGAUUGAAGGACUGAAGGAUUGAAGAAAAUCGCAUACCUAGGUUUAGCUGUCGAGAGAAAGGGGGAAGAGCUGCUGUCUGAAAGAAAUAUGUAUAUAUGUCCCGAUUGUUUUCUUUUGAAUGCUUUUGUUUUAAUUUUGAUUUAUUUUUAAUGUUUUUUUAUUGUUUUAUACUGAGGCGGGAGUGAAUGAUAUGUUAAAGGGGGGGAAAACAGUAGGGGGAACUAAUUAAAAAAUUGACUAAGGGCGGGGGAGCGGAGGGCGCGGGCUUUAAUAUUUUUAAAAUUGAGAUUAGACAUCGCUUAAUAAACAAUGUGAUGUGAAAAAAUUUUAAAGUGAGAGCUUAGACAUCACUUAUGUUAAGGACUGAUGUAAAGAUACCAGAAAGACAUCACAUAUAAAACGAGCGAUGUAAAAAAGGCAUUUUACAUCGGUGACACUUCCGACUGAUGUCUAAUGUGCGAUGUCUAUUGACGAAUUUCUAGUAGUCUCCAAAGGAUAUUUAUCUUUCCAUCAUGAUGCAGCAGUCUCCUUAACUGUGAAGGGAACGGAGUAUGAGGUAGCAAAGAACCUUCAUAUUUACACAGCCAUUGAUCUGUCGGGCACCUAAUUUCAGGGUCGAAUUCCAAACGUCACUGGAGAGCUUAGAUGGCUUGCAUUGCUCAAUUUAUCGCAUAAUAGUUUAACAGGACCUAUCCCAUCAUUGCUGAGAAAUAUGAAAGAACUCCAAUCUUUAGAUUUGUCCUCAAAUCGACUGACAGGGGCUAUUCCACCUCAGCUAACUGCAUUGACAUUUCUAGAGGUCUUGAACCUCUCGAAAAACCAUCUUAGUGGAGAGAUUCCUCAGAAAGGACAGUUCAGCACAUUCAACAAUGAUUCUUAUCUAGGAAACUCCGCGUUAUGUGGAUCACCUUUGACGAAGAAAUGUGCAAACACAGCAUCACCUCCACAAGAAGUCGGAAAUGGUGAUGAAGAUGAUGCUGGAGAUGAAUUGACAUGGGAAGCAAUCGUGAUGGGAUAUGGAUGUGGACUGAUAUGUGGAUUGUCAUCUGCGUACAUUGUUCUCAAACUAGGAAAGCCUUGGUGGUUUGUGAGAUAUAUCGAAGUACUGCAACUGAAGUUGAUGAAAAGAUAUGCAUGAAGAAUGGUACUGCACUACAACAAAAACAGCAUCACACAACGGUUUUUGCCCGUUGUCUGAUACCCAAGAAAACCGUGGUCUAUUGCGAUGCCGUCUGAUACGCGCCUCAGACAACGUUUUAUUAGUUAAAGGCUUGUCUAUAAGGCCAUGCUACGAUGGUAACAAAAACACUUGUAUGUUAGCUUCCUGGUCACACAACACUGUAUGGAACCCUUGUUUAAACGGCUCGUAAACAACACAACAAAUAAAACACUUGUCUAAUUACAACAACGGUUUCUUGAAAUAUUGUCUGAAGUUUCUUCACACAUCGGCUCUAAAAACAGUUGUCUAACGUGCAUCAUUACACAAUAUCACAGUUAAGAUACCGUUGUCUGAUUGAAUUUACUAGACAACACUUUUUAAACCGUUGUAGGUUGUAGGUGUUGGACAAUAGUUUUUCGAGGACGAAAAUAAAGUGUUGUGUCUUUGUUUCGGCCAACACUUUUUCCAGCGUCCGUUGUCUGACUAGUGUCGUGUGAUGCCAGUUUUGUUGUAGUGCUGGUUGAUCCAGACGAACUAGAAAGUUGUUGUCCUGGUAGACAUUUCUGAACCAUUUGUGUCCUGGCUGAAUAAGUAUUUGGUAUUAUGUAAUAAUCCGUUUGGUUGGGACUCAAAAUGAUUUCUCUUGCUUCAGGGGUAUUAAUAUUAACCUUCCUAUCUUGAUCAAUGUUAAAUCAAAUUAAAUGAAUGAAAAAACAAAAAGUAUGCAUCAAAUCCGCUCCUGCUGUACCUAACAAUUUAACAGCACCCUUCCACACUGUUCAUACCUAAUUUGCGUGUAAUAUGAAAACUAAGAGGCAUGGCUUUUGUCUUUGAGAGAACUUAUUCCAAGUCUUCUUCGGAGGCCUACUGCCUCAACAACCUUUCAAAGACUAUGCAAUAAUCCACGUGACAGAAAAACCAAAGUCCAAUUAGUAUUAUAAGUUCAUAAAAAAUACUAUAGGAUCAUUAGCAUUAGCAUUACAUUAGCAUACAGCAUAUAUAUAAAUAGAAGAAUGCAGUGUGGUAUUGGAUUCAUAAUCCAAUUGAGCAGAAACAUGGCACACUUUGUAAAGCCUUAUGACCUUCUUCUCUGUGUUUUCUUUCUCUCAUCACUUGAAUCCAUUCUUGCAACAAGACGAGAAGGAGAAGCUCUUGUGAAAUGGAAGAACAGCCUAGCCCCGUCUUCUUCUCUUGAUUCUUGGUCACUCACUCAUCUCGAUAAUCUUUGUAACUGGACUGGCAUUACUUGUAACUCUGCAGGUUCAGUCUCUGACAUUAACCUUUUCAACAAACAACUCACUGGAAAGCUUUUCGAGUUUGGUUUCACUUCAUUUCCGAAUCUCAACAAUCUCACCCUCGCAGAUAACUUCUUCUCUGGUCCAAUACCAUCAGCCAUUGGGAAUUUAACACAGCUUCAAUAUCUUGAUUUGAGCAAUAAUUAUCUCAAUGGUUCCAUUCCGUACCAGGUUAGCCAUCUUUCAAAAUUACACGUCUUAAACCUGUCAGAGAAUGAACUGCAAGCUCCAAAUUGGUCCAAUUUCUCCCCCAUGCCUUAUUUGACCAUCCUCGACCUUUAUCAGAAUAAUCUUAUGUUGGAAUUUCCAGAAUUUAUAUCUAACUCGCGUAACCUGACAUACCUUGACCUUUCAUAUAACAAGUUCACAGGCGAUCUUGUGCGCGAAUCAGUAUUAGCCAAUCCAGGUGAUCUCGAAACCCUCUAUCUUAAUGAAAAUUCUUUUGGGGGGCCAUUUCCACCAGACAUAUUCAAACUUUCCAAGUUGAGAGUUCUUGCCCUGUUCAAUAAUCUUUUUGAGGGGCCGCUUCCGUCAAAUAUAUUCAAGCUCUCUAAACUAAGAUUCCUUUUACUUUGGAGUAAUAAUUUUUCAGGUACUCUUUCGAAUGAAAUAGGUUUGCUUUCUGAGCUUGAAGACCUAGAUCUUCACUCCAAUUUUUUUGUGGGGCCGCUUCCGCCAAAUAUAUUCAAGCUCUCUAAACUAAGAACCCUUUUCCUCUUGGGUAAUAACUUCUCAGGUUCUAUUUCCAACGACAUAGGUUUGCUUUCUGAGCUUGAACACCUAUAUCUCGACUCCAAUUCUUUUGAGGGACCUUUUCCAACAAAUAUUUUCAAGCUUUCCAAAUUAAUACAACUUGGUCUCGCAAACAAUACAAAUUUAUUUGAAGGAAGUAUUCCUCCAGGACUGGGGCUCUUGACUAACCUAGAGGACUUGUCUCUUGCUUACAAUAAUCUUGGUGGCUAUAUUCCGUCUUCCUUUGGAAACCUAACACUACUAGUAUAUCUUAAUCUCGCUCGUAAUCAAUUGGUUGGAACACUAUCAAAGACCAUUUCUAAUCUCACAAAUCUAUGGUUUCUUGAUGUACAUCAUAAUAGUCUCUCUGGGAAUAUUCAGAGUGACUUCUGGAAAAACUCUACAUCACUGCGUUACAUUAAUUUGGCAGACAAUAAUUUUUCUGGGAACAUUCCUAAGGAAUAUAAUGUUCUUCCAAUCCUGGAUCACAUCAAUUUUAGGGGGAACAAUUUUACAGGUAUUUUUCUUUCCAUAUUUUUUCCUUCUGUUGUAUUCAAUUAUGCUAGAAACUACAGCCUCUGUUUUUUCAAAUACAUAUCGUUUAACUUUUUGGCACAAAACUUUAUAAUAAUUCUAACUAAAAGGUCAAUGAACUCAAAAAUGUGUGUCAAAAAGUCAAACGUCAUUUAUCUGAAAUCAGAGGGAGUAUAUAUUACUGUUUUACCAAAGUUUCAACAAUCAUGACAGGUGAGCUUCCACCAACAAUUUGCGAUGCCACUUCCCUUUCGAUUCUUGAUCUGUCAAAUAAUGGAUUUAGUGGUGCAGUUCCACAUUGUUUGGGGAAUCUUGCGGAUAAAUUGAUUUCGAUUAAUCUUGCUAAUAAUCAGUUUCAAGGACCAAUACCAACAAAUUUCUCCGAGAGUUGUCGUCUGACGUAUCUUAACAUCUAUAACAAUCACUUCAAAGGUUUGGUUCCCCAAUCUUUGGCAAACUGUAAGCACUUGCAAAUUCUUGAUUUUGGAAAAAAUGAAAUAGGUGGAACACUUCCGUCAUGGUUUUUUACUCUUGGAGAGCUAGAAGUCCUGAUCCUGCGAUCAAACAGAUUUUUCGGGAGAAUAACUAGAAGGAGCAUACCACGCCCCUUUCCCAAGUUGCGGAUUUUGGAUCUAUCCAACAAUCAGUUCACCGGCUAUCUGCCAAUUUUAUACUUCAAGAAUAUGAAACCAAAUGAUAAUAAUUAUGAUUAUUUCAACAACACAAACGAAGCCUAUUACGUUUAUCAAGUUUCUAUCACAUUAAAUGUGAAAGGAAGCGAGCAUGAAGUGACAAAUAUUCUUCAUAUUUACACGGCCAUUGAUCUGUCGUGCAACAAAUUUGAAGGAAAAGUUCCAGACAUUACCGGAGAGCUUAGAUGGCUUGCAUUGCUAAAUUUAUCUCAUAAUAGUCUUUCGGGGCCUAUUCCAUCACAACUGGGAAAAAUGAAAGAGCUCCAGUCUCUAGAUUUGUCGUCAAAUCAAUUGACAGGUGUUAUUCCGGAUCAACUUACUAGUAUGACAUUUCUUGCUAGUUUGAACCUCUCAGAAAACCAUCUUUCUGGGAAAAUCCCUCGGAAAGGACAGUUCAGCACUUUUGGCGAAGAAUCUUACUUAGGUAAAUCGGCCUUGUGUGGAGUUCCUUUGACAAAGAACUGUAUAGACGAUGUGCCACCUUCACAAGUUGGAAAUGGCAAUGAUGAAAAUGUUGAUGAAGAUGAUACCGUUGAUGAAUUCAAUUGGAAAGUGAUCCUGAUGGGAUAUGCAUGUGGAUUAAUAGGCGGAUUGUCUGCAGGAUACAUUGUCUUCACAGUCGGAAAGCCUUGGUGGUUUUUGAGAUACAUUGAGACACUGCAGCAGAAGUUGAUCUGAUGCGCAACUAGAAACAACGUUAUAAUCUUAGAAUGACUUGUGUCUUUAAACAGAGUUAGGAACUUAGGAUGACUUGUGGUGCUAUAUUUUUUUUUUGAAAAAAAAAAACAUAUUUUUGUAAUUUUUUAGAUACAGAUGUUAAGAAGGUGUUGUAUAUUCAUUUUUUACCCAAAAAAAAAAAGAGGGCUUAUUUCAUGAAAAUUAGAGUUUUAUGUAUUUUCUCCAGAAAUUAGUCCUUAUUUCUGAAAAUAAGGUUAGUCAAAACGGUCACUACACGAUUGGUAGCCUUUCAGUUCUUCCUAGUGUCCACUACAGUUUCAUUCCUUACCAGUUAUUUUAUGCUCUGCACUGCAUUAUGCAGCUUUCAUAUUACUGACAGCUAAUCUCCUUCCAACACUUUGCGAUGCGAAGCAGGGACGCAUAAGUAUUUUUAUAUGUGUAUUAGUUUUGAAGAUUAAAGUUGCAUGGACAAUUGUGUUGAUAAUUUGAGCAAUGUUAACCGGGAUAGGUCUUCUUCUCUCUCCCAAGUCUUCUGAGGACUCAUCGGCUCAGAUUAGUCUAUCCAAAAAUUAUGAUCUGACGGCUAUUGGCACACUAACGAUUUACAUAUCACUUGAAUAUUACUGGAUACCCGCAUCUUGUUUUAAAUGGCGUAUAUCGGCUAAUAGUUCAACGAUGGUGACAAAUCCCGGUGAUCCAAAUAAUUGAUUGUCGCAAAAUUUUCCGCUUACAUCCAACUAACACGUAUUAGGAAAAAAAAUUAUAUAAUUAAACACGCUCAUGUAUCUAUAUCUUUUACAAGAUUGUAAGUCCCCAAUUCUAUGUGAUAUUAGCUAUAUGUGACUAGAAGGUUUAGAAAUACUAGAUUAUCAAGAUUUCUUUUUAUUCUAGCUAGUGUUGAGUUAUAUUUAUUUUCUUCAAACAAUCAAUACUUAUUUUUUAUUAAUAUGUGAAACUCCAAUAUAUAUUAUUAUACGAUAUAUUAUGAAAACACUAUAUUUUGUAAUGUUCAUCUUAUCCUACCAGCAAAAUUACAUCGCUAACAAAAUUAUAUCAAUUUUAUUUUAUAAACUCAAAUAAUUUAAUUUAUGAAACAACUCUAUGAGAUUCUUAUCAUGAGUUAGAAUUCAAAUAAAUAAAGAGUUCAUAUUGAUAAGUGGAAUUGAUGUGCAAGUAAGGGGUAUAAAAAAAUCUCAAAAUAACUCCAAAAAGCACAUGACAUGUUUGAUUUAAUAGAACUGGUACAUAAACAGGGGGACCAUUAUAUUUAUAAGCAAGUGACCAACAAUAGUUUACUACUGAUAUUUUGUGAUAUUUUUUGUGAUAUUUUUUGAGACCUUUAACAUUAUUCUGUGAAGUGGUAUACUACUGUUACUAGUUCUGAAACUUCAAACAAAGUAGGCGCAACAUUGUAAGAGUGAUUAAUAAAGUUGAGAAACAGUGUGUACAUUGAGCAGUAUGACAAUCAGGUUCAGCAUAUAAUACAAUCAGAUUCACAAUCAGGUUCACGAGAAACAUGCUGCAUUCCAAAAAGCCUUAUUAUCUUCUUCACUAAAUAACAAGGCAAAUACAGCAUAUAAAUACAAGUUAUAAGUACAAGUGUGGUAUUAGAUUCAUAACCCAGUUGAGGAGAAACAUGGCACACUUUGUAAGGCCUUCUCACCUUCUUCUCUUUGUUUUCUUUCUCUCAUCACUAGAAUCCAUUCUUGCAACAAGACGAGAGGGGGAAGCUCUUGUGAAGUGGAAGAAUAGCCUAGCCCCUUCUUCUUUUCUCCACUCUUGGUCACUCUCCAAUCUCGAAAAUCUUUGCAACUGGACUGGCAUUACUUGUAACUCUGCAGGUUCAGUCUCUGAGAUUGACCUUUGUGAGAAACAACUUGAUGGAAUGCUGUCCGAGUUUGGUCUCACUUCAUUUCCAAAUCUCAACAAUCUCACCCUCGCAGACAACUUCUUCUCAGGUCCAAUACCACCAGCCAUUGAGAAUUUAACACAGCUUCAAUAUCUUGAUUUAAGCAUGAAAAGUCUUAAUGGUCCCAUUCCGUUCCAGGUUAGCCAUCGUCAGAGCUUGCUCAUCUUAGACCUGUCACAGAAUGCAUUGCAAGCUUCAAAUUGGUCCAAUUUCUCUCCCAUGCCUCAGUUGCGCUUCCUCAAGCUCAGUAGCAAUCAUCUUGUGUCGAAAUUCCCAAAUUUUAUAUCCAGUUCUCAUAGCCUGACUUACCUCAACCUCUCAUAUAACAUUGGAAACCUCAAAAAAUAUAUAUUUAUAUAUUUAUAAUUAAAAAAUUGAAUUACUUAAUAUAUUAAAAAAUUGAAUAAAAUUUUAUAUAUUUUAUUAAAAAAUUGAAUAAAAAUUGAAUAAAAUUGAAUAAAAUUGAAGUACACGAAAAGGUACACGACACGAAAUACACGACUGAGAAGUCGUGUCGGUUUUGUGUUUACCCUUCGGGUACACGACACGAGGUACACGAAAUAAAUAAAUAAAUAUAUAUAUAUAUAUUUACCCUUCGGAUUAAGAGUUGGUCGCGGACAAAUUCAAAGUUUCCCAAUUAUCCUUUAUUUUAUGUAACUUUGCUUAUGUUUAAGCCUAAAUUUGGACAAUAUUUGUAAAAUAUUAAUAUUUCGUGUACUAAUUCGUUACCAGUUUCGUGUAUUUUUUCGUGUAUAUUUCGUGUUUUCGUGUUUUCAUGUACUAUUUCGUAUCGUGUCGUUUUCGUGUACAUGAAAAAAUUCGUGUACUACAGUUCGUGUCGUUUUUACCUGUUUCUAAAUCGUGUCGUGUUCGUGUUUACAAUCGUGUACACGAAUUGAAUUCGUGUCGUGUUCGUGUAUACCCACCAGAUACACGAAACACGAAAGUACACGACACGUUUAUACACGACACGAACGAUUUGCCAGGUCUANGAAACACGAAAGUACACGACACGUUUAUACAUGACACGAACGAUUUGCCAGGUCUAUUCAAACCUAGCAAGUAACCAAGAGGGGGCAAACUCCACCAGAGACAAAUCAAAGACCAUACCUGAGUAUUGCCAACAUAACAUUACAAACUGGCAGGUGAAAAAUAUGUGAAUAAGGUCUUCGUCACCAGAGUUACACAUGGGACAGUCAAGAGAAAGAUUUACUCCCUUAGAUUGUAAUCGACUUUUCACAGGCACAUUAUUCCUGCAAAAACGCCAUAAAAACACUUUGAUCUUAAGAGGAACCUCCAACUGCCAGAGUUUCUUCCACCCACUAGAUUGUGUAACAGUGCCAGUGCCAAUAUUUUGGGCAUGCCAAAACUGGUAACCUGUUUUCACAGAAUUUUGGCCGUUAGUAGUCUUUGACCAAGCUAGAUGAUCCACGGUCGACCUAUAGGGAACAGAAGUUUUUAAAAAUUAUGUAAUUCAUUCAAUUCCGUAUCAGACAAUACAUCUUAUCAUCGGUGAUAAUGGAAAUAGUGUAGAUGUUUGACCUAGUCCAUGUUUGACAACCAAUAUAAUAAGAAAUAAAUUCUUAUUUUUCUAAAAAAUAUAUUUUUGUAUAUAAAUGUUAAAGAGAUAUUUCUUAUUUGUUGUUUGAAAAAAGUAAAGACUUAUUUCAGAAUAAAUAAAAAUUAUUGUACAUUCUCUUUAUUUUUAAAAAUAAGUUUGGUCAAAUCGCCCAUAAUUCUCGUAAUUCAAAAGCCCAUUAUUUUUUUUUUUCUUGCUAAUUGAUCAGCACACGCACACGUUUCCAACUUCCCGCAAAGGGUACCGGAGUACCACCACACCGACGCUUUGUUGGGCCCAAUAAUUGGCUGAAGUUGAACGGGGCUUUCUGCCUCCGCUGGACCCCAGUUGGGAGGACUCUUUCCAAGUCUUUCGGAGACUCUUUCCCAUUGACUCCAACUUUCCAGGGUGUAUACAAAUUUUUUGAAAGAGGGUGUAUACAAAUUAUUCACGGCCAUCAAAUUAACCAGCGUAGCUGGUGAACAAAUAUUAUUGUUUAUUAUAAUUUUAUUUAAUUUAAAUGUGAUUAUAAAGAACAUAAGAGGACGUUUGAAAGUGUGGGUCUUAUUUCAAACAGUAGAUUUCAAAAAAUAUGAUUUCAAUUGUUAUUUAAAAUUCUUAAAUUUAUAUUAUAUUAAAAUGUUCUUAUCUAUACUAUACUAUUAAAACCGAAACAUUAAAAGUUUGGUCGGUCGGUACUUGGGCCGAUAUAUGGGCCUAUCUAUAUAACUAAUUAUUUUUUUUUAAUUUUGGGCCGAAAUACAGGCCUGUCUAUAUAAUCAAUUAUUCUUUUUAACUAAAAUAUGUUAUCUUUUUUACUAUUAAAGCCAAAACAUUAAAAAUUUGAUCGGUCGGUACUUGGGCCGAAAUAUGAGCGUAUCUAUAUAACUAAUUAUUUUUAUUUUUUUUUAUUUUUGGCCGAAAUACAGGCCUAUCUAUAAAAUCAAUUAUUCUUUUUAACUAAAAUAUGUUAAUUUUUUUUACUAUUAAAGCCGAAAUAUUGAAAGUUUGGUCGGUCGGUACUUGGGCUUCUAGGCCGAAAUAUAGGCCUAUCUAUAUCAUCAAUUAUUCUUUUAAACUAAAAUAUGUUAUCUUUUUUACUAUUAAAAUCGAAACAUUGAAAGUUUGAUCGGUCGGUACUUGAGUCGAAAUACGGGCCUAUCUAUAUAACUACUUAUUAUUUUUAACUUGGGCCGAAAUACAGGCCAAUCUAUGUAAUCAAUUACGCGGUAUUCUUUUUAACUAAAAUAUGUUAUUUUUUUAACUAUUAAAGUUGAAAUAUUGAAAGUUUAGUCGCUCGAUACUUGAGCCGAAAUACGGAUCUAUCUAAAUAACUAAUUAAUUUUUUUUAACUUUGGAUGGAAAUACAGCCCUAUCUAUAUAAACAAAUAUCUUUUUAACUAAAAUAUGUUAUCUUCUUUAUACUUUCUAACUAAAAACUCAAUCUUCUAAAUGAACAUGGAAGAAUAUAGUAAUUAUCUUUUUAACUAAAACAAAUUAUCGUCUAUUAAAUCAAAUUAUAACAAACUAUCCAUAAACAUCCUUAAUUUAUAACAAAUUAUUAAAUAUUUUUUAUCAUCUACUAAAUCAAAACAUUAAAAAUUAGAUUACCAUUAUGGAUCAGUAUUUGAAUUACGCUUCUCUUUAACUUAUAAUAUGUUUUAUACUAUAUUAUUAACUAUUAAUAACUAAAUAUUAAAACGCUGAUUGGGUUGUUUCUAUCUGGGUUUACGGGUCUCCUCAAAUUAUAAUCCCUCCGUUCUUAAAUAUCUGCCUUUUGACUUUUUGGCACGCAUGUUAAAGUGUUUUGAAUUUAUAGUAAAAAUAUUAUUUUUAAAUUUCUUUUUCUGAAUAAAAAUUUUAUAUCAAUACUUUUAUUCAUAAAAAGAAAUAUUUGAAAAUAACAUUUCUAGCUAUGUGGUCAAAAUAUCUUAAAAUGUGUGCGAAAAAGUCAAAAGGCAUAUAUUCAAGAACGGAGGGAGUAACAUGUAAAAAAAAUUAUUUUAACAUUAUCAUUAAAAAAUUAUAUAUUUGACCUAAUUAUAAAUUAACUAUUUGAAGGAAUAAACUAUUAAGAAUUUAUUUAGCUGCUAAAUAAAAGUUUUUUUAAUAACAUUAUUCUAUCACAAUUUUACUUUCAAUAAAAUUCGUUAAAUCUAAAAUAUAUGCGAUGAAAUAACAAAUAUUAAAACCGCCCGUGCAUUGCACGGGUUUUAAGCUAGUUCUAAUUAAUGAGUCACUAUUCGUAUUCUCAAGCAUGUUAGUUUGUUAAAAUUUAAAAUUUCAAAUGAAAUUAGGCUAAAAGACCAUAAUAUCAAAUCAAAAUCUCAUUAUCCAAUAUAUUGGUGGGCAAAAAUAUUAAACCUGGCUAUUCAUUAAUAUUGGUUCUUUAUUCAAAUUAUGUCAAAUUUAUAUAAAAUUUCGAAAAUUAUUUAUGAAUAAGAGUCGGCAUUCAUAUAUUUAUUAAGGAUACAAGUGAGAAAAUGUUAUUAAAUUAAUAUUUUUUAAUAUACGUAAGUUUUUUAAAAUAAAUUUGUAGCGUGGGACGGGAGUAUUAGACUGAUUCUGGCUUGGAGUGAAUCAGCCCAUAAAGUUUACAGGGUAGAUGACCAUUCUUAAAUCUUAAAGAAUCUUACGGUGACAGCUAACUGAACGACUCGGUUUCAGAAGUGCUGAAAAGUUUCGACGUAAACUACAAUUUGCCUAGCAUGUAAUUUCCAUGCAUUUUCUCGUUACGAGUAGGUUUGUCCGGAAGUACAAUUCAAAAUAGAGUGCUGUUAAAAAAAAUUGAGUUACUUAUUCAAUAACUUUUUUGAUAUUUAUAUAUUUUUAAUUAUAAUAAAGAUACUAGUGAUUAUGGUUAGCUUUUGGAGUACUUUUGGAGUACUUGGAAAUUUUCUUUUCGAGAAAAACGAGAGUACCUAUUUCAAUUUUUUACCAAAAAUUAUAAUUGAAAACAACGGACUUUUAUACUUAUCAUAACAAUUUUUAACAUCUUGUUUAGAAAUAACCUGUUGUUGUAUUAUGCAAAAGUAAUAUCACUAGUUUCUAUAUCCGUAUUCUAAUGAUAAUAAAAACAUCUCUAAUUCAUUAAAACUCUUACAUAGAAAUUGAUAAAAAAAGAAGAUAUAAAAUAAUUUAUUAAAAAUAUAUCAAAGUUUUUGCACUCGGUUAUAAUUAUUGUGUAAUUUUUUUUUUCAAUUCCAAGAUAUUGUUAUAAGAAAAUUUUACAUCAUAUAUAUAUUACAAAAAAAAUUAAUGUAUUAUAUAUAUAUAGGGUCCUACUCUGGUACAAACCUUUUUAGCGUACAAACUACAAACCAAAAUUAAAAAGUCUCUAAAUCAAAUCAGAAUAUAGCACAUAUGGUAUGGAAAUUGAUCGUUGCGAGAUGAACAAAAAUAAUGAUUAUAAAGUUUGUAUUUGAGCCAUUAUAUAUAUACUUACAAUAAAAGUAAUAAUAUAUUAUAUUCUAAAUAUAGUUAACCACUGCAGUUGGUCGCUUAUAAAUAGAAGUGUGCAUUAUAGGAUGAAACGUACAUCAAGCUGAGGAGAAACAUGGUACACUCUGCAAAGCUAUAUCAUCUUCUUUUACUUGUUUUCUUUUCCUCCUUACUUCCAUCCAUUCUAUUGGCAACAAGACGAGAAGGAGAAGCUCUUGUGAAAUGGAAGAAUAGCCUAGCCCCGUCUUCUUUUCUUGAUUCUUGGUCACUCUCCGAUCUCGAUAAUCUUUGCAACUGGACUGGCAUUACUUGUAACUCUGCAAGUUCAGUGUCUCAGAUAAAUCUUUCCCAAAAACAGCUCGAUGGAACGCUGUCCGAAUUUGGUUUCACUUCAUUUCCGAAUCUCGAAAAUUUGACUAUAAGAGACAACAGCUUCUCCGGGCUAAUACCACCAGGCAUUGCGAAUUUAACACAGCUUCAAUACCUUGAUUUAAGCUACAAUUAUUUCAGUGGUUCCAUUCCGUACGAGGUUAGCCAUCUUCAGAGAUUACGUGUUUUAGACUUGUCGUAUAAUGAAAUGCAGGCUCCAAAGUGGUCUGACUUCUCUCCCAUGCCUUUUAUGAGCAUCCUCAACCUACGGGCCAAUCAUCUUGUGUCGAAAUUCCCAGAAUUUAUAUCCAAUUCUUUUAGCCUGACUUUCCUUGACCUUGGAGACAACAAGUUCACCGCUGAUCAUCUUGUGCUCGAAUCAGAAUUUACCAAUUUGCAAAAUCUUGAAACGCUGUUUCUUGAUGGUAAUUCUUUUGAGGGGACGUUUCCACCGAAUAUAUUCAGGCUUUCUAAAUUAAAAUACCUUUCCCUAUCUGCUAAUAAGUUUUCAGGUUCUGUGCCGGAUGACAUAGGGAUGCUUCGUGAUCUUGAAUCCCUUUAUCUUGGUAACAAUUCUUUCAAAGGGAUGCUUCCACAAAAUAUUUUCAGACUUCCCAAAUUACGGGAUCUUUCCCUCUGGGGUAACAAUUUUUCAGGUCUUAUUUCAGAUGAUAUAAGGAUGCUUUCUAACCUGGAAUCUCUUGAUCUUAAUGGUAAUUCUUUUCAGGGUCCGCUUCCACCAAAUUUCUUCAAGCUUUCCAAAUUAAGACAUCUCGCCCUCUCAAAUAAUAAAAGAGUAUUUAAAGGAAGUAUUCCUCUUGGGUUGGGGCUUUUGACUAACCUUGACUACUUAUGUCUUAAUUCCAAUUAUCUCACUGGCUACAUUCCAUCUGACAUUGGAAAUCUAAAGCUACUAGAACAUCUUGAUCUCAGUUUUAAUCAAUUGACCGGACCGCUCCCAAAGAUCAUUUCUAACCUCACUAAUCUAACGCGUCUUGGUCUGAAUGAUAAUUGGUUUUCCGGCAGUAUUCCAAGUGACUUCUUGGAAAACUCUACAUUAUUAUUUUACAUUGAUCUUUCAAACAAUGAUCUGUCUGGAAGCAUUCCUAAGGAAUUCAACGUUCAUCCGACAUUGGAUUAUAUCAAUUUAAGUGGAAACCGUUUUAGAGGUCUACUUCUCUCUUUAAAUUUUUAUGUUCGUUUUGUAUAUGCUAGUAACCUGAUUAUUACACUUUUACUGAAGCUUCAACAAUUCUAACUGCAGGCAAGCUUCCAGCAACGAUUUGCAAUGCUACAUCCCUUUCGACUCUUGUUCUGUCAAAUAAUGAAUUCAGCAAUGCACUUCCACAUUGUUUGGGGAAUCUUGCUGAUCAACUUCUUUCCAUUAAUCUUGCUAAUAAUUUGUUUCGAGGACCAAUACCAACAACUUUCUCUAAGAGUUGUCGGCUGACAUAUCUAAACAUGUACAACAAUCACUUUGAAGGGUUGUUGCCGCAAUCUCUGGCAAACUGUAAGCACCUACAAAUUCUUGAUAUUGGAAACAAUGAAAUAGGUGGUAAAUUCCCGUCAUGGCUGUUUACUCUUGGAGAGCUGGAAGUCCUAGUCUUGCGAUCAAAUAGAUUCCACGGUCCAGUCAAUGGAACAAGCUCAGCAAAUUUAUUCCCCAAGUUGCGGAUUGUUGAUCUCUCCAACAAUCAAUUUACAGGCGAUUUACCAAUUCAGUAUUUUAAGAAUAUGAAACCAACAGAUAACCACUAUAGUUAUUUUUAUACAGAAAGUGGUUUUUACUAUCAUCAAGCAUCGAUCUCAUUAACUGUGAAAGGAAGAGAGUAUGAAGUGAAAAAGAUCCUUCAUAUUUAUACAGCCAUAGAUGUGUCAUGCAACAAAUUUCAGGGAGAAAUUCCCGAGGUUAUUGGAGAACUUAAAUGGCUUGCAUUGCUCAAUCUAUCACAUAAUAGUCUUAUUGGACCUAUCCCAUCACAGCUCGGAAAUAUGGAAUCACUUUUAUCUCUAGAUUUGUCUUCAAAUCAUUUGACAGGGGGUAUUCCCGAUCAGUUGAUUAGGUUGACAUUUCUAGAGGUCUUGAACCUCUCGGAAAAUCAUCUGACAGGGCCUAUCCCCCAAAAAGGACAGUUCAGCACAUUCAACAAGGAUUCUUACCUAGGUAACUUUGCCUUGUGUGGAUUACCUUUAACUAAUAACUGUACACACACUGUGUCACCACCACAAGAAGGCGGAACUGGUGACAAUGAUGCCUAUGAUGAACCCGAUUGGGAAGUGAUCCUCAUGGGAUAUGGAUGUGGACUAAUAUGCGGAUUGUCCACAGGGUACGUUGUCUUCACAUUCAGAAAGCCUCAGUGGUUUAUGAGAUACACUGAAAGCGUGCAACAGAAGUUGAUGAGAUGAUGCAUGUUGAGUACCGUUCAAUCAUGAAGCACAACUGGAAACAAUGUUAUCUUAGGAAAACAUGUGUUCUGAACCAGUAGUGUUUGCACAAAAUUUGUGGUGCUAUGUAAUACUUAUAUAAUUGUACGUAUGAUUAUUGAUUAGUCGUUGAGAAAAUGCAUUUUAUUUCAGUGUCAAUGAUAAUCUACAUGUUUUGGAUACUUCCAGCUUCUCAUACUAAUAUAGGAACCACUUGAAAAAUUUUGGACAGGCUCUGAGGAUGCUAAUGCUGCUGUUUAGUUUCUACCGCGGAAUUGACUUUAGCAUAUACUCGUAUGACAUAUUACUAGAUAUAUGGUUGUUAAAUAAAAUUAUCUUUUUGUGGAAUAAAUAGGAAAGCAAAAUCAUAGAAUAAUGUAUGUUAUAUAGGAAGGUAUUGUCCUCUUAGAUAGGUAUCAUUUAUGCCUCAUUGGCAUGUCUCAGAAAACUUUUGGGUUAACACAAUGUUUACUUAGAGCAUUGCCAUUCCUUAAAUAUAAUAUAAAAUAUUGGAUCUUAGUGACUUAAGAUGAUAAUAGCUAUUCGCACCUCCAACAAUAUUCCUUAUAUUCAUUCCUUAUAUACUAUUUUAUUAUUAAAAGUUACCAUUAUUGCAAUAGGUGAAAAGAGAGAACAUGUUUGUAUUCAAAAUUUAUUGUAAAAUAAUAUUUAGGAGAGGAGAGAGGUUACCUAAAGAUAAGGCAUGGCUAGUUAUUUAGAGAAUCACUAGGAUACUGUUGGAGUGGAUUAUUUUCCCAUAUUACUCAUAUUUUGGUUUAAGAUUCCUAAUAGGGAAGCUGCUGGAGUUGCUCUUAGAGCAUCUCCAAGAGAUUCUUCAUUUAAGCUCCUAACUUGAGAUUUGAGUAGGGAGAGGAAAAAUGUUGCUCCAAGAGACUCUUAAGUGGCUCUUAAAUCACUAAGAGCCUCUUGUUUCUCUCUCCUCUCUCCUCAAAGUUAAGAGCCACCACAUUGCUCCUAACUUAUUUUUUCACAAUAAAAAAAUCUUUUCCUCCAAUUCAGCUCCAUCUUUCCAUCUCUUUUGUUAUAGUGGAGCCCAAUAUAUGAAUAAAAUAUGAAAUAGAGAAGAGAUGUAGAGAGUAUUGUUGGAGUUUACACUCUUAACUUUGUCUUAAAUUGCUAAGAGCUAUUUUUUUAUAUUAUAUUUAGGAGCCAAUAAGGAGGCUCUUGGAGAUGCUUUUAGUACUAAUUGUUAGAAUAUGAAAAUGCAGUUAUGAACUAUUAUGCUAGAGAGAGAAAAAUUCAACAAACUUCAUUUCUGUAAACUACAACUAUUAGUCUGUUACAUUGCUGAAAGCUACAUUUAUACAUUUACAGUUUACAACAAACUAUGAAACUGAUUUUCCCGCGUCCUCCUCACUUGUCCACGUGGCCUGACUGGCUUGGUGUCCUUGACACUCUUUAUUAUUGCUAAUAUAUACUUAACACUAAUACCUCAAAGCAGGGUAUAAAUUCAAUAGCACAGCUUCUGGAUAAUGGAAAUUUAGUUAUCCAGAGGUCUUGGUUUUACAUAUCACUUGUAUAUUAUGUCUCGGUCUCAUUGAAGCAUACCAAACGAGAUUUUGGGUUUGUUAAUAUUUUUUUAGUCCAAAUUUGAAUAAUACUGUUAUGCUUAUUCACACGGUAGACGUGUUUUUAUUAAAAUACUGCAACUGAAAUUGAUGAAAACAUGCACAAAGCAUAGCAGACGAAAGACUUGAGGAGAUAUUGUCUUAGGCGAUGCAAUACGUUCUAAUAUAAUGCUAUAUUAUGCAAUCUCGUUUAAUACUUUCAUCAUUAUUCUCCAAGAUGUCUGAACAUGUAUUUUCAAAGAAUUCUCAGUUCACCUUUAGUCUUAUAGCGACAUUUUGAAGGCACUCUCAACUUACACCCUAUAUAUACACGUACGGUUCACUUCAGUACAAAGAUUUUAUGAUACAACUCUCAUAUUAUGAACUAGUUCUGUCGAAUACAUGAAUAUUGAUCAAUCAUUUGAACUCGAGUUUCCCAGCUGGCCAGAUACCCAGAUUAUUAGCCAUGCAAAACAUGCAGAACCACUAGUAAUGCAGAAAAACAAUAUAUUAGUUUUCUCCGGUGUUACAGAAAUCAGGAAUCGGACCUAAUCGGUUUAGCUACCGAUUUAGGGAUUAAUAGGAAAUAGGGGAUUAAUCGGAGUGAAAAUCGGAUUUAUUUUAAUAUUAAAAUAUUAUUUAAUAUUUAGUUAUUAUUAUAUUAGCUAUUUAGUAACUAAUAUAUUUACUAUAUUCAUAAACUCUAUAAUUAUUCGUAUUGAAAGUAAUAUAGUAUUUUAAUUUUAAUAAUUUACUAUAUAUACUUCGAUUAAGAAAUAUAUAUAUAAGGAUUAAUCGGAUUUCAAAAAUCGAAUCGGUGGCCAACCUUGCAGAGGAUUAAUCGGGGAUUAAUUGGUUGAAUCGGGGAUGUUUAGAACACUGGUUUUCUCCAAAUAUCACUACAACAAAACUGCCAUUUUACGACGGAAAUCUAAUAUUCUAAAGGGUUACGACCAAACUAUGUCGGUGGACUUUAUUUUAAUUUACCGUUUAACAGUAGUUAAUUUUGGAUAUCUACACUUGCGAUGGAAAACAUACGACAGUCUACUUCGUGAGAGAAAAUCAUUUUAUUUUAUUUUUUAGCGCCAGAAUUUUAAUACUGAAAUAUUAUAUAUAUGAAGGAAACUGAUCUCUAAUGUUUUCAGCUUGCUCAUCCAUCGUAAGUAAUCCGUCGAAAAAGUUAGUUUGUUGUGGUGGUGUCUUAUCAUGAGAGAAAAUGAUAAUAUCGCAAAAUAUUUGCAACUGAAAGAUAAAUUAUAAUUCUAGAAACCAUUUAGGUAACGAUGCACGAAGUUAUUUUCACUCACUUAGAAUUAAUGNUGAAAACAUGCACAAAGCAUAGCAGACGAAAGACUUGAGGAGAUAUUGUCUUAGGCGAUGCAAUACGUUCUAAUAUAAUGCUAUAUUAUGCAAUCUCGUUUAAUACUUUCAUCAUUAUUCUCCAAGAUGUCUGAACAUGUAUUUUCAAAGAAUUCUCAGUUCACCUUUAGUCUUAUAGCGACAUUUUGAAGGCACUCUCAACUUACACCCUAUAUAUACACGUACGGUUCACUUCAGUACAAAGAUUUUAUGAUACAACUCUCAUAUUAUGAACUAGUUCUGUCGAAUACAUGAAUAUUGAUCAAUCAUUUGAACUCGAGUUUCCCAGCUGGCCAGAUACCCAGAUUAUUAGCCAUGCAAAACAUGCAGAACCACUAGUAAUGCAGAAAAACAAUAUAUUAGUUUUCUCCGGUGUUACAGAAAUCAGGAAUCGGACCUAAUCGGUUUAGCUACCGAUUUAGGGAUUAAUAGGAAAUAGGGGAUUAAUCGGAGUGAAAAUCGGAUUUAUUUUAAUAUUAAAAUAUUAUUUAAUAUUUAGUUAUUAUUAUAUUAGCUAUUUAGUAACUAAUAUAUUUACUAUAUUCAUAAACUCUAUAAUUAUUCGUAUUGAAAGUAAUAUAGUAUUUUAAUUUUAAUAAUUUACUAUAUAUACUUCGAUUAAGAAAUAUAUAUAUAAGGAUUAAUCGGAUUUCAAAAAUCGAAUCGGUGGCCAACCUUGCAGAGGAUUAAUCGGGGAUUAAUUGGUUGAAUCGGGGAUGUUUAGAACACUGGUUUUCUCCAAAUAUCACUACAACAAAACUGCCAUUUUACGACGGAAAUCUAAUAUUCUAAAGGGUUACGACCAAACUAUGUCGGUGGACUUUAUUUUAAUUUACCGUUUAACAGUAGUUAAUUUUGGAUAUCUACACUUGCGAUGGAAAACAUACGACAGUCUACUUCGUGAGAGAAAAUCAUUUUAUUUUAUUUUUUAGCGCCAGAAUUUUAAUACUGAAAUAUUAUAUAUAUGAAGGAAACUGAUCUCUAAUGUUUUCAGUUUGCUCAUCCAUCGUAAGUAAUCCGUCGAAAAAGUUAGUUUGUUGUGGUGGUGUCUUAUCAUGAGAGAAAAUGAUAAUAUCGCAAAAUAUUUGCAACUGAAAGAUAAAUUAUAAUUCUAGAAACCAUUUUGGUAACGAUGCACGAAGUUAUUUUCACUCACUUAGAAUUAAUGCUAAAUAUUUGCAACUGAAAGAUAAAUUAUAAUUCUAGAAACCAUUUAGGUAACGAUGAGCGGAGUUAUUUUCACUCACUUAGAAUUAAUGAUAAAUAUUUGCAACUGAAAGAUACAUCAUAGUUCUAGAAAAGGAUCCACGAAGUUAUUUUCACUCACUUAGAAUUAAUUGUAAGUUAUUGUGAGUUUUUGAAUAUGAAUUAUCUCAAAUUUUAUUAAAACACAUGUUGAUUCUUAUAUACAAAUUUGCCUAUCUAAUAUUAUAAUAUUUAUGGAGAAGGUGUAUGAACAAUUGUGUAGAUAAUUAUACUUUACAAAGCAUACUUCUGCUAGCUGAAUUUUGAUUAAAAAAAUCGAAAGGGAUAGGUCUGGGUCUCUCCAAGUCUUUGAGGACUCAUUCCAAGUCUUCUGAUGAGGACAAAAUAUAUUGCUGGAAGUCUUUCAGUCCUUCCUAGAGUAUUUUGUGCUCUGCACUGCAUUAUGCAGCUCUCAUAUAACUGACCGCUAACCUCCUUCCAACACUUUGCGAUGCAAAACAGUGGCAUGUUAUAAGUAUUUCCGUAUGUGUAUUUAUUUGGAUAUUAAAGUUGCGUAACAUUUGUGUUGAUAAUUUGCGCAAUGUUGAUGAGGAUUGCUCCCAAGUCUUGGCGGACUCUUUCCAAAUCUUCUGAGGACCUAUGGGUUCAAAUUAGUCCAUUAAAAUGAAUACCAUUGUUUUGUGAUUAAGUUGUAUGGUUAAGAGCUUAUCCUCUGUCGUCCCAGGUCCUGGGUUCGACCCUGGCUCACCCCGAGAGUUUCGUAGAACAGAUACUCAUUAUAAGGCUAUAAGCCAUAUUUGUCAAAAAAAAAGUUGUAUAGGCAAUAUGCAUUGCAAAAUCAGCAACAGAAUAUAUACUAAUUAAUUACCUGAUAUCGGUUUGAACAAAUACUUUCUAUGUAGUUGUAAUAUUAGUCUUCUUUAAAAGUUAUCAUGAGGGAAGAUAUAUAUUGUGAUGCGGGGGAAAUAUUGUAACCGAAAAUAAUUAUAAUUCUAAAAAUUUCCAUUAUACACUUUUUUUAGUGUUCGUACGUGGUAAGUACUUCAGACGACAUUUCUCGCGUAUGCCUCCAAUUAAGAAUUUGAUGUUCAGCCUAGUCCUAAACUAAAAUUAUUAUAAAUGUGUAAUUCAAAAUUAUAUUGCUGGUAGGCUCUGAGAUUAACCUUAAACAAAAACAACUCAGUGGAACGCUUUCCGAGUUUGGUUUCACUUCAUUUCCAAAUCUCAACAAUCUCAACAUAGCACGAAACAACUUUUACGGUCCAAUACCACCAGCCAUUAAGAAUUCUAUUUUAAUAUGUAACAUUCUAUUUUCUAAAAUAAUAAAUAUUUUUUUUAAUAGUUGGUCAAAAAUUAGUCAAUUUGACUUCUCAAAAAGCAGAAAGGACAUGUAAAUUGAGACGGGGGAGUAUUUAACGGAAUUCAACGAAAGGUGUGCGUAUCGUUCUUGAAAUGUAAAAAUAGGUGGUGCAAUUCGAGUUUCCAAACCUAUGGGUACAAUAUCGUUUUUAAACGUAAGCUAGGGGGUCCAAAUUACAAUUACAUGUAUAUAUAGUGACUUAACGGAGUGCAUAUAGUUAACGGAAGUUAACGGCAGGGAGUGCAUCUCGGGCUUGAAUAGUAAAGAUAAAAGGUGCGAGUUGAGUUUCUCAAAGUAUGAGUACAAUAUCGUUUUUGAAUGAUAGUUAAGGGGUGCGAUAUGCAAUUACCUCAAAAAAAUAUGAUCAUUAGUAUAUUAUAUUAGUAUCCACACACUUAUAUCUCAAAAUCUAUCCUCCAAAAUUAUCAUCUAUAUAGGCUAGCCACAUAAAAUAAAAAUUUAAAGAUAUUAGAUAUUUAGUUAUUUCAAUUAUAUAAUUUUUCCACGCAAAAUAACAAAAUAUCUUUAUCAACUUAUUAUUUAUGAGUUAAAUAUUCAACUUAUAUAAUUCGGGCAUGCUGGGUAUAAAUAGAAGUGUAACGCCUAAUUUCCGGGGUCUGGGAGUAGUUAGCGGGGUAUGAGAGAGCAGGCUAUUUAGAAGUCUUGGUCAUGAAAACUUCCAAGCUAACUUCGACAACGGAAUCUUCUGAGGCUACUAUUCUAAAGCACGCAUAAUCAUUGUAUUCAUUUUCCUCUAACACUGGCAAAAAGUCUAUUUAAGCAAAUGAAAUACAAACAACUGAGUGGAAUGCUGACCGAAAGUCUUUUUGGCUGAGCUUAUGAUUUAUUAGUACAUGAUUAAUAUGAUAAGCUAAGCUGAGAGCAUAAGAUAUCGUGUGUAUAAUUUUGUGUUUAUUAAUGACUUAUAAAUUAUUAAAAAUAUAAUAAGAAAAAUAAAAAUGAUUUAUAACUAAUUUAUGUUUUAUGAGUAAUUUUUAUUAGAAAAAAGUUUUAAAAAAUUAUUUCACUGAAAAAAAAUCCUCCAACUAACUUUUGGCUCUAAGUCAGUUUUUGAUUUAUUUAUGAUUUUAAGUCGGAUUCUGAUUUUUACACAAACAGAAAAUUUCCAGCUUAAAGUUAAAAACAACUUUAAGCUCCGGUUUUAAACCUCUGAGUUUGGUUUCACUUCAUUUACAAAUCUCAACAAUUUCACCAUCAAACACAAUGACUUCUCCAAUCUCCGGUCCAGUUCACCAGCCAUUGAGAAUUUGGCACAACUUCAAUUCCAUACCAGGUUAGUCGGCUUCGGAGGUUACACGCCUUAGACCUGUCAAAUACAAAUUUCAAUCUCCAAACUGGUCCGAUUUAUCUUCUAUGCAUUUUGUUGAGUCCGGCUCAUCUAAAACCUGAAGGUGUUAGAAGAAACCCGAAUGAAUCUUAUAUAUGAAUCUUAUAUAUGCUAUAUUUAAACAAUUCUGAGCACACUCAACCUUGGUAUUAAUAAUAUCGUGUCGAUAAUUCCAGAAUUUAUAUCUAAUUCUCAUAGCCUAACUUUCCUUGACCUUUCCAUAUAACAAAUUUACAGUUAAUCCUGUGCUUGAAUCAGUAUUUGCAACCAAAAUUAUGCAAUUAUAGUGCAGGUAGUCUUCCAGUUCUUCCUACUCUAUGCUAUAAUUUCAUUUGAUACCAAUAAUUUUACGCUCUACACUCCAGGAUGAGCUCGCAUAUUAUUGACAGCAAUAAUCCUUCCAACACUUUGUGAUGCAAAGCAGGGGGGCGCCUGUAUUUUCAUAUGUCUAUAUUAUUGGAGAUUAAAGUUGUGUGGACAAUUGUGUUGAUAAUUUGCCCAAUGUUAACAGGGAUAGGUUGGCUUAAAAAUAUAUAAGGUCACUUGUGCAUCGCUGUUCACACACUUAGACCCUGUUUGUGUAAGCUUUAAGUCCGGGCUCAAGCAAUUUCGACUUAAUCACUUCCGAGGACCAAUACCAACAGCCUUCUCAAAGAGUUGCCAGCUAAGAUAUCUAAACAUGUAUGACAAUCAGUUAGAAGGACUAUUGCCCCGAUCUUUGUCAAACUGUAAGCACUUAAAAAUUCUUGACAUCGGGAACAAUAAAAUGGGUGGUACAUUCCCUUCAUGGCUAUUUAAUCUCGGAGAGCUAGAAAUCCUAGUCUUGCGAUCAAAUAGACUGUACGGUCCUGUAAGUGGAAGGAGCACAUCACAUCCAUUCCCCAAGUUGCGGAUUCUAGAUCUCUCCAACAAACAAUUCGCGGGCUAUUUGCCAAUUCUAAACUUUAAGAAUAUGAAACCAGCUGCUGAUGAUAACGCGUAUAGUUAUAAAAAUAAGUCACAAGGACUAAUUAAUUACAUCUAUGAAGCAUCUAUCUCCUUAAAUGUGAAAGGAACAGAGUAUGAAGUGAAGAACAUUCUUCAUAUUUACACAGCCAUUGAUCUAUCGUGCAACAAAUUUCACGGAGAAGUUCCAAAGAGAGCUUAAAUGGCUUGCAUUGCUCAAUCUAUCUCAUAAUAGUCUUGCCGGACAUAUGUUCUGAAUUAUUAUUAUGCUUUCAUCAAUAUUUUCAAACAUUUCUCAAUAUGUAUUUCAAAGAAUUCUCAAGCCCUGGAACAUUUGGACCGGUCCUUUCGAAGCCAAGAUGCCCAGGUUAUCAUGGCCAUGCACAAAAAUGAAUAAAUUAUUCCAAGUCUUCCAUGACUCAUUCCAAGUCUUCGGAGGAGACCCUGAGCACAAAGAUGCUCAGGGUCUCCCCAAGCCUUCCAGGACUCAUUCCAAGUCUUCGGAGCACGGCCUCGACUCGCCCUUUCAAAGAUGUGAUAGUAGCUCGAGAGUGAUAUAAAUUAUUUUCCGGACACUAAAAAUAAAUAAUCAGAUCAAAUUAAUCAAUAAUAAAUUAAGGAUGAAAUCCAAAUUAAUCCUAAAUUUUGAUAAUAUAUAAAAAUUAUAAUUAUAAAUUAUAUAACCAAAUCAGAAUUGAAUUAACUUCCUUGGCACUAAAUUGAUAAGGAAAGUAUAAUAAUUUAAAUUUAAUUGAUGAAAAGUCAAAGUCUUCUAAUAAAUCCAUAAAGAAUAUGAUAAUCAAAAUAACGAAAAUUAUAAUUGAAAAAUCAAAAUCAUUAGUGUAUUGGAAUAGUGUUCACACACUUAUAUAUCAAAAUUUGUGGUCCAAAAACUAUAGCACAAUAUCCUAAAUACACCACAUUAAAUAUUAGUUCAAAAAUAUUCUGUAAAUAAUUGUUUUCAUUCAUCAUUUUGUUAUUUAAAAAACUAAUAAUUUGGGUUGAUGUUAACCUAUAUUUUAAUAUAUAAUUAUAUUAUUUUCGUAUUAUUUUAUUUAACUAGAAACAAUAUUUUUAUCAGACAUCAAUUAUAUUAAAAGAUAUAAUUUUAUUAAAAAAAAUUGAAUUAAAUUAAUAGGAUAACUCUACGCCUCACCAAGUCUACAAGACUCAUUUCAAGUCUACCAAGGACCACUACCUCGGUCCUCAACCAUUGGGAGAUGUGAAAGUAGCUUGAGAGUGACAAAAAUUAUUUUCCUCACAAUAAAAUUUAAUAUCUGAUAUAAAUUAAUUAAAUUAGUUAAUAAUAAAUUAAAACUAAUCAUGAAUUAUGAUAAUAAUUAAAUAAAUUAUAAUUAAAUUAUAUAAAUCAACUCCAAAUGAUACAAAUGACACUAAACCUUAGUUACUUUAUUGGUAAAUAAAUAUAAUAUAAUAAUCAAAUUGAUGAAAAAUCAAAAUCAUCUAAUAAAUUCAUAAAAAAUAUAUGAUCAUUAAUAUAUAUUAUAUUAGUAUCCACACACUUAUAUUUCAAAAUCUAUCCUCCAAACUUAUCAUCUCUGUAAACUAGCCACAUAAAAUAAAAAUUUAAAGAUAUUAGAUAUUUAGUUAUUUUCAUUAUAUAAUUUUUCCACACUAAACAACAAAAUAUCUUUAUCAAAUUAGUAUUUAUGAGUUAAAUAUUCAAGUUAUAAAUCCAGCAUGCAGCGUAUAAAUAGGAGAAACAUGGCACACUCUGCAAAGCCUUCUCACCUUCUUCUCUUUGUUUUCUUUCUCUCAUCACUUGAAUCCAUUCUUGCAACAACACGAGAAGGAGAAGCUCUUGUGAAAUGGAAGAAUAGCCUAGCCCCGUCUUCUUUUCUUGAUUCUUGGUCACUCACUCAUCUCGAUAAUCUUUGUAACUGGACUGGCAUUACUUGUAACUCUGCAGGUUCAGUCUCUGAGAUUUACCUUUAUGAGAAACAACUUGAUGGAAUGUUGUCGGAGUUUGGUUUCACUUCAUUUCCAAAUCUCAACAAUCUCACCCUCGCAUACAACUUCUUCUCCGGUCCAAUACCACCAGCCAUUGAGAAUUUAACACAGCUUCAAUAUCUUGAUUUGAGAAAUAAUUAUCUAGAUGGUCCCAUUCCUUUCCAGGUUAGCCAUCUUCAGAGCUUGCUCAUCUUAAACCUGUCAGAGAAUGCAUUGCAAGCUCCAAAUUGGUCCCAUUUCUCUCCCAUGCCUUUUUUGCGCAUCCUCAACCUCAGUCACAAUCCUCUUGCGUCGAAAUUCCCAGAUUUUAUAUCCAAUUCUCAUAGCCUGACUCACCUUAGCCUUAAUUAUAACGAGUUUACUGGUGAUUUAGCACGUGAAUCAAUAUUUGCCAAUCUGCAUAAUCUUGAAGUCCUCAGUCUUAAUGGCAAUUCUUUUGAGGGGCCAUUUCCACCAGAUAUAUUCAAGCUUUCAAGAUUAAAACGUCUCUUCCUGGCAGUUAACAAAUUUUCAGGUUCAAUUCCCAAUGACAUAAGGUUACUUUGUGAUCUUGAAUACCUAUAUUUAGGCAACAAUUCUUUUGAAGGACCGCUUCCACCAAAUUUAUUCAAGCUUUCGAAAUUAAAGCGUCUUUUUCUUUGGAGUAAUAAGUUUACAGGUUCUAUUUCCAAUGAUAUAGGUUUGCUUUCUGAACUUGAAACCCUCAAUCUUCAAUUUAAUUUUUUUGAGGGGCCGCUUCCCCCACAUAUAUUUAGGCUCUCUAAGUUAACAGGUCUAGAACUCGGAGACAAUAGAAAUUUAUUUGAAGGAAGUAAUAUUCCUAUCGGACUGGGACUCUUGACUAACCUCAGGUACUUAGAUUUACAUUUCAGUAAUCUCAGUGGCUAUAUUCCAUCUGACAUUGGAAACCUGAAGCUACUAGUACUUCUUAGUCUCGGUUCUAAUCAAUUGACUGGACCGCUUUCAAAGAUCGUUUCUAAUCUCACAAAUCUUAUAUUCCUUGAUGUAAGUGAUAAUAGUCUUAGUGGAAAUAUUCAGAGUGACUUGUGGAAAUAUAACCAUCAUCCUACUUUGGAAUACAUCGAUUUUAGUGGGAACCAUUUUACAGGUAUAUUUUUUCUCUAUAGAUCUUUUCCUUUUGUCAUAUGUAACUAAGCUAGUAAUCUGAUUAUUGCAGUUUUACCGAAGUUUCAACAAUCUUGACAGGUGAGCUUCCAACAACAAUUUGCAAUGUCACUUCCCUUUCGGUUCUUGAUUUGUCAAAUAAUGAAUUAAGUGGUGCACUUCCAAACUGUUUCGGGAAUCUUGCUGAUGGAUUGCUUUACAUUAAUCUUGCUAAUAAUCAGUUUCGAGGAACAAUACCAACUACUUUCUCCAGGAGUUGUCAGCUGACAUAUCUAAACAUGGAUAAUAAUGAGUUUGAAGGAUUGUUGCCCCCAUCUUUGGCGAACUGUAAGCACUUGAAAAUUCUUGAUAUAGGCAAUAAUAAAAUAGGUGGUACAUUUCCGUCAUGGCUUUAUGCACUUGGAGAGCUAGAAGUUCUUGUCUUGCGAUCAAAUAAACUCUAUGGUACAAUAAGUGGAAGGAGCAUAGAAGAUCCCUUCCCCAAGUUGCGGAUUGUGGAUCUGUCCAACAAUCAAUUCACAGGCCAUUUGCCAAUUCAAUACUUUAAGAAUAUGAAAUCAACUGAUAAUUUGUAUCGUUAUCAGAAUUCCACAAAAGUUUUUUCUUUCCAUUAUGAAGCAUCUGUCUCAUUAACUGUGAAGGGAACAGAGUAUGAAGUGAAAAAUAUCCUUCAUAUUUACACAGCCAUUGAUCUGUCCUGCAACAAGUUUCAAGGAGAAAUUCCUGACGUUAUUGGAGAGCUUAGAUGGCUUGCAUUGCUCAACUUAUCUCAUAAUAGUCUAACAGGACCUAUCCCAUCAUUGCUGAGAAAUAUGAAAGGACUCCAAUCUUUAGAUUUGUCUUCAAAUCAACUGACAGGGGCUAUUCCACCUCAGUUAACUGCACUGACAUUUCUAGAGGUCUUAAACCUCUCGGGAAACCAUCUUAGUGGAGGGAUUCCUCAGAAAGGACAGUUCAGCACAUUCAACAAUGAUUCUUAUCUAGGAAACUCAGCGUUAUGUGGAUCACCAUUGACGAAGAAAUGUGCAAACACAGCAUCACCUCCACAAGAAGUCGGAAAUGUUGAUGAAGAUGAUGCGGGUGAUGAAUUGACAUGGGAAGCAAUCUUGAUGGGAUAUGGAUGUGGACUGAUAUGUGGAUUGUCAUCUGCGUACAUUGUUCUCAAACUAGGAAAGCCUUGGUGGUUUGUGAGAUAUAUCGAAGUACUGCAAUUGAAGUUGAUGAAAAGAUAUGCAUGAAGAAUGGUACUAGCCGAUCAAGAUGAACUCGAAAGUUGUGGUCCUUGUGGACAUUUCUGAACCAGUAGUGUUCUAUUCUCUUUGUGGCUGCAUAAGUAUUUGGUAUUGUGUAAUGUUCUGUUUGGUCUUGAAUCAUAAUAAUUUUUCUUUCUUCAGGGGUAUUUAUAAUAUAAACCUUGGUAUUGUGUACUAGCUGUAAUAUUCUGUUUGAUCAAUGUUUAUACCAGUAAUUUUAUGCUCCGCACUGCAUCAUGCAGCUCUCAUAUUAUCUUCAUAUGUGUAUUUAUUUGGAUAUUAAAAACAUAUGGGAUAUGUGUUAACAGGGACAGCUCCCAAGUCUUGGAUAGACUCUUUCCAAGUCUUCCGAGGUCCUAUAGGUUUAAAUUAGUCCAUUAUCUGCAUACUAAUUUGUCCAACUGAAAAAUCAAGGAUAUUAUGUAUUAACUGUUUUAAUAACAAUUUACAAGUAUAAAUUUCAUAUAUUUUUUCAUAGAAUAUAAAUUAGUUGACGUACUAAAAUCACUAGUCAAAUUAAUUUAAAUAAAUAUAUUGAAAAGAUGAUAAUAAAAUUAUGGUAAUUUAUCACUACAACAAUUCUGGACAUUAAUUAUAUGUAUACUUAAAUAUAUUGAAAAGAUGAUAAUAUAGUAGAAUACAAAUGGUUAUGAUUCCGUAGUAACUACACCGUCGUAAGUUCACAUAAUUAUAUAAUUAUAGUUAUUUGAAAACGAAAAAUAAAUGAGAAAAUAUAUAGUGACCAAAUAUGAAUCAAUCUAAAAUUUUCAUUAUGGAGAUCGUAAGAAACGUGAUGAAGAACUGGAAUGAGAAUUCCUUACAAAACAUUUGGGUUAUAUUAUCAAUGAUGAAUGUUGUAUAUUAUACCUAUGAUUUCAAGUCUCAUACAAAAUUAUAUUGCUCAUAGUCUUUCGAUCAGUUCUUACUAGUGUAUGCAAUAGUUUCUCAUUCCAUACCAGUUAUUUUAUGCUCUGCACUGCCUUAUGCGCGCAGCUAUCAUAUUACUGACAGCUAACCUCCUUCCAACACUUUGCCAUGCGAAGCCUGAAGAUUAAAGUUAACAGGGAUAGGUCUUCUUCUCUCCCAAGUCUUGGACGGACUCUUUCCAAGUCUUCUGAGGACCCAUCGGCUCAGAUCCGUCCAUUAAAAAUUUAUUAUUGAUUACUUAUUAUUAUUGAUUGAUCUAAGAUUCCAAAGACAUGUUCCCGUAAUUUUCAGACUUAGCCAGUUGGUGUGGGCAGAAGUUUUAGAAAUAGUAGAUUAUGGGGAUUUUAUUUAUUCUAACCAAUUUUGAGUUAUUUAUUUUCUUCAAAAAAAUCAAUACUUAUUUUUUAUUGUUAUGCGGAAUUCCAAUAAAUAUUAAAAUAUAUAAUUUUGAUUAUUAUCAUAAAUUUAUUUAUUCAAUAAAUAUUAUUAUACUAUUAUGGAAACAUUUUAUUUUGUAAUGUAUAGUACACCCUUAUCCCACCAACAAAACUACAUCACAAACAAAUUAUAUCAUAUUUAAUUUAAUAAACUCAAAUAAUUUAAUUUAUGUAACAACUCUAUAAAAUUAGAGUGAUUGAUACUUUGCACCCCUUAUGUUUAAGCGUUUUUUCAAUUUGGUUUCAAACAAUUUUUUUGGCAGUAUGCACCCCAAAAUUUGAAAAUUGCUUCGCUUUGCACCCUUUUAAUCGCUCUCCGUUUAAUUGAUAUUGACCGUUAAAGACUUAAAGUUGACAGAUAUGGGUUUACAUUUUCAACACCACAAUUUUAAUUUUUUUUCAUGGGUAUUUUGAAAUAUUCAGACGACUGGGAUGAUUCAAGUGUCUUCAUGUUAGACAGUGCGAUAGGUCGGUCGAGGGGUUUUCAGAAACUGGGACCAAAGAUUGGCGCCAUCAGAUUGGAUUUAUAUCAUUGGAAACUCUCUGUACACCUCUAUAGAAACUGGGACCAAAGACAAGAGGGAGAAGCUCUUGUGAAAUGGAAGAAUAGCCUAGCCCCGUCUUCUUCUCUCGACUCUUGGUCCCUCACCAAUCUCGAUAAUCUUUGUAACUGGACUGGCAUUAAUUGUAACUCUGCAGGUUCAGUCUCUGAGAUUAACCUUUGUGAGAAACAACUUGAUGUAAUGCUGUCUGAGUUUGGUUUCACUUCAUUUCCAAAUCUCAACAAUCUCACCCUCGCAGCUAACUACUUCUCCGGUCCAAUACCACCAGCCAUUGAGAAUUUAACACAGCUUCAAUAUCUUGAUUUGAGAAAUAAUUAUCUAGAUGGUCCAUUCCGUUCCAGGUUAGCCAUCUUCAGAGCUUGCUCAUCUUAAACCUGUCACAGAAUGCAUUGCAAGCUCCAAAUUGGUCCGAUUUCUCUCCCAUGCCUUUCUUGCGCAUCCUCAACCUCAGUAGCAAACCUCCUGCGUCGAAAUUCCCAGAUUUUAUAUCCAGUUCUAAUAGCCUGACUCACCUUAGCCUUAAUUAUAACGAGUUUACUGGUGAUUUGGUACGUGAAUCAGUAUUUGCCGAUCUGCAUAAUCUUGAAAAGCUCAGUCUUGUUGGCAAUUCUUUCGAGGGGCCAUUUCCGCCAGAUAUAUUCAGGCUUUCCAAAUUAAAACAUCUUAGCCUGUCAGAUAACAAACUUUCAGGUUCAAUUCCCAAUGACAUAGGGUUGCUUUUUGAUCUUGAAUACCUAUAUUUAGCCAACAAUUCCUUUGAAGGACCGCUUCCACCAAAAAUAUUCAAGCUUUCAAAAUUAAAAAAUCUUGUUAUUUGGGGUAAUAAGUUUUCAGGUUCUGUUUCCAACGAUAUAGGUUUGCUUUCUGAGCUUGAAAGCCUCUAUCUUGACUCCAAUUUUUUUGAGGGGCCGCUUCCGUCAAAUAUAUUCAAGCUCUCCAAAUUAAGGAUUCUUUUCCUUUGGCAUAAUAACUUUUCAGGUUCUAUUUCUAAGGAUAUAGGUUUGCUUUCUGGACUUGAAACCCUC